rnacentral:lncRNA from 1 species
CGGCCCCCAGGUCUAUUCACACCUAUCGUUUCCACUUUCACUUUUACUUUGCUUUGUUACUUUGUUGCUUUCAGUUCUCACUUGGCGAACAAUCUAUAAGGGAUUGACAACCCCUUCAUAGCGUUGGGAGCAAGCUUUUUGUGUUUGUGCAGGCACUUGUGAUACUCCUUCACUGGAUCGAUACCUUGGUUCUCAAACUGAGGAAAAUACUUACCAUCGCUGCGCUACAUCACCCUUUCCGCUUUGAGGGAACACCAACGCAAGACUUCAAGGCCACGGGGGAAAUCCUUUGCAUAUUUGCCUAGGAAGUCCCUUAAGGCGUAGCCGUAGCAGAAGGAUUCCUGGUGCCGUCGGCACGUUUCUGGCGCCAUUGGAAGGUCUUUUGUUGCAGUAGCAGUACUCCAAGCCAUCUUUUCGCAAGGGGUUGCACGGGCCCCGUCGAAGCUAAACACGAGUGCCCCUCAGGAGGCCGCCCCCACUCUAGCGAGCGUCCCUUCUUAGGAGGCCGCCCAGAGGGAUGCACGGGUGCCCCUCAGGAGUCCGCCCAGAGGGAUGCACAGAAGCAAGCCAUCACAUUCACAUGUCUAGCAUGAGCCAUUGCCUUUGCGAUCAAAUGAGCGAUGGACGAGAACAACCUUACCAAGCUAUCAUAAAUGUGUUGGUCUGCCUCAUUCCCGAUGCCCUUUGGACCAUGGAGGUGCGGAGACCUCGGCCCCUCGCCGACCGGGGGGGGGGCUCCGUUUUCGUUCUUGUUAGGAUCAACAUCUUGAUUGGAGGUUGUGUGGCAGCGGCGAUGUCCCUCGGUAGGAACAAUGUUUUACAUGUUCUAUCUCGUCCUGAUGAUGCGUCUAGCUUUGUCGGAGGACGUGUGGAGGUAUGUCUUUGGUGGACCUCUUUUGAUCCAUUCUUCGUUCGUCUUCGGUUGCGUAUUUACAUGUUUGAUCCUUUCAAUCUAUGACUUUCUUCAUCAGCGAUAGUUGUUGCUCUAGGGCAUUGGUCCUAUUGGGCCUUAUCACGACACUUUCCGAUUGUCUACUACAACAAGGUUUGUCCGACUUCGACGAGGGAAGGGCAAUGACAGCGAUGCGCCUUCGGCUCGCUUAAGAGCUUGUAGUCGUCGCUAGAUGGUACAUGGACCUGGUUGUAAUUCUUAUUACCUCUCGUGUUUUUUGUACCGUCUUGAUUGAAAAUGAAUAGAUUGAAAGUUUCUUGUAAAAAAAGUUAUCAUAAAUGCAAACUUUUCAUACACAUCUUCUUUUCUUCUUACAUUGACACAAACACAUAUCAAACAUACAAAAAUGCUACACUUACGAAACAAUUACUAAAUUCUUACGAAACCUUCCCAAUUAAACUCUUUCACCCCCAUCCCCUGAAUUACACUCGAUGGGGCCAUUGCCCUGAUUUUUUAUCCAAUCAGAGGAUCCCAGCUCGGCCUUUCAUUAAUUAUGUAGGAUGAUCCCCGUAAGUAUAGCAUUUUUGCAUGUUCUUUCACCUUUUUUUCCUGAAAUUUUAGGUUAUGUUUGGUUCAUGCCCCCUCUAGUACUAACUGAUAUUGGCAAGAACUAGCUUCUAAAUUUUAUGUCGAGGAGUCCUUCACCCUCACUUGCAGCCAUUUUUUUUUUUUGGCAAUAAACCAAAAAAGAUCAAAAAUAUGGUAGACAACCAAGUUUUGGCAGGGCUGUCCUGUGAAUGUUGAUGUCUCCAUCACCUCUUCUGAGCUUUCAAUCAACCUUUUCCUCUUAUCUGUUUUUGUUUUAUUUUCCAUUUUUUAUUUGUUGCAAUAGCAUUUUUGGCCCAAUUAUAGUUUGAACUUUUUGUUAUUUGUGUAGUUGUACUUUUGCUUUAGAUUCAUCGUAUUUGUUUUGCCACCGCGUUUCCUUUUUGGUGAAUUUUUGCAACCACACAUUGUUUGUGAGGUACUCCUUCAUCCUGGUUUACAAGUCCCUCUCGUAUAUUGUGUUGAACUUUGAUCAUAAAUUUAAUUAAUAAAACAUACACUUUAUGUAUAGAAAAAUAAUAUCAUUCAAAAUCUCUUUUGAACACAAAUUCAAUGAUAUGAACAUUAUUGUGUGUAAUUUUAUUUUUAUAUUUAAAUAUAUGAUUAAAAUUUGAUGAAACAUAUAAGCGAGACUUAUAAGCCUGGGGGGAGGGAACAUGAAAGCAUUUGAUUUUUUUAGAAAGCUAGGGCAAUGCCCGUGGCUUGCAAUGGGAUAUCAAUAUUCCAGUACAUUAGCUCAUGAUUUACCUGCACAUAUUAACACGGUUGUGUACAUAGUAUAUUUUAUCAAAUCCUGUCCGUGAUCGUGUUAAUAAAUGUUUGUCAAAUCCGGACCGUGAUUAUUAAAAUAAAGGUUUGGUAAGUACUCCUUUUUUUUAGGGGAGAUAGACAUGAGUCAAGGCCGGACGUCCUAUUUGACGCUACUUGCGGCAAAUUGUCGCCGCAGUGGGUUGGCACAGUACGCAAGGCUUUGUUUUUACCAUUUUGGGUACCUUCUUGAAGUUCCGAGCCGGUUUAUUUUGGUGUUGGGAACCUUCUGGAAGGUUCCUAAACCGUUUUCUCUCUUAAUUUUUUUUCUGUUUCUGUUCCUUAUUCCUUAUUUUGUUGCAAUUUUUUUUAUUUUUCAAGUGUAUUUUUAUUUUUUGAGCAAAUGUUUGGAAACUUGUAUAAUGGUCACUUCACAUUUUUUCAAAUUUGUUCAUUUUUUCAUAAAUUUUUCCUGUUUCCAAAAUUUGUUCAAUUUCAAAACAAAAUAGAAUUUCAAAUUUUGUUCGCCUAUUUUAAAAUAAUUUCAAAUUUCCAAAAAACGUAUGAAUUUUGAAAUUAUGUUCACAAAUUUUCAAAAAUGUUCAGUGCUUUUAAAAAAUGCCCCUGUUUUCAAAAUUAUGGAACAAAUUGAAAAAACAGAAACAUUUUCGAAAACUGGAACAUUUUUUGCAAAUAAUGAUCAACUUUUUUGAAACAGGAAUAUGUUUUGAAAUUCCAGAACAAAAAAUUUAAACGCAAACGUAUUUCAAACUUCCGAAAAAACUUUGAAGUAUGAAUAUUUUCUUGUGAAAAAAUGUUCUUCAGAUGUGAAGAAUUUUUAUAAAAUGAGAUUUAAAAAAAACAAAUUUGCACGAGAGACACAGUUUUGCGUCCGUGAGAGGCACGGUUUUGCCUUGCGAGAGGCACGACCCAUGCCUCUCGGAAAUGAAAAAAAACUAUGUUUUCUGUUUUUUUUUCUAUUGCGUGAGGCACGUUUUUUUCGUCUGGUUUUUUCCUUCGGGUUUUUCAUGUAAAAUCAACAUGGGAUCUAGUUUUGAAGAUCUCGACGCGAGAAAGCCAACGAUGAAAACGGUUCUAUAUUUGAACGCAUGGUUUAUAGGAGAUAAAACAUUUUAAAAAUACGGAUCUACGAAAAAAAAGGGAAAACCCCAGGUUGCGACAAAUAGCACGCAUACAGUGCAUCACUUGUCACAACCUAUGAAGAUGAAAGUAAUCGCUGGAAGGUGUAUUUGCUAAUUAGUGAUUUCGGCUGUUAAGUUAUGCCAACAGUGGCAAAUGGGCCAGGCUACGUGGUCGCGUGCCUGCGUGAUUGGUCAACUCUUUGACGCACGGAGCGUCAAAUAAGGUUUUCCGUCGAGGCGCCGCGUGCCAUAGGCUACCCGGUUGUGAAACGCAGGCGCCGGCCCAAACGGCGCGAGCCCAACGGGCUGGGCAGGAAGGAGCGCCGACCCCAACCGCUUUCUUCGUCUCCCUACCCCUCGAAAAAGAAAAAUAAAAAAAAAACCGGUUUGUGUCCCCGCCGUCGCGUCUCCCCCCUCACCACACCUUCCCCUCACUCUUCCCGCCCCCCGAGGCCUCCCUCCGCCGCCCCGCCGACACACGGGCCCCGCAAUGGCCGCCCGCGCCCGCUUCGUCCACAACCGCCGCGCGGCCGACGAGGACGGCUCCGACGAGGAGGAGGCUCUGUCCUCCUCUGACGACGGCGGCGGCGACGAGGAAGAGGAGGAGAUGGAGGCCGAGGGGUCCGAGGAGGAGGAGGAGCCAGCGGCCAGGGCGUCCUCCUCCUCCUCCGUAGCGGCAGCGGCCGCGGGGAGGGGCGGCAGGAAGGGCCCGAUUACCAUCAGCCUCAAGAAAGUCUGCAAGGUAGGUAGCCGCCGGCCGCCGCCGCCGCCGCCGCCGGUGUUUCCCCUGUUUCCUCGUAGCACUCUGCUCUCGAUUUCGCUGCGCGCUUUGCGUGACUUUCCAUAAAGAAUGUGUAUUUCCGAGAUUUCGGGCUCAAGUUUCGGGCUAGCUUCCCCGGUGAGCGCCUGCGGCUGUUUUGGGGGCUCGGAGCAGGAGCGGUUGCUUCCCCCUUGCGUUUGCUGCCUGUGGAAAUGGCGUGCUUCACUCCGCAUUUAUCAUUAUGACUAACUUAGGAUCUACCCGCUUCAGCAUCGUCUCGAGCUUCUUCUUGUUUGUGGAAAGAUUUCUGUCCUUGAUGAUUGUGUCUGAACUUUCGAGUGUCAUUUUACCGUGGUAAUUCUGAUGAUGUGUGCUUUGUUGUUUCUGGUUGCAGGUGUGCAAGAAGACGGGGCAUGAGGCGGGGUUCAAGGGGGCGGUGUACAUCGAUUGCCCCAUGAAGCCUUGCUUCCUAUGCAAGAUGCCAGGUCCUCAUAGUUCUGAAAAAGUUCCGCAUUUCUGUUGACAUAAGAUGGAUAGAAAUAGAUUCGGUAUUGAUGAACCACCGCAUGUAUCUGCAGAAAUGAGUCUCAGAUGGAUGUUUACUUUCGAGUGUUUCAUAAUAGCUUAUUAGCUUAUGUAUUUGCCAUUUGCUUCAAUCCGAAGGCUUGACAUGGAUGGAUGGAGACACUGGUACCAUGAUGCUUUCAUCGUUUGCACUUAAUUUGCAGGUCACACGACCUUGACUUGCCCACACAGGGUAGCGAUGGAGCAUGGUGUUAUCCCAGCCCCAAGAAGGAACACAAACACUUCACUGGAUUACGUCUUCCAGAGUCAAGUCAAAGGCAAGAUCUCCAUGGUGCGUGAGUUGAUGGCCACCGUCAUUUUUCCGCAUCGUCAUCAGUUGCAACACUCCAUAUAACUGUUUUUGCUAGCCCUACCGAUUAUGUUUAAAAUAAAUUCCUCUCCCUAUUUUUAGGUUAAGCCUCGGUUUCUGGUGCCUAACCAAUUGGAGUGUGGUAACAUAAAAUUUCACCAAAGACGCGUGACCUGCUUGGAAUUUCAUCCAACUAAGAACAAUGUGCUUUUAUCAGGAGACAAGGUAUUACAGUCCUACCUACCAUCGGGCUUUGUUGGUCAUUUAAUUCCUUAUAAGUAUGGUCGCAUUGCAGGUAUUUAUAGGCGACUAAUAAUCCCUUUGUUUUCCUGUCCACACAGAAAGGCUUACUAGGCAUUUGGGAUUAUGUUAAGCUGCAUGAGAAGAUUACUUAUGAUUCUGUGCACUCCUGCAUUCUGAACAGUAUGAAGUAAGAGCUUUAGCUUGAUGGCUAUUAUUCGUUCCCUUAUCCAAGGAUGGAAUAUGGCAACUUGAUAUGAUCUUAUUCAGGUUUGACACUGCAAAUGAUGGAGUGCUAUACACAGCUUCUUCUGAUGGGACUAUCAGCAGCACAGACUUGGACACUGGAAUUGGCUCGCCCUUGUUAAAUCUCAACCCAGAUGGUUGGAGUGUAAGUUAUCCCCAUUGCUAUCUGAUCAAGCUUAUACAGAUUGCUACGCUGAAAUGGGUUUUGUGCACAUUUCAUUUCAAUCUUAUCUCAAUGCAUCUUGUGCUGUGUUAGGCAAACAUUUGUUUGCAUUGUUCUGAUUUUUUUUUUUUGCAUCCACUUUGGGCUUGAUUUAAUCAACCUUGUUUGUUCCUUUUAACAGGGUCCAAGCACUUGGCGCAUGAUAUACGGAAUGGACUUAAACACCGAGAAAGGUCUUCUUUUGGUGGCAGAUAGUUUUGGGUUCCUUUACUUGUGAGUAAAUGAGCACUCCUAGGAGCUGUUUGAUACCUUCUCUGAGAUUAAUAGCUUAUAUGCAGUAUAUGCAGCUCCUUUUGAAACUGUUGACUUGGAUGCUAAUAUGGUUUAUUCAUGCAUUUGCUGGGCAACUCAAUUCCAAAUGGAGUUAUCAGUGAUGAGUUCCUAUUUCUAUUUGACUUCCAAGAUAUAGCUGUAUACUGUCAUAUGUGAUUCAGGGAUAUCAUUGUGCAUUGUCAUAUGUGACAUAUAGCAUACACGCCUUUGUCAUAUCAGAGUAUCUUGCAUGUGAGCUAUAUAUCUGUUUUACACCCUUAAUUCUUGCAGAUUGGAUAGACGGUCGAAGGAAAGAAUCGGGCAACCAAUUCUUAUACAUAAAAAGGGUAGCAAGGUAACUGGCCUGCAUUGCAAUCCUGCACAACCUGAAGUUCUUCUGAGCAGCGGGAAUGAUCACUUUGUGAGUGUGCUCUGCUCUGCAUACGUACAAUCCCUUCCUUUACCCGCUAUCUAAUAGUUCACACCACUCUGUGAUUACAGGCCCGCAUUUGGGAUACAAGGAAACUUGAUCCCAAGUCUGCUCUUGCCAGCCUUGCUCAUGGACGGGUUGUUAAUUCAGGAUAUUUUUCUCCACGAAGUGGGAAUAAGAUCAUGACAACGUGCCAAGACAACCGAAUUCGUGUCUGGGAUUAUAUUUUUGGUAAUCUGGAAUCCCCAAGUAGAGAAAUCGUGCACAGCCAUGAUUUCAACCGUCACUUGACUCCCUUCAAAGCGGAGUGGGAUCCAAAGGUUUGGUUGUGGCUAUGCAUUGUUUCCUUUUUGUUCCUUCAAGGUUUUUUUGUUGCCAAGUUGGAACAACUAACAUGCCAACUUUGAUACGAAAUGUUAAUGUUCUGCAGGAUUACUCGGAAACAGUUGCAGUCAUUGGUCGUUACAUAAGUGAGAACUACAAUGGGGUUGCUCUACAUCCCAUUGAUUUCAUAGACACCAGCACUGGGAAGCUUCUGGCCGAGGUGAUGGACCCUGACAUAACCACCAUCAGCCCAGUGAACAAGCUACAUCCUCAAGAUGAUAUCCUAGCCACAGGGAGCUCAAGGUAGGCCAUUCGAUCCGUAUUACCCAGCAUAUCUACCGAUGCUAGAUUCUUUCCGUUCUUAUGUGGUUCUGUCCAUGCAGGUCCAUUUUCAUUUGGAAACCAAAGAAUGAGGUCGAUCCCACGGAAGAGAGGACCAGCCAGAAGGUCAAGGAGUAUGUAUACGGGUCAGGUUCACACAAGAAACCAAAUGGCAAGCACGACAAUAGUAGUGAUGAUGACUCAGAUGGUGGUGGUGGAAAGGGCAAGAAGGCAAAGAAGACCCGCUUCACUCACACCGCGAAGGGAAAGGGCAAAUCCAAAGCUUGAUGAGAGAUGUAGUAUUAACCACCGCUGCUGGAGCUCAUUUUGGGUACCAUAUCGCGUCCUAGUCGUAGUUUAACAUGCUGAAGCAUGAUCAUCUUAAGAAACAAACAUUUUAGAGUUCGUUUUGUGUUGCUUUUGAACCCUGAUGUGCUGAAGCCUUGUGGUACCAUGGCAGUAUGCCACAGCCAUCUUGAGCAACAAACAUUUAGAAUUAGGCAUGUGUUGCUUUUGAAUCCUGAUGCGAUUUAGGGGUUAAAUCUGUGUAUAUAUAUAUAUAGGCUUGAACGCAGUUUCGAACACAAGUUGCUGAUCAUCUGCCCUAUGUGUUUCAGUGUUUGUUGUCUGCUUCUUGUCCAUGAAAUGAAACAAUUAAUAUGCACAAACGGUGUGUCUAAGCAAAGUAACCAACUAUACCAACAUGAACAAUAGUGUACCAUCAUGUGAAUGGCUGAGAUUAUUUCAGUGGGUCAGAAAUCCACCAACAUGCUACUCGUAAACUGACUGCUGAAUAGUGCUAGAGAUUAACCACGAUUUUUUGUUUUGUUUUUGACAGUACAAAACAUUGAGCCACAUGCCAAACAAUGUUUCUUCCAUUGCAGAUUGUUACUAGCUCACUAAACAUCUACUACUAUCAGAGGCUUUGAGCUUCAGUUUGUCGUUUGGUUGGAACUGAUUUGGUUAGCACCAGUCAAACCCCAAAAAAUGAUCCAUCUGUUAUCUCACACCUCCUGGUCAAGGUGUUCCAACACCAAGACAGGUUCUUUUGGCACCUUCAAGAAGACUUGGUUUUGAUCCCAACCAGCUUCCUCCAUUUGUCUGAUGAAGUCGGCAAAUCCACCCUCCAAUGCAGCGAGGCUCUCUUCGAGCCAAGCGAAAACGUCGUCCUGCUUCAGCUGAUUUCGGUGAAGCCAAUGCGCUUGCCAUAGGCUUCUUAGGACCGACAUGCUCGUUGCCGCCUCCUAAAAACAAGCAUGCCUUUGUUCAUAUGGUACGUAAUAAUUUUCAUACGCCAAUAUUUAGCAGUAGAUCACCUUGAAUGUAACCAGGUAUGUUGGAUCUUCUGACCCAAGCCGCUCAACGCAGAGGAUGUACUUCUCAUUCUUGUAUAGCUUCAGCAGCAUAUUCACCUGUUUCGAGAGUUAAGAACACACGUGAGCAAGUGGUACUAAAAGCCAAAUGAAAUUGGUUGCAUAACUACCAAGGAACCUCAACUAGAGUUCUUUUUUGUACUGAUGAAGUCAUGAAGAACCAACUUCCCAGCUUUGCAUUUGGACAACUCAUACCAUGAAAGAAAAGGACUGCUAAACACACAAACCAUGUCAGUGGAUUCCUUUCCACCGAGCAUCCUCUCCAUGGGCACACCAAAAGAAAUUCGGGGUUGCAAGAAUCUCUCCCAUGUUAAAAUAUUCUCUUCCUCAUUGCAAGCAACAUAACCUGCAACGGAAGGACAAAACAAGCAUUGAUAUUAUUAUUUUUCCAAAAGCAACCAAGAAAAGAAAAAUGUAAAAUCAAGAAACGAAGAGCAUGUCACCAGGAACUGUAUGAUGUGCAACAUGUGACCUCACAAGAAUCCGAGCUCGUUUUAGGUUAACCUACCAAUAUGGACAUGAAGAGGGUAUAAAGGUGAUGAAUGAAAAACAAGUAGUACAUUAGUAGUAUUACACAGUUAUGUACAUGGGCUGAAAAUACAUGGUCUAACAUGCAAACAUGGAGCUUUAUUAAAUUGACCAAACAUAAUUUAACUCCAGCACCUUACUGUGCGAAACUUGAGAACUACUAGGGACUGGUAGCGAAACCAAAGAUGUAGAAGACGAACACCUAGCCAUGUCAGAGUAAGCGUUAAAUAUGAAGACUGUAUACCUGGCGUGUCCUGGAAUGAAAUACCAAAGAAUCGUCAAACAGUGAGGAAAGUUAAUGUUGUUAUACUGGAAGGAGGUUCGUUAUUACAAAUAAAGAGAGCUUAAUGUGGAUAGUAUUACCAGAAUAAGUACACCGAUAGAAAGGCCUACCAGCUGAGCUCCUACUUCCCAUACUUCCUCCUGAAAAAAAACAUAGGAGUUGCUUGGUGAAAAAGUUGCAAAAUUAUUCAGCAAGAUCUUUUAUGUACUGAACCAAAAAACAUGAAUGGUGCAUAAUAAAGAAGUUUUAAGUCCACUCGAUCAUGAAACUGCAAAGGAACUCUUGGAUACUCAUAAUAUUAUUUUCGUUUUUCCUACACAAGUACCGUUUUUCUGCGGUUUCACUGAACAAUAGGACACCGGACUGACUAUUAGAGAGAGUACUGAAAUAGCUAGUACCUUUGCAGCAAUCUCCCCUAGAUUUCCCGAUUUUGCGAAGUGAUUUUGGAUAACACGAUUGGAAGGAUCUCUAAAUCCUCUUCCUACAGCCUGCUUAAGAAGUCCGGAGUCAAUCAUUUUCUAUAGAGGGAGCUCUCUACAAAGUUUGAGUUAGGCUUUAGUCACAUGUGAAACUAAAUGUAAGGAUUAAUAUGUGUUGCUUUAAAUAUACCUUUGCAAGAUUCCCCAAUGAUGCAAGUGGGAGGAAGUAACCAGGAUAGAGAGGAGUUGUGAGAUCAAAGAUGCUGCCAUAUUUCACACGUAAAUAGAUAAUAUCAUAAGCGGGUUUUGAUUCUUCACUUGAUUUUAUAUAUUUGCUGUUAUGAUUUAACAGAGUUAGUGCAUGAACCUUCCAGCACUCCCAAUGAAAUCAGCAUACAUCCGCCACUUCUUUGGGUCAUCAUCAAAAAGUGUUCCAAAUCGUCCACCUAAUACAAGUCAUUCGUAGAUAUUCCAGGACAAAUAAUUCUGAAUAAAUAGUCAGGCAUAAUCAUACCAAUCAGAAGACGUCCAAAAGCUCCUAUGCCAUCUUUUGAUACCCAUCUACAGAAGAUGAUUUACAUCAGCACAAACAAAGUAGGUAAUUUAACCAUGAGCAUAAAAUGAGCUGAUCCACUUGCAUUCAUGUUUCAUGUUGACUGUUAGGAUGUUGGUAUGUGCCCUCUGGUAUGUUUAAUUGUUGAUUACAGUAUUUGACAAAGACUUGAGUUGUGUAUACAAAUAUAAUAAUGGUGAUCAAAUCAGAAUGAAACAAAGCUAAGAUAAAACCUAUAUGAAGAUUAUUUGUCUUCCAAAGAACAUAUAUUAAUAUUAAAGUUCCGAGUUUCUAAUAGCCCAUAAACAUAGCAGAGUUGAUAAUGACCUGAUAGCAGCGGCAGCAGCAGCUGCCGAAGUUCCUGUAAAGGACCCAACACCUACAGCCUGUGCCAAUCUAUGAUCAGUUAAUCAUCAGUCUUGACAUAAUAAUUGAAGAGUAUGGCUUGGAAGUCUUUUUAGACUACAAUCGUUUGAGAGCACGUGUCAGAAUCUUGAAGUUAUUUAGGAGCUAUCAAAUAAUGCAAUCCAUAUGAUCAUAUUUCACAUCACAUAAGAUGCUACUGUAAACGAUAUACUUACUGCAGUCAUCAGCUCAUCGUUUCAGUCACUACAACAUUAUUUACUUCUGCAAACAUCUUGGUUAGUAGAUUAUGGGAUACCUUGAGAAGACUUGAUGUAACCAACGUGUGACAGAUCCAUCCUGUCACGUUUGUUGGGAAUUGCAAUAGCAUGUACUGCAUGUAAUCAUCCGAAACAGAUUCUGAAACAAAAAGGAGGGACAACAGAGAGUUAUAGGUUUGAUAAGUGGUAUAUGUAGUUUCAGACAUAGCGUCAGUCUACAACUCUGCAAUAGUAAUGACCUCUUAUGCAGGACAACGAGAGUCUGAGGAAAAUACAUAUACUGAAUCAAGCUGUACAUUUGACAGCACUUGAUAAGAAUGGCGAGAUCAUUUUUUUUUUUUUUGAACUACAGCACAUGCAAAACAAAUUUGAUUGUAAACCUGAACCUCCACAGUUCAAUCACUGGAAAACCCGCUGCAUUAUGAUUAAGAAAACAUCUCAAUCACAGCAUUUCCUAGAUUGUAAACCUGAACCUCCACAGUUCAUACUCCAUGACAAAGAGCAAGAGCAAUGCAUAACCAAACCACAGAUGGAUACCAGCAUUCACCUGGAAAACCUGCUGGAAGCACAAAAUCACUAAGAGCCCGGGGAAUCUGAGAAUUCGCAGUUUCAUCUUCGACGGUGUUCAUCGAAGAAUCAUCACGCUUCUCCCAAUGAACCUGCAGCUUAGAGUCGCCGUCCAACAUAUACCUGCUCGUAACGUCAAUCAGAUGACGAGAAACUCGUCGCAAAUACAGACUUGAACACUUUGCAAAUUCAGUCAGGCAUAUCAGCAAACCAAUGGACGGCGAGCUAUUGGAUUCCAGAGCAGAAGAGACCCACCUCUUGGCGGCGCCGUCUCGGUACCUCUCCACGAGCAAAGGCCUGGCCUUUCUGCAGGAGCCAGACACGUUUCCGUCGAGAUGAGAAAUUGCGGCGGGAAAUCAAGAAAGGGAGCGGUGAAAUCCAGGGCCGAACCCGGAGUCGCCGGCGCCGCUGCUGGACGCCAGGUGCGAGCGUGGCCGGGGCCGUCGCCAUGGGAGAGAUCCCGACUGGAAGCGGCCGCCGACGGAGAGCAUGCUCCGGCGCCGGGGACUGAGCUGACCGGUCGGUAGGUGGAAUCUAUGGAAGGAUAGGCAGCGCAGCUUACAGUCCACUGGUUUGUUUCCAGUAGUAGUACUUUUUUUAACACAUAGUACUACUCCCUUCAAUACCUGGCCAAACGGGCCGUGCCUGCCGGGCCGGCCCAACUGCCCGCAGGCCAGGAAUGACACGGGCCGGGCUUGGCAUUGGCUAAUCGUGCUCGGACCAGGCAUNNNNNNNNNNNNNNNNNNNNNNNNNNNNNNNNNNNNNNNNNNNNNNNNNNNNNNNNNNNNNNNNNNNNNNNNNNNNNNNNNNNNNNNNNNNNNNNNNNNNNNNNNNNNNNNNNNNNNNNNNNNNNNNNNNNNNNNNNNNNNNNNNNNNNNNNNNNNNNNNNNNNNNNNNNNNNNNNNNNNNNNNNNAUAUAUUCCAUAUGUGUACGGUGCGCUGGUUSGUGUUGUCGGUCAGGAACUCCAAAAAGACAAGCAGCCGACGACCACCAUCCUCCAUGGCCGUCCUUGCCGCAACUCGCACCAGGAAUCCUGCACUUCCGGCGACGCCAGGAAUCUCUAGCCCUGCAUACCUCUCGCACCAGGGACCAGCGAGCCAGCUAGAUGCCCCGACAACCCCGUUAUCCCUCGCCCUCCCCUGUGGUAGAACGACGCCGCGCCGGACGCGGAAUCCGGCGGCGACGGUGACAAGACGUAGUGGCGGCGCACGGUGGCGCUUCCGCGGUGGCGCGCAAAGGAGGUUUGGUGACGCUCCGGCGACGUCACGGACAUGGCGGCGGCGGCCCGGAGCUCGACGGGGUGCAGGCAUCAAUGGUAGCAGAGGCGGACGCUGGACGUCGAUGACGGACCGCGGUGGUGGAGCCAUCACGGCAGGAGGCAACGGCGGCAGAGGUUGGCGGUGGCGCCUUCGGCGGACGGCAAUGUCCUCGGCGUGCUCCGGCGAGCCGUUGUGGCGCUUUGGCCAGUCAAUUGAUCGAGCGAGACUGGGAAUACGGAAGAAAACGAUGACUUGAGCAGUGUUUUGCAAACAGGUGGGUUACGAGCUGAAUACAAUUGUAAAGUGAAACCGGGUGUGAAGUUUACAACGUCAAAACGAUGUCCCAAGUAGAUCGCUCGCUUUUUCUUACAGUUGUAUGUUUUACGCAUGUAAUCCGUUGGAAAACGGCAGUCCAAGCACGGCCUUACACUUUGACUUUUUUUAGAAAAGGCAAUUUUAUGAUCAAAAUAGUGUAAACAAUGACCUAUAAUAAUAAAUAUUUUUUGUCUUUUUUACCCCGAAAUCAAUGUUGAUUUUUUUCUAAAAGUUUAUAUGCUAGUACAAAACAAAGUUAAAUUUAAUCUAAAAAUGCUUCAAAACUAUUCUGAUUUAAUUAAUUAUUAAAAAAAUUCUCAAACGGAAAAUGUUACUUGGCAAACGUUUGGAGGGAGUUCCCAGUGAACGUGCCAACGGCCAUCGGAAAACACUAAUCUUGAAGCAGACCAAGUUGACAUAGUCGGUCGAAACCAAGCGAUCGCUGGGUAUGCUUCCUCGCGAACGUACUCAUUCAUAGGACCAUAUCCUCUCACCAUCACACCGCCACUAUUAGGAAAACUUAUAGAUAGACAUUUACUAGUAGUGCGGAUUUAUAACCCUCGCUAGUGCUACUUAGUAGUAGCGUAUGUUUAUACACCUCGCUACUACUAAGUUGACAAUAGUAGCGUAAGUUUAUAUCCCUCGCUACUACCAAGUAGUCUCUACCAUGCUUUCCGAGACAUGCCAUAGUAGUAGCAAGUGGUAUAACACACACGCUACUACUAAGUUGAUAGUAGUAGUUUAUACCCCUCGCUACUACUAAGUAUAAGGUAGGUGAAUGUCCCAUAUCCUCGGCCGAAUCCCUCCUCUUUCCCUCACUCUCCCCUCUCUUCAUAGGCUCUUCCAUCGUGCUCCUGUCCAAGCACACCUCCUCCUUCAUGGUGCCGAACGAAGCCGCCUCCUCGCAUCGCUGGCGUCCAGGAGCUCGUCCGUCUUCCCCCUCGCCUCCAUGCCACCACGACGGAGCACCUCACCACCGAUGACUAGCCCCGAUGCGCCCUCCAUCUCCUUCCUCUCUCCCUUGUUUAUGUUUUCCCUCUCCCUUCUUUCUCCGAUUUUACUCACCUCCCAUGCCCAUGCAUGCGCAGGUCGUCGACAUGACCAACCAUGAGCUCUCUACCUUGACCGCGAAGAGGAUCCUCGCACUAUCGUCUUGCUCUGCCCUGGAUUCGGUCCCUCUCCAACAGCCGUCACCGAAUCUGGUCUCCCGCUGCCCGUCCGCACCUCUGGUGACCCCUGUCGUUGCUGCAUCGAACCAUUGACACAACACACGGGAUUGAGAUUUUUUUUUUCAUUUGUGAAACUAAUAGUAGUAGCGCGGGUUCUAAAAGCUUGCUACUGUUAUUGCACGUUAGUAGUAGCGCGUGUUAUAAAAGUUAGUUGUAGCGUCAUAGCAAUAGCGUAGGCACCCGCGCUACUGCUACAGGGAAAACCCGCGCUACUGCUAGGCUUUUUCCUAGUAGUGCGCCCUGCAGCUAUGUUCCUAUUUGGACAUCCAAUUUCCCCCUUCUCGUCGGCGACCACGAUACAGGAAAUGGUGGCACAGACCUCGCGCGCAGCAGGAGGCGACGAUGGCGUGGCACUAUAUCCUUUGGGAGUGGCUCUAGUGAGGUAACUUGACUAGGAUGCAGUUAUGGCGACGCAUCCUCAUCGGCGGUGCCCGCGAGCUGGUUUGCUCGAUCUAGCACGCGCGAUGAGAAGUCGGCGAUGGCGUAGGUCCAACAAGGUCGUCAUGUUGGUCCAUGGGGAGCUCGAGCAGGAGGAAGAGGGGUGGCUUUCAUGGGGAUCUCAAGCAAGAGGAAGAGGCGAGGAAGGAGAGGGAAAAACAAGGAGGCACUGUCUACUCCGGCUUUCUCCCAUUGCAGGGAGGAGAAGAGGUUGUCGAGAGGCUUUUCCCGGCGGGGAGAUGCAGUUUGUCGGGUUCGGCAACCACUACGUCUUGGUCAUCUGCAAGGUACUAAGUUUUUGUGAGGUUCCCAUCAGCGGGGAGAUGCUCCUUUUUGCCAAUUUGUUUUUGAUUGACCUCAAGUAAUCCACACACACUAGAUUCUAUCAAGUUUUUGAGUACUGAAGGCUAAUGCAUCAUCCCAUCUAGUUUUUGUUAUGAAAUUCAUGGAAAAAAAUCACUCUACUAUGACACAUUUCAGUUUGUGUCGCGGCAAAAAAAAAAUCGUUCUUACCAUGCCAGUUUUAUUUUUGAUUCCAUGGCAAAUUUACUCUACUAUAGUAUUCUCAGUCCGUAUCAUGGCCUUUUCAUCUUGUAGUUGCAUAUCAUGGCAACAGUUAUUUGAACAAAUGAAUGGCGAAUCUAACAUUUUUUCCUGACAUGCACAUCAAUGUUUUGUCCCCUUGCGGAUUGUCCAUCGGGUUAAAUUUGAAAUGCACCACAUCUAUCAGUUUACCGUCAAAGCUAUCCAUUGUCUGACCUCCUAUAGACUCAUGGGGUAAGAUAGCCAAUAUGAGAAGAAUCUGAUAGGGUUCUGGACCAGUGAAUUUUUUUUUUGGACAAAAUAUUAGCAUAUGGGAAGCUUGGAGUGGCAUGUAUGAAAAAUUUCUCUAUUAUUGCAUAUUACAGAAUUGAAGAAACUAAAAUCACACCUUAAAGACAUAAGGCUCACUCCUUAUUUCCACGAUGAAUUAAUUAUAAAUGAUGCUGCACACAUCAAGCAUGAAUCCACGCAUCCACAAGCCCCGCCAACGUCGCCUCAGAUUCUCCACCCUCGAGCAGAGCCUCUUUCGCCCGCCGCAUCACCGCUAGAGUCCGUUCCCGGAGCACCCUCCCGCCUUCCGAAUCCAUCAUCCACCUCACCUUCUUGGCAACCUCCUCGGCCUCCACCACCUCCUUGUCAUACCCUUUCAUUGUGACGGCCAGCUCCAUCUCCUUCUCGAGGAACACCGCAUUCAGCCUCUGCUCCGCGUAUAACGGCCACGCCACCAUUGGCACGCCAACCAUGAUAGACUCGAGCACAGAGUUCCACCCGCAGUGCGUCACGAAGCAACCCACGGCAUGGUGUGCUAGCACGUCACCCUGUGGUGCCCAUGACUUCACGACGAGGCCCCUGCCCUUGGUUCGGUCGAGGAAGCCUUGUGGAAGCAGCAUAUCCAGGUCCGGCUCUGUCGUCGUCGUCGUCGUGUCGUCGCCGCCUGGCGGGCUACGGACGACCCAGAGGAACCUCUGUCCACUGGCCUCCAGUCCAGUGGCCACCUCCAUUGUCUGCCUGGCGCUGAACCGGCCUAGACUGCCAAAGCACAGGAACACCACGCUGGCCUUGGGCUGUGCGUCCAGCCACGCGAGGCACUCGUGGCCGCGCUUCACGCCCACCUCCUCCGACUUGAUCAGUGGCCCGAUGCAGUAGACCGGUGGCGUCGAGAGGCCGGCUGGGGCGGAGAGCCCGGCGAGGAUGGUGUCCAUGGCGCGGGGCUCCAGCGAGCGGAAGGUGUUGACGAUGAUGCCCUGUGAUCGGAACAGGUUGAGGCUCACGUUUAGUAACGCAUUGUAGGUCGCGCCGUCGCGAUCCAUGAGCGGCUGGAUGGAGUGCGUCGCCGGGAAGGAGGUGAUCCCUGGGACGUGCACGAGUUCUUGGCCCAUUUCCCGGAAGCUCCUCGUGCUUUUACCAUGCAGAACCCGGAGGUGGAGAAAGAAAGCCAGGAUCUGGGCGCCGGAGGUGUUGAAGAAGUAGGCGGGUAUGCCGAGCUCCUUGGCCACGUCCAUGGCGGCGCUGCAGAAGAGGUCCAACACGAGGACCUCCGGGGAGGCGCCGGCGAGGAAGUCGUGUAGGUGCGGGUUGGAGAGGCGGGCGACCGCUAAGGCUGGCAUCAUGGAGUGGUCGGAGUCGAGGAGCUUGACCUUGGGUAGACGGUGGAAAGUGAUGGAGGGGUUGGCCGCGGAGACGCCGGCGAGGAAGGGGCCCGUGGCGCCGGUGUCGUACGGCGGGUCCAUGAGGACGACCGUGACGGAUAGUCCGCGAGCAGCGAAGAGCUUGGCGAGCUCGAUCAUGGAGACGAGAUGCCCAAUGAGCGGGGACGAGUAGAGCAUCACCCGCGGCUUCCGGGCACUGAUCGUCAUGGUGCCGUCCAUGUCGACAAAAAAGAACUUUGGUUCCUGAUCCUGAUCGGUAGUGUGGCUAGCUUGUGGAGUGUACGUUGGUUUGUGUUUGGAAUGUCACGAGGGAGUUGGAUGACAAGUGAUUGAUGAAGAUGACCAAGAGGAACCUGACAUUUAUAGAGGCCCAACAUGGAUAGCAACCGUGUUUGUACUUGCAUCCCUCACUCCAACAUGGAUGGCAACGAACCUUCUCAGGCGCUUCAACGAACCUUCUAGAUGCUCACUUUAUGUGUAUAUGGAGAUCAUCCGAUGAAUCGAGUUAGGCACAUAUAUUAUGAUGCUACAAAAGGGCAACGUCAUCAAUGACGAACGGAAUCAGGCUUUACGCCCGGACGUAUCUGCUAACGUCCCAUGAGGAGGUCAGUUCAACACUGAAGCCGAAUACUAAUUAUUAGUAAUCACCUGCUGCUACCUUUGCUAAUUAGUACUCCCUCCGUUCCUAAAUAUAAGUCUUUCUAAGGGUUUCAUUAAUGGACUAUAUACGGAUAUAUAUGGACAUACUUUAGAGUAUAGAUUCACUCAUUUUGCUCCGUAUGUAGACACCCAGUGAAAUAUCUUAAAAGACUUAUAUUUAGAUACGGAGGGAGUAUUAACGUUCCAUGAGGAGAUCACUUCAACGAAUGGAGUAGUGCUGUCCAAGAAAAUAUUAUGGAGUAGCAGCGGGCCGGUGAACGUACGCCAUCGCUUGUGUGUUAGCAGCAGUACGUUUUCUAUUUAGAUGGAAAAUAACAGUAGUACUUUUUUUGUUUGUUAUGAAAGACCUGUUUUGAUCGACAACCAUACUUAAUCAUUUCUCGCAAAAAAAAUCAAUACUUAAUCAAAAUUAGCAAAAUAGCUUGUGCGUUGUAACAUGAGAAAAAAUAACACACGCUCUAAACCCAAUAACCAUGACUCAAGAUCACAAUAGGUUUAUGUCCUUUAUUUUAGCGGGGUAUCAAAUUUGUGUUGCCGUUUAUCCUCCUUCUCAACCUUGUCGACGAUGGUCUCAGUAUUCGCAUAAACCAGAACGUGUUUGAAUAUGGUCAAUCUUAAGACGUCUCUUUCUUUCACUUCCUCUGAGAAAGCUGUUAUUUUUUGGUGCAAGGUUUUUAGAGGUGUGCAUAUGUGAUUAUCGAUGUUUUCUUUCCUCUUUAUAUGUUUUUAGUAGGUGUUUAUUUGCAACCCGGAUCACCGUCAGUACAAAAGUAAAACAAACCAUGGGCUAUACAUUAUAAGAUUGCUUACAUAAUAAUAUUUAAAAAUAUUUAACAGGUAAAAAUAAUAUCACAUUCCGAUCCUACACUUUUUUUGUAACCAAAUUUCCUAUAUAACAUAAAUAUGACCCGCGGGUGAAUUAUCUGAAAAAUCGGUGGGGUUUAUAAAAAAAUGCUAAAAACAGUUUGGCUGUGACUUAACUGUGUACUGCAUGGUAGUUCAUAGGAAUUGAGCUUUUAUUUUUUGCAAAAUUAUCUGACGAACGAGAGAAGCACUCCGUACUUUACUAAUAGGUAUAGAUAAUAUUUGUGAUAUAUUCCUUUUUUUUGGGGGGGGGGGGGUACGAUCCGAUCUAUUAAUCAACUAUUAAAGUAGUACAAAUAACACUGUAAGUAAAAAAAAUAUUCAGAUUCAUAGACCAACUAGCGAGAACUACAAACACUAGAGCCAGCCGAAGAUGUGCCGCUGUCGUGGCCCCUUCCUAAUCGGUGACGGACAAACCUUGUUCUAAUAGACAGUCGUGCAAUCAUCGUCCUAGGGCUCAUAGGACUAGCACACCAGAAGAGCAACUGCCGCUGGUGAAAAGAAGCGUAGAUAGGGAAAAAAUCUAACAUGUAUAUCUGUGUUAUGUUACAGGAAACUUGUCUUCUAGUUUUUUCUUAAUUUUUGAAAAUUGAUCUUGAUAUGAUUACAUUAGGAGGUGUGAAGAGUACAAGCCAAUACCACUUUAAAUUGGCAGUGACAAUAGUUAGUUAGAGGAAUAUAGGGAAAUUAAGGCAUCGAAAGUACGAUAAGGAAUAGCUCAAAGAGAACAGAUGAGGAAGAGGCGAAGAAACGAGAUGCAAUAAGUAAAUAUAAAUGAAAUGUUAACUAUUAAAAAGUCAUUUUGGCAUAAGAAAUAGGCCACAUGUAAGCCAAGUUACAUUUUAUAGGCACUGGGCUUAUAUUUCACAUACUUUUAAAAAUAAACUAAUUCCCUAAACUUAGCUGAGAACCUUAUGGCACCCACUCGGCUUGUAGUCUGCUCUGUCGCUUGUAGCCUGCUCUGAUGGCCACAUAGCAGGGAAAUCUGUCGAGACUUCGACUGUAAGCCAAGAGCUUAUUUCAAUAUGCCGAAUGGUUUUUAUAAGCCGGUUAAUCUAGACGUGAGCUGUGCGUCAUAACUAAUCUAAACAGUUAAUUAUGUAAAUCAUAGUUAGGUUUGUAAUCUUACCAUCGAUCUAGUUCCUUUUAAUUAUCAGUGUACCCGCGUAAUCUUUUCAAUGUACAUUGUAUAUUGUGUUUCACUAGUAAUUGCAUAGCUUCCUUAAUUAAGCAUAUUUUUAUUUUUUCAUCCUGAAUUACUUGUCGUACAAAUGAAUGUACUUCCGCGGCAAGUAAAUCGAGACGGAAAGAGUAAUACUACUUAAGUACGUUUCAAUUAGUAAUAAUUCCAUACUAAACAUGUAAAAUAUUUCCAUGUAUAAUUUCACAACGGGAUAUUCCGGAUAUUAACAAUUCCAAGUAAUUUGAAUAUAUGUCCGUGACACAUAACCCCAACAUCUCCCAUUUCUCCAAAACUAUCAUUCAAAUAUCCGUGAUCCGUGUUGCCCAGGUCAGGUGGAGAUUGUUUUUGAACUUGCAUGCAUCCGUCAGUACCGAAACUUCCUAGGUUCUACUCUACAGCUUCAUGGUGGCAGACAGAAAGGACCUCGAUGCUCACUUUUAUUUGUAUAUUGUAGGCUGAUAUAUGGUGAUCAUCCGAUGAAGGCACGUUAUGCUACAAAGGGCGACGUCAUCAAUGACGAGCGGAACCAGACUUUACGUCCCGGGCGUAUGUGCUAACGUCCCAUGAGGAGAUCAGUUCAACAUAGAAAUCAAUCCUUGCUUAUUAAUCUAAGUAUACUCUAUACUACCGUUUAAAAAAAAAAAGUAUACUCCUACUACAUUUCCAGAUUUUUUUUCAAAACUAUUACUAUUUUAUAAUAAAUUCGAAAAGCAUAUGUGUUUUUUUAAAAAUGUCAAAACUAGCACCCCAUCAGCCAUUGAUGGGCCGACGGGGGAUCUGUCGGCCUGUGGGAGGUCGAAGUGGGCCUGUCGGCUGCGGUUGGCCGAAGAGGCCCCGUCGGCCUCCAGGAGGCCGAAGAGUGUCAGGGGCACAAAACGUGAUUAAGAUGGUCUCAAAUGAAAAUGUUAUCCACAUGAAAAAUCUUCGUCUAGUCGAAACAGUUGAUUUUGAUACAAAAAUCAUCUUAAUCCGAGGUCGUAUGCGACCUGUAGAGCCAAAACAAGAUCAAGGACAUAAGCUAUAGAGUUACUUCGGACAGACCGAAUGGAUGUCAGAAAAUUUGUCACGGGGCACCCGAUGCAUUCGGUGAAACCGUGUGGAAUACAGAAGAGUACACAAGUUUGGUCGCGUUCACUCGAUGAGACCGAGUGAACGUGACCAAACUCUCCGAAUGACUGCAUAAAUCUUGUUAACCCCAUUUUAAAAUAUGCUUCCACCAUACAUAAAUUAUGUUGAGAUUACAUAAAUAUGAUGCAUCCAAUUUUCAUGAUUCAUUUGUAUCAUAAUUUUGCUUCUUUACGGUGCACAACUUGCUUCAUACGCAUCAUAGUUAUGCUUCUUCAUUUCAUAUGGUUUACUUUAAGUGCUUCACACUGGUGCUUCUACAUUGUGUUGAGUUUGCUUCAUUGCAUGCUUAAUAUUGUUUCUUAGGCAUCAUCUUUGUAUUCAAAUCAAACUAAUCAUGCUUCCUAAACUUCUCCAAGGCUAGCAAGAGUGGAAAAUCAUGCUUUCCCGACGGUGGGCAUGUCAGGGUCAUCGAUGGUGGGCAUGGAGUGUAACAUGAGAUCGAGCAUCUCGAGUGCCCAAUGUUUUGUCAUCAUUUUGAAAGCAAACUAGCAAUACAAACACUAGGUUGUUCAAGUUCAAGGGCAUCGUUCCCUCGUUGGUGACAGUGUCGCUGCUCUCUACGGGGCUCUUGGGGCUCACAAUGUAGGCACCAACAAACAUGUAACUAUAAAUUAUUGUUUCUCACAUAUGUUAGGGCAAUGAACUUUUGCUUGAGCCGCCGCUAGAGUAUAUUUCAACCAACAUUAAAGUAUGCUUCAAACAAUGUUGUGUUGCUUAUCUUGGUAAAUUGUACUGACAUUUUGAUUCUUUUGUAGAAUUUUAUGUUUUGACCUAUGUUGGUGUGUGCUUCAUUGCAUCUCUUUUCAUGGAUGCUUUCAUUGUACAUACAUUUUUUUGCACUCUUUCUAGACGUGCUUGUUAGUUUCUCAUAUAUCAGGAUGAUGUUAUUAUGAAUACAAGUGGUGGCUAAAUUGUUGAUGAUGGACUGGACAAGACACAAAAGUGAAACAUACUAUCGUAAUAUCAUUUUUGUUGUUUUUGCCUACAGAGUUGUAAAUUAUUGUUCACAUCGGCUGAAAUUACUACACCGUCGUUAUGGUUAGGACACGGCUGCUGCCGUACCUUGUCUUCAACUGCAACAUUUUUGGCAUUGCCAAGUUAAUGUAUCAUCUUCUUUAUGCAGCAAUCAACUGCUUACCAAGACCAAACCUUUUCCUUUCAGGUAAAUCUUACUGUUAACCUCAUUUUUCUCUUAUAUCAAAACGACUUUAUUGAUCAACUAAACAUAGUACUACAUCGGAUUGUUGUGUAACUCUAGUGUGCAUACCUCCUUGGGUGUUCCAAGGCACUGAACAUGACCAAACUUGUAUAUUCUUUUGUAUUCCACACGGUCUCACCGAGUGCAUCGGGUGUCCCGUGACAAAUUUUCUGACAUCCAUUCGGUCUGCCUGAAGUAACUCUACAUCUUCUAUCACUGAUCUUGUUUUGGCUCUACAGGUCGCAUACGACCUCGGAUUAAGACGAUUUUUAUAUCAAAAUCAACAGUUUCGAUGAGACAAAGAUUUUUCAUGUUGAUAACUUUUUUAUUUGAGGCCAUCUUAAUCAUGUUUUGUGCCCCUGACACUCUUCGGCCUCCUAGAGGCCGACGGGCCCUCUUCGGCCACCCGCAGGCCGACAGGCCAAAUUCGGCUUCCCACGGGCCGACAGGUCCCCGUCGGCCCAUCAGAGGCUGACGGGAUGCUAAUUUUGACAUUUUUAAAAAAACACAUAUGCUUUUCAAAUUUAUUAUAAAAUACGUAGUAGUUUAAAAAAAAUCACAUUUCCACAUUAACUAUAAUAAUAGUAGUAUGGAGUUCUGCUCGUAUCAAAUAAAUGAAGUAAAAUAGGGAGUAGUACUUACUGUCCAAGAAAAGAUCAUGGAGUAGUGAAAAGCCCCGUGCUCAUAUGGUUGCGACGUCUAUCUCAAAGAAACGAAAAGAAAGAUGGUUAACAUAUGUCAUUUGUUUGUUAGAAGUAGUUCCUCUUUUUAGGAAUUUAGCUAUUCACCCGGGUGCAGGGUGGAUUUGCAGCUGAAAGCAGCAAUUCCGCUAGACUAUCUAAAGUUCGUUAUAUUAUGUUCUGAAUUUAAAUAUAAAGAGAAAGACCAACUUCUCACAAACGAGCGGAGCGAGGCCCGUCGUCGAUAGGACUCAUGUGUUAUAUAUACCUCUUGUAAGAGCAUCUCUAGCAGACCCUCGUAUAAGUGGUCAAACCCGUAAAAAAAUGGGUUUUACAGUUUUGUCGUAAAAAAUGUGCAGAACAGAAACCGUAAAAGUGAUCCAACCCAUAAAUUUUUUAAGGGGCAGGGAAAAGCCACAUCCGAAGCCCUUAUUUUUAAAGAUUGGAAGGCCGAUUUUAGGGGGGAGGGGGGGGGCGUAUACCGGUCAAACCUUGUCGUAGCCAACACGUCAUGGCGGAGUUUGCCCGAAUCCGUCCUAAACUCAUCGGAAAAGGCCGUUGGACGCCGCAAUCGAUCGCCGCCGGUUUGAAUUGGACGAGCUCGACCUUACCAUGGCCUCCCAUGACAUUAGCCUGGCCGUCGGAAUCCUCCCAGUGCGGCAGGCAAAGGGGCACGGCUCGGCUGGCAACAGAGCAAGGUGCUGACGACGGAGGCGACGGGGCAUGGCCGGCGUGGUGACGGGCCGCGGCCGACGGGGACAGGCCGUGGCCGACGGGCGACAGGGCGCAUUCGACGGGGAUGGAUGCAGCCGACGUGGUCGGCAUGGCCGGCUGGAUGAAGGGGCGGUGGCCGCCGGACCGGAGGAAGGAGCUCUUUAUCGAGGGAUUUACAGUUUCUGUUCGGGGUAGCUAAAAUGGACCCUUAAAAUUUCCUUUUUUUUACCCGUAUCCUAGUUUUACAGUUUGGGCUUUUACAGGGUCUGCUAGAGAUGCUCUAAGUCGCCACACGGGAUAGGUUGGUCAGUUGUGAAUCCCGGCGUUUGUAACCUCUCUUGAUAUAGUGAAGUUUGAAUGGCUAGCGCCCGUGGUUUUCCCCUUCGUGUUGAAAGGGUUUUCCACGUUAAAAUCUUGUUCUCCCUGCCUGAUUUCAUUCUUCAUUGUGUUCGAUUGUGUGUCUUACCUCUAGCAAAAUUAAUCAUCCAGCUAGGUUAUUUGGGAUAGUCCCUUGAUCGGAUGAUCACCAUAUAUAUUAGCAGGUCGUUGCCAUGUAGCUGGAGUUUCUCCCUCUACUUAUUCUCCUGCUUGUGGUUUUGUUUUGCUUUAACAGACUUUGUAUUUCCAUUAAGCUAAAAGGGAUGACCUGGUUGGAUUUUUUUGGAAGAGUCCCUUUAUAUUAUAUAUGUCAAACUAAGUGCUGAUGUGGUGCAUCCUAUAAUAGAUAAGAUCUUGAAAGUAAUUUCUAGUUGGAGACAUUUCUUUCAAUACAAUACAAAUACAGAUGCUCAUACAUACGCACAUACACUCGCCUCUAUAAAGACAUUCAUACUCGGCCGGAAUGUCCCUUCUCACUGAACGCACACCAUCUAAGGUCUAGGAUAAAUACAUGAAAAUGCGAGCAUCAGUGUCAAGUAUAGCACUUGAACCCUGGUGGGCUUGGUGUGCCAUUGUCCUAUUAACCAUCUAACCACAGGUUGGUUGAUACGUCUUCAUCAUUUCUAUAAUUUUUGAUUGUUUUAUGUCCAUAUUCUACAACUUUUAAACAAUUUUGGUAAUAUUUUAUAUUAAUUUUGGGACUAACUUACCUAUCCAGUGUCGAGUGCUAGUUCCUGUUUUUUGUGUAUUUUUUGUUUUGCGGAAUAUCCAUAUCAAACAAAGUCCAAACAUGAUAAAAAUUACGGAGAUUAAUAUAUGUGAAUUUUGGGGAGCAGAAUCAAGGCAACAUAUAUAAUUACCCGAUGGCCCCCACCAUGCAACAGGGCGUGGCCAGGGUGGUUGGACGCACCCCCUUAAGUCGGUUGGGGCCCUACUUUCGCGCAAGAAAGAUAAUUUUCCGAUAAAAAUCCCCUCAAAAUUUCAGCCUGAUCGGAGUUACAGAUAUCUGAAUAUUUAAGAAACGAUGAAAGGCCAGAAAACAGAAGCGAAAAUAGGAGAGAAACAAAGAGAGUGAUCCAAUCUCGAAGCGGCUGCUGGUUGUUCAAAUGCUUAGAGAUUAGCCACCAAAAAUACUCAUGAAAAUCUCCCACAAAUAUUUUGUCCAAACCUCAAAGUCAAAUUUGGUGCCACCAAAAUUUUUCCGAAUCGGCCCUACCGAGUUUUACCCUAGACAAAAACUAUGCCAAACACAGUCAUUUCGGUACCACCAGGUUUGGUUUCUGUAUGACAGAAAAAAAACAGUGACCAACUCUCUGGUUAGCCAUUUGCUAAAAUCAAAAUUUCUGAGUUUUGCAAAUCGAUGCCACCGAGUCUGGUAACUACCCAGUCAAGCCAAAAUCGGACCCUUCCAGAUUCAUAUAUUAGUCUCACCGAAAAGCCUAAAGUUGUCACAUUACUAGUGCGGUGCAACCGAGUUUUUUACUUCGGUUUCAUCGAGUUGGGCAAUAAUGUUGUAAUGGUUGGAUUUUUGAAGAUGACUAUAUAUACCAAUCCACCAACCUCUUAUUUGUAGAGGAUGCACUCACAACGAACCAACAUUUGCCCCAUUCAUUUUUUUGAGAGAAAGUCACCUACUCAUGUGUUGAGAUCAGGAUAUUCCAUUCCUACCAUAUGAAUCUUGAUUUUUAGCCCCCAAGUUGCUUUUCACCCAAUCAAUUUCUUCUACCCAAACCAAAUAUGUGAGAGGGUGAUUGAGUGUUGAGGAGACUAUCUUUUAAAACACAAGAGUAGAGAGUUUAUUAUACUACCACAUCUAUUACUUUUAAAAGAGUGGUGUCUCCUAGAUUGGUUAUGGUCAUGUGCAGUUGAAUUAAGAUGUUUGUAAGGGCAAAGAGAUCCCCUACUUCGUGAGAUCUACUUUGAGUGAGACUAGUCCUUCAUGAACGUAAUUUGCAUGUGUAGGAUGUGCUUAACUUGCUAUAAUUACUAAAAUCUGCCAACAACUAAAAUUGGAAAAAUGUAAGGUUUUAAUUUUGUCAAGUAGUCUAUUCACCCCCUCUAGAUAUCCCUUCUAGUAAUCCCAUAAAAGGCCGGUUUUUAUAGAUUAAUAUAGACCAUUUUAUUUUUGUGUUUGGAUGGCCCGUAUUUGAAAAUACUAUUGCAACUUUUCGGUAGUAGUAUAUUUUAUUAUCAUGGACAGUUUUGAUAGUGUUGUGACCAAGACGGAAUUAACUCCCAUAAUAAUAGCACCAGAGAUUAAUUGUUGUGAUAAUUGCCUCCUACAUGCAUGCUGUGUCAAAGGGCACCUCCCACGUUCUAGUUUGGUUAUGCAUUGGCUAUCGCAUGCACUCGCACGAGCAUGCCUUGCCGCAUGCGUUGGCCCUUCGUACCGGUGUAUAAGCCAUCUUUCAAUGCAAAGAUGUUUAGCUGUUCGUAAGGCUGGUUAUAAUGGAGAGUAUCAUAUACUGGUAUCAUGCAUAUGAUACUACUCCCUCCGUUACGGUUUAGAAGACACAGUUAAACUUGCGUGCGUUUUCAAAAUAGACAAGGUUUAAGGCACAAAAGCAAUUAUUCCUAUUAAUUACUACUAGUACUCAUGCAUGCGCCCUCUCAAUUUGCUGUUCACGCAUUAGUACUAGUAUUUUUUCAGUUGAUUAGGCGCAUUACCAUUUACACCUGCUACAUCUCACAACCAAUCGGUGACUACCUUGGUCCAGAGAUUUUGCAUGCGUGCCUUCUAAACCGUGACGGAGGGAGUAGUGUAUAAUACUACAUCCGUAAUGCAUAGUAUCAUAUGUUAGUAUCAUAGACUAGGUCAUUUAUUGUCAUGCAUGACACAUAGUAGCACAACAUUUAAUAUGAUACGGUAUCAUGAUAUGAUACUCAACCUUAAGAUAAAAAUUGUCUAGUUGACAUGCAUGAUACUAUCUAUGGUACUACCAUUACGACCAUCCUAAUGUAUUGAUGCUUAACUUGUUGUUGGUAAGCGUCCUUCAUUUAACGAUUUUGGAACUAAAGUUGUUCAUGCAUUGAUGAGCUUCUUUCAUUUAAGUGUUUUGCCUAGGUUCACGCGCUUAGUAUUGUAUCUUUUCGGAGUCACCACACUCAUCUCUCUCCUAUUAAUUAACUUGUUGUAAGAUCGAAAGUAUGUUUAGAGGGGGGGUGAGUAGACUAUUUGACAAGAUAAAAACUUAGUCUUUUCCCAAUUUUAGUUGUGUGUCAGUUUUAGCAAUUAUGACUAGUCAAGUACACUCUACAUAUGCACAUCUAAGAGUAUAGCAUAGGAAAGUAAGACAUGCAAAUGUAAAGUAGAGGGUAAGGUAGGGGGAUCAAACACAAAUGUUGACACGUCAAUUUUUGGCAUGGUUUCGAUAAAUGACGCUAUCUAGGAGUGGGCACUAUAAAAUCGAAAACCAAAAAACCAAACCGAACCGAACCGUAUUAACAGAUUUGUCGGUUCAUUUGGUGGUUUGAUUUUUGGUUCGGUGGGAAAUUUUAAGGUUGUUCGGUGUUCUGUUUUUGUUCUAUUUUUGUUGCCCGGAAACCGAAUAGACCGAACAAACCGAUAUGUGGGAUACCCCACAUAAUACAUUGUUUCCGAAAGUGCAACAGUAUGGAGGCAUCACAUAUUUCUCCGCACAUAAUACAUUUCACGUUUCAUGUGCUUUUUCUACUUAAUUAUGGUUACUAAUUUGCUUGAACGAAUAAACCAUAGAAUGAUAUUAAGGUUGCUAGAACUUGUGAUUAUCUUUUUGCACAUUAUACAAUCCAAAUCAGUGCUCUCGAGUCAUUACACUUAUACUAACAAAUGCAUGAAUUUUGGUUUUUCGAUUAACCGAAUAAACCGAUCCGAUAUAUUAUGGUUAAUAUGGUUCAGUUUUAAAUUUUGAAUGAUUAUUUCGGUUUCUAUUCCUCCAAAAUUGAAAUUAUAUAGAACCGAAUAAACCGAACCGUAUUAACCAUAUAAACCGAACGCCCAGCCCUAACGCUAUCGUACGUCCAUGUUAGUAGAGAUUUCAACCCAAGAAGGGUAACGGCUGCGAGAGUCCACGGAGGUCUCCAACCACAAGGGAUUCACGAAGAAGCGGCCUUGUCUAUUCCACCACAUCUUCCGUCCACACAGAACUAGCGUCACUCAUGGUAGAUCUUCACGAAGUAGGCGAUCUCCUUGUUGUUACAAAUAUCUUGGUUCAACUCCACAACACAAAGUAGGAGGCUUCCAAGCGCCACCUAACCAAUCUAGGAGGCACCACCCUUCAAAAGGUAAUGCAUGUGGUAGAACGAUGAACUCCUUGCUCUUUUGCUUCUAAAGAUAGUCUCCUCAACACUCAAUCACUCUCUCUCUCAGAUUUGGCAGGGGUAGGAGAGAUUGUUCUUGUAGAAAGCAACUUCGGGAGGCUAUAAAUCAAGAUUCAAAUGGUUAGAAUGGAAUCUCUUGAUCUUAACACAUGAGUAGGUGGCUCUCUCUCAGAAAAAUGAAUCUGGCAAGUGUAAGUGUGUUAUGAGUGCUUCCUCUAUGAAUGAGACGUAGGUGGAGGGGUAUAUAUAGGCAUCCCCAAAAUCCAACCGUUACAACAUUAUUGCGCAACUCGGUGACACCAAAAAGAAUCUCGAUGGUACCGAGUUGCACUAAAUUUGGCAACUUUUGAAUUCUCGGUGAGAUCGAUAUAGGAAUCUCGGUGGUACCGAUACAAUGACCUAGACCGGUUUCCAAAUCUUGGUGAGACCGAUUUCAAACUCGGAAAUUCCGAUUCUUGAUAUCUUCUCAACAGAAAGUUGGUCACGGAAUCUUGGUGGCAUCGAUGUGAAAAUUGGUAGUACCGAGAUGAUAGGGUUUGGCAUAGGAUCUGUCAAGUGUAAAAUUGGUAGGGCCAAGUGGAAAUUGUUGGUGGCAUCGAUUUUGCUAGUUUGACUUUGGGAAGAGAUAUUUUAUGGGAAAAUGGCUAAGUAUUUUUUGUGGCUAUCUCUAAGAACUUGAGAAACCAAUUCAUCAUAAUACCUCACCCUCCUUUUAACAGUAUUGGCUUUCCUAUGGAUUCAAAAUGAUUUCUCACAAAUAUAAAAUAUAGAGUCUCCUUUCUUGAAGCUUGAGCCAAUCGUAUUCCUUUCCUAGCAUCAAGGGGCUUGUCCUCGCAAUCCUAUAGCCAAGGCAUCUUUGAACUUUUUUGAAAUAUAUACUUGAAUAAACUCAUUAGUCCAAUGAUGCAUAUGUUGUGAUUAAUUACCAAAACCACCUUAUGAAGCAAUUAUGCUUUCACUUGCCACGUCAGAUUCUUUGCCUACAUGACAACCUUAGCACAUGUACAAGGUGGAGUAUGUAUUGGGAGGGGUCCAAGUCAUCUUAGGUUGUGCACCCCGACCAAGACAAAAAAAAGAGACAAAUUAUUAAUUUUUUAAUUAAAAUCAUUACAUGUAAUAAAUUUACCACUGCAUGCCUUGCUAGUUAGUCUCAAAUUAUUAAAAACAUACACGGCCAAUAUCUUUUAUUGAUUGAUUUUUUUAUUCAUGUAAAAUAAAUGAAAAAUGAGGUGAGGGUUAAUGUAUCACACUUAAAUGUUUUAAAGUUAUUUGUUUUUUUAAGAUGAAUAUGCACGGGGCGGUGGGACUAUAACUAAUGAGAAACGACUUGAGGAGGAACUGAUCUCGGGCGCCGUUUAAGGCCUUGUUCGUUUGACAGUGAUUUAGAAGGGGUUUGACAGGGAUUGAGGUGGAUAUAACCCCUACAAGUCAAAUUCCACCCCAAUCCCCUCCAAUCAUCUUCAAAAGAGGUGGAACCGAACAAGGCCUAAAGAGAUCAUGCAAUGGAUAAAGGGCCAACGGGCAGAGCGGAGCGGCUGUGCCUUCAAAGAUCUUGGAGCGGCGACCGGAGGACGGGAGAUAGAGCGGCCACCGGACUGCUUGGGCGGCCGAUGAAUUGUAUGAAGAGCAAACCUACGAACUAAGAUGAAAGGCAAUUCAUUUGUUCGCAGAUCUGAUUACUUGCGUUAUUAAUCAUGACAAUUAAUUUUAAGAAAAGACAAAUCUACCCUAACAGCCAAUUACCAAAAUGCCGUAGGAAGAACAAAAUUAGGCAUCAAUAAUUGACCAUCGUAUCAGUUAUAUGCUACCCACUAUUUCCGGUAGUACAAUGCAUCGUAAGGCCCUUCCGAGUGCUCCAUGAUGAACAUGUACUAAGCAUGUCACAUAAGCAAAAAAAUGACAUGAGAUAGCAAUUAAGGAGGAAAGAGAACACUUUGAUGACCCCAGAAAGAACCAAUGCCAUACACGUGAACCUAGACAAACCACUUAAAUAAAAGAAGAUGACCAAUGCAUGAGAGAGUUUAGGUGCUAAAUCAACAAGUUAAGCAUCUAUGCAUUGAAAAGUUGAGUUGCUAAGCUAUUUAAUGCUCUUAACACCACAUCUUAAGGCUGCUCAUAGUGGAGAGUAACAUAUAGUAGUAUCAUGCAUAUGUUAUUAUUGUAUGAUACUACCUUCAGGCUGCCCGUAAUGGAAGUAUCGUAGGUAGUAUCAUGCAUGCCAACUAAGCAAUUUUGAUGAGGUGGCAUAGAAUUAAAUGAGGAAAAAGAGGGUUGAGUAUCAUAUUAUGAUACCGUAUCAUAUUAAAUGGUGUGCUACUAUGUGUCUUGCAUGUCAAUAAAUAACCUACCCUAUGAUACUAACAUAUAAUACUACUCCCUCCGUCACGGUUUAGAAGGCACAGUUAAACUUGCGUGCGUUUCCAAAAUAGACAAGGUUUAAGACACGAAAGCAAUUAUUCCUAUUAAUUAGUACUAGUAGUACUCAUGCAUGCGCCCUCCUAAUUUGCUGCUCACGCAUUAGUACUAGUAUUUUCUCAGUUGAUUAGGCGCAUUACCAUUGACACAUGCUACAUCCCACAACCAAUCGGUGACUACCUUGGUCCCAGAGAUUUUCCAUGCGUGCCUUUCAAACCGUGACGGAGGGAGUAUGCAUUACGGAUGUGGUAUCAUACACUAGUAUCAUAUGCAUGAUACUAAUAUAUGAUACUACCCAUUACAACCAGCCUCAUAGUGCAUACUAUCAGUAUCAUAGAUGAUCUCAUUUAUUGACAUGCAUGACACAUAAUAGCAUAGCAUUUAACAUGAUACUGUAUCUACCUAUGUUACUCUAACCCUCUCUCUCUUCUUUAAUUACUUGCCACAUCAUCAUGUUUGCUAGUCCCAAGACUAUGUUACUAGCUAUGAUAUCCCCACUAUGAUCAGCCUAACACCUUUGCAUUGGAAGGAGCCUAAAAAAAAAAUCUCUUUGCAUGACCGUAACCUUCAAUUCAAUAUUUUCCCUUGCCAGUUGCCACGGCAGAUCGAAUGCGGUUGCGCUGUCCACCACCGGUGCCAACUCUGCAAAGUUCGUUCGCUAGCUUUAUUGACCGAAAGCAGCACGGAGCCACCGCUUUGCCUUUAAUUUUCUGUGCUUAAUUCGAUUCAGCCAUUACCUUCUAACCACCAGCAAAUGCAUGCAUGCAUGCAUGCCCGGUAAUCAAAAGAAACCAUUAUUGCUGAGCGCUAGAUCUCCUCCGGCGUGCCUAUAUAUAUAUCGCCAUGGAGGCGGAGAUCGAUCAUCCAGUCCAUGUACCACGCGACAUCACAUGCAUAUAUAACAACGUAGACGCCAGAAGAGUUCAGCACCCAAAACUGAUUGUGUCGCUGAUUAAACUAGGCAGCCCAGCUAGGUCACCUCAAUGAACUCGCUGCGGUCGAGGCUCGUGGCUGUCGUUCUGGUCAUGGUUGUAGCUGCUGCUGGCGGCCUAUCCUUGGCGAGCACGGAAGAAAGGCUAAAUCUACUCCGUGGCAUGCCGCCCUCCUCGCCGACCUCAGUGGGCACCCUCGGCCUCGAGCUGCCGUGGAGGCGCCGUGUGGUGCGCCGGGGAGAGAAGAGCAUGGCCUGGCGGUGGCGCCGCAAUCCGCCCUCGGGCCCGAGCAGCCGCGGUCACGCAGCUGUCACCGUCUCGCCGGACGAGGAGGAGAAGAACCAGGCCGUCGAAACAUUGAUCCAUCAGUGCCAUGACCAACGCACGUACGUACUCUCUUUGUUUUAAAUAAGUAGACUUAAAAUAACUUAAUUUUACAUUACGAGUCAUCUAUUUUGAGACGGGGUGAGUAUAUGAUUAUGAAAUAUGAAUAUGGUAAUAACGCACGUGUGUGUGUGUAUAUACACACACAUAUAUAUAUAUAUAUAUGAUGCAUUAAGUUAAGAACUCAUGCAUGCAUUGCAUGAGCUGGAGUAUGUAUACAGUGUAUACCGACGGUAUCCUUCUAUAUCUAUAUCUAUCUAUUAGCUCUAUAUAUAUAAAUACUAGAUGAUGCCCCAUACGUUGAUGCGAAAACAUUGCUAAAAUAUGGAUAGAUAGUUGUUAUAAAAAAUCUAAAGCUAAUGAAAAAUGACUGUAAACUUAAAAACAAUAAAAUACAAAGCGUACAAGAAAAUAGUGAAAAUUAUAGUUAAAAUGUAUUAACAAAAUAUGGAGGAUGACCUCUAAUGCAAAAAAAAAACUAUUUAUGACUAAUAAUAUGCAUGAAUUGAUGAUGUGGCACCAUUGCAUGCAUAGAGUAAUGCAAAAGAUGGUAUUUAUGUCUUGCAUGCAUACUUGCUUAUGUGUGAUGGUUGCAUGAUUAAAAAAAAUAGAUAAUGUGUUGUAAGGAUAAAGAAUAUAUAUACUCUAUAUAUGUGUGCACAUGCUUGCUACGGUACUUCAUCUUUCAUGCAUGGACAGUGCGUGUGGGCCGACCCAAACUCGCCAACCGCAAGUGGACACCUUCUGACUCUAAUAUACUCUAAGAUGGUAUUUGAUCAUGCAUGGAUUUAUGGUACGUACAGUAGGUUAUCAAUCCUGCAGCACGUUUGCUUUCUCAAAUCAGUCUCCUGAUCAGUAGCAGGUUUUGGAGUAGGAGUGGCCUGAUCAUGUCAUUGCCGGUAUAUUAAGCAUCUUCCUGACUUGUAAAUUCGGACCCUUAAACAUCCGCAGACGCGUUCGAUCAACGACCGAACGUGUUACAUAUUUAUUCGUCCGCGCAACCACACUUUUCAUCUUCUUUAUCACAUGUCCAGUUACUUGCACAUGAUUAAUGAGGAGGAAGAUAGAGAAGAAAAAAAAGAUGUUCUGUGAUGGGGUCGCGUUCUAUGUGGCAGACUUAUCAGACGCGUUCGGACACGUUCGCGAGCCCUCAUAUCCUCCGCAUAUUUGAGUUGGAUAUGAGGAUUAGCGGACAAUUCGAACAUAUAAGGCCUUGUUCGGUUAGCCCCAUCCCCGCUGGGAUUGGGUGCAAACCCCGCCGAUCCACGUGGGUUUCGUCCCGGCCGGGGCCAAAUCCCGGUCUCGCUGCUGACAGCCUUCGGUUAGACCCUCUCUGAACCAAAUCCCUACCAAACUACGUGGAAAUCACAGGGAAACCACCCACGCGUCCCACCUCGUGGAAGCAAACCCUCCCACGAAACGUUAUGUGUGCUCUCUCUCUCUCCGCCCCGAUCCUCUCGAGGGAGUCUCUCCCUCCCUCGAUUCAGCGACGAGGCGCCGGGGACGCUACCGGAGCAGAUGGGCGUGCAUCCUCCUUCCCCUUCCUCCUCCCUUUUCAACUGUCAACUCAACAACCAAGUGAAGCGGCACGAGCUCGACGGUGACCCAGAACAGCCAUGGAGCCUGGCCGGUCUAAUCUCCCCCGCCACCUCACGCCGGAGAAGAGGAGGCAGCCGACGACGAGACCUUCAGAUUGGUUCUCUCUUUCUCUGUGUGUGUGCUUGCUCUCCUGCCUACUGUCUUUUCUCUCUCUACCUACAAUAAGGCGUUGGUGAUGCCGGCCUAGACUCAUGUUGUUAAUUAAUACUCCCGUAGAGGAUUAACCGAAUGCAAUAUGGAUUGCAUAGUGACAUGUAUUUAGGCCGCGAGCGGAUUUGGUGUAGGGUGGGGAAUCAUCCAAUAUUCUAGAGUAUUAAAUCCACUAGAGGAUUCCAUACUCUGCAACCGAACAAGGCCUAAGUAUGAUAUAAGGGGUCCGGUUGGGUCUUUUUUUUCCUUCUCUCUUGUCCGAUCACUGACCGGACGCGUCUGCGGACGUAUAAAGGUUCAUUUGAGGGAUCCGGCUAUAGAUACCUUUGCAUUAUCAUCGAAGUGCUUGUCACUACUUGUUCCCCCACCAUGCGGAACAAGCUAUUCGACAACGCCGCCGGCCUCCAAGCAAGCCCGCUGGAGGAUAUGCACGGCAAAUGUUAAAUUUAUCUCGAAAGGUCAAGCAUGUUUUUAGACAGUUCUAACACACAAAACCCUUUUUAGGAUGUAAUUAAGACACAAAACAUUAAUGGUGGGUUCUCUACAAAACCUUUAUUAGUACCCCCUCCGCUUCCUAAAUGUAAGACUUUUUGUAAAUUUUAUUAAAGACUACAUACGAAAGAAAAUAAGCGAAUCAAUACUUUAAAAUAUAUUUAUAUACAUAUGUAUGUAGUUCAUGUUAAAAUCUUUGAAAUGACUUAUAUUUAAAAAUAAAAGAAGUACAUGAAAGUAUAAGGAAAACAUUUACGUUUGACAUAUCAUCCAAACGCUGGACCUGACGCGCGCCAUCGUUGGAUGGUAACAAAUUGGAUGGCCCUCGCGCAAUUCUUUCUUUUGGCCAAUCUUAUCCUUUGUAUUUCUCUUGUCUCCUUCUCAAUCUUAUCCUCUAUAAAAUCACUAAUUAAAAAGUAUUUCUUUUAAGAAUCACUCUAACUUUUCCAGGUUGUGACAAUUGAUGAAUUGCAUGUGUACUACUUGUCGUAACCUAUGAGUUUUUCCUUUUUUUUCGUAGAUCCAUAUUUUCGAAACAUUUUAUCUCCUAAACCGUGUGUCCAAAUAUCGAAUCAUUUUCAUCGUUGGGUUUUCUCGUGUCGAGAUCUGUAAAACUAGAUCCCAUGCUGAUAGGUUUGACGAAAUUGUUUUACGAAAAAACCGUUCUUUCUUGAAAAAAAACGUGUUCUUUUCCUUUUCGAGAGGCACGACCGUGCCUAUCGCAAAUCAAAAACCGUGCCUCUCGUGAAAAAAUAACCAAAAAUCACGAUUUUAUUUCUUUCUCACACGCACGGUCGUGCCUCUCGCGAAGGAAAAAACCGUGCCUCUCACAAAAAGGAAACAACUAGAAAACAAGUUUUUUUUUACUUUUCGAGAGGCACGGUCGUGCAUCCCGCGAGGGCGAGUAAAUAGCAUAAAACUACUAUAAUUCGCGCUAUCAUUUCAAGAAACUACUGGAUUUUUUUUUCGUCGAUACCUACCGAGUGAGGGCCGGUUGUUUCAGAAAACCCGAAUAGUUGAGUGCUAAUCAGUUGAUCGCGAUUAUGACAUGUCGGACCAACACCUAAACGAAGCGUUAGUUUAACCAUUAAGUGACAUAUGGGGCCCACGUGUCAGUGUCUUAUCCUCUUAUUUGAAAACAUUUUACAAAAGCAAUCAGGUUCCUACAAUUUUUUUAAAAACAAUCACAUCCCUGCAAACUUUUUGAAAAAAGCAAUCGGGUCGUCCCGUCCUACAGAUCAAGAAGAGUUGCAACCACAUCUCUGCUCACCGGCAAGCAGCCGCGGUGAGGAGCUCGCCGGCCAGCAGACGCGAUAAGGAACUCGCCAACUAGCAGAGAUAGUCCCGCUUCGCAGCUCUCUUCCCUCUUCCUUGCAUCCGCUCGAGAUGGGUGGAGCGUCUCAACGUGCUCGGCUGCCAUUCUCAUCGUCGGCAACCAGCUCCAAAAUUUAAAAAACAGUUCCAAAAUUUAAAAAAAUGUUUCAAAAUUCAAAAAAAGUUCCGGAUUUGGAAAAAUGUUCUGAAAUUUGAAAAACUGCUCCGCAUUUGAAAAAUCUGAACAAAUGUUUCAGAUUUUAAUUAAAAAAAUCUGAAAUUGGAAAAAAUGUUUCGAAAUUUGGAAAAUGUUCCGGAGUUUGAAAAUAAUGUCCGGAAUUCGAAAAAAUAUCAAGCAUUUGAAAAAAUCUUUCCGAAAUUUCAUAAAUGUGCCGAAAUUUGUAAAAUGUACAGGAAUUUAAAAAAAUGAUCCAGCAUUCAAAAAAUUGUUCCGGAUUUGAAAAAUCGUUCCGGAAUUUCAAAAAAUGUUCUGAUAUUUUACAAAAUGUUAUGGAAUUUGAAAUAAUUAUCAGGAAUUUGAAAAAAUGUUCCGGAAUUUGAAAAAAUGUUCUGAAUUUGAAAAAAUGUUCCGGAAUUAUAAAAAUGUUUCAGAAUUUGAAAGCAUGUUUCUGAAUUUUAUAAAAUGUUCUGGAUUUUUAUAAAAAAAUUCGGAUUUUUAUAAAAUGUUCAGGAUUUUUGUAAAAAUGUUUCAGAUUUUUUGAGAAAAUGCUCAUGUUCGGAAUUUGACAAAACAGUCGGAUUAAGAAGCCACACGCGCCAUAGUAAACCAACAAAGCUCGCAAGAAAGAAGCCACAUGUCUCUAGUUUGAUCCACGCAUCGAGCAUGUUUUUUUAAGACUUUUUAGCUUGUUCUAAUAAUGGGCUGGAGUCCCACCUGUGCGCCCGCUCGGCUGCUCGCCUCAGCGAGAGGCGCAUAGCAGCUCCCAAACGGUGGCAAAUCCAAAUUUGAUUAACUUUUUUAAAGAAAUGAAGAUUUUUUAUCAAAUUUGAUGAACUUUUUUUCAAAAUAGGUGAUUGUUUUUCAAAAUCUGCGAACUUUUUUCAAAUUCAAUGAUAUUUUUUUUAAAUGAUGAAAUUUUAGUAAAAUUUGAUGAUUUUUUUCUAUAAAUUGGUGAAUGUUUUUCAAAAAAUGAUGAACUUUUUGAAAAAUCGGUGAACGUUUUUAAAAAUAUGAUGAACAUAUUUCAGAAUCAAUGAACUUUUUAAAAAGUUUGGUGAACGUUUUAAAAAAAUGAUGAUUUUUUAUACAAUUUAAUGAUUAUUUUUGAAACAUCGGUGAAUCUUUUUAAAAUACGAUGAACAUUUUCUCGGAAUCGAUCAACUUAUUUUAAAAAUCAGUGAACGUUUUUAAAAAAUGAUGAACUUUUAUCAAAUUUGAUGAAAUUUUUAAAAAAAUCAGUGAACGUUUUUUCGGAAUUGAUGAACUUUUUUCAAAUUCUAAUGAACGUUCUUUAAAUUCGUGUUUUUUUUAUUUUUUAAUAAAACUACGAAAUUUUUAAUUUACACAACAUAUUAAAAAUUGUAAAAAACGAAUUCAUAAAAAAUAGGAAAAUUCACUAGACUAAAUAUACCCAUAUAGAGCUUUGUGAACAUUAAUGCCAGCACAAUUCAAUUUUCUAAAAUUCUUUUAUCAAUUCCAAAUAAUUUUGAAACAUAUUUCCAACUAAUUGUCACAUUGAAGAAGUCAUUUUAUCUUCCCUCGUUUGUUUUCUUGUGAACUAGAAAAAAUGUUUGGAUAUUUCAAAAUCAAAAUAAAAUUUCAAUCAUUUUUUGUGGAUAAUACAUACAAUCUUCUUGAGUAUGUGAAAACGAUUUUGCCAAUACUUUGGGCCCAACUAUAACAAACCUCUAGUUCAAUUUUGAAUUACUUUCUUAAAUGUUCAGGAAUUCAUAUAAUCAAUAGAAUAUAGAAAAAACUCAAAAGUUUAAAAUAUUUUGUGAACACUUUCCACAAAACUCAUCGUAUUCCUAAUUUAUCAUUGGCUGAGGGGGGCUCAUGCAGAUCCAUAACCUGGUUACCAUGGUGUUGCAAGUGUUGCUUGUGUUUAUGAAUUUGUUAGAAUUAGAUCGUGAGUGUGUGUGUGUCAUAGAAUAGAAAACAGGCAAUGGUAAGAAGAAGAAACCGUGUGGUAAGAAGAACCAGAAGUGAAAAAUUUAGUGUCGACUAGUGUCAUUUAGUCAUGAUUAGACUACAAAUCUCAACUUGUGUGAUGUAAUGUUAUUUGUACUUCGAUGUGUAUUGUACUUUGAAAAAUAUGUGCCAGAUUUCAAAUUUGAGUCAUAUUACAAAUUUGAGUCGGCUUUUCAAAUUUGAGCUAUAUUUCAAAAUUGUGCUUUGAUGUGUAUUGUCAAGCCCCAUGUUUAUGCCAAAUAUAGUUCCCUUACCAUGAAGUAUGCCCUAGAUAUGGCCAUGAACUUCAUCAUUUGACAUGAAAUGCAUGAUUCCUCGUACAUGGUAGUCCAUUUUGUGAAAACUUUUUUGAAAAACUCAUGCAUGCCUCUUAAGUUUUCUUCACAUGAUAUGCGGGUGACUUUGAAUAGUUCAUACAACCUCCGUCCCAAAAUAAGUGACUCAACUCUACACUAAUUUUGUACCAGAGUUAGUACAAAGUUGAGUCGUUUAUUUUGGGACACAUAGAGUAUUAAACACACACAAAAUCUGGAGUUGAGGUAAGUUUUAAAAAAUGAAAUAUCUUUGUAACAAGUGAUUUUUCGUCCGAAACCCUCAUAUUUUGAAAGAGAUGGUCCAAUUUGUACAUGAAGUGCAUCCAGUUUUAGCCGUAACUCUCUCAACUUUUUCGCACAGGUUAUGUGGGUGAAAUGAUGAUACCAUGCCAAGCUUCAACCUUUUCGGAGUUCAUUUGUAGUGCUUUUCAAUUUCAGGGUCAUUUAGCUCAACAAAAUAUUAAAUGCAUGAAAAAUAGCAAAUGAAGUCACAAAGGGUUGAAAUUUGAGGAUGUCACUUUGAAUGGUUCAUAUUGAACACACAAAAAGUGUGGAGUUGUAAUAAGCUAAAAAUAAAUAAAUGUCUUUGUAAGAGAUGAUUUUUUGUCCGAAACCCUCAUACUUCGAAAGAGAUGGUCCAAUUUGUACAUGAUGUGCAUCCAAUUUUAUAUUUUUUUUCUAGCAACUAAGUCACAUAAAAUGAUGAUGCGUCCAAGUUUUCUAUUUUUAUAUAUUUUGUAAAUUACUUAUGCUCAACCCUAACCCCUAUGAUCCUCUGAAACCCCCUCAAACCCCUCUCAAAAUCCCCGUGAAACCUUUCUCCCGGGGGUCAUUGUGUCGAUGUGCGUGGGCGGUUUGGAUCAGGUGCUAGGGUUAGACAUGGUCGAUCCGCGAGAGGCGAUCUCCUUGUUGGGGAACGUUAAGUUUGCACAUCCUGCGGGUUCGAGAACUAUGUAGACAUGACCGAGACAUCUCUACGGCUAAUAACCAAUAACGGGACUUGGAUGUCCAUAUUGGUUCCUACCUAUUCUACGAAGAUCUUUAUCGACUGAACCAGGAUUCAGUUAAUCCCGAUUCGAUCGUCGGUAUCUCCAUACCUAGUUCAAUCUCAUUACAUGCAAGUCUCUUUACUCAUUCCGUAAUACAAGAUCCCGUGGCUAACUAUUUAGUCACAUUGCUUGCAAGCUUGUUGUGAUGUUGUAUUACCGAGUGGGCCCUGCUAUCCCACACACAACAGCGCCAGAAAUUGACACGUUGACAAAGGGUGGGCUUGCGUUGGUUUUUCCCUUGAAGAGGAAAGGGUGAUGCAACACAUGAGCAGUAAGUAUUUCCCUCAGUUUGAGAACCAAGGUAUCGAUCCAGAAGGAGAGUCUCGUCAAGUCCAGUGUACCUGCGCAAACAGAAACAAGCUUGCACCCAACGCUUCAAAGGGGUUGUCAAUCCGUUCAAGAUUGUUUGCAAAGUGAGAUCUGAAGGCGGAAAGUGCAACGAAGUAAAAAGUGUAAGGCUGAAAUAUGGUGUGGCGUAGACCCUGGGGGCCAUAGUGUUCACUAGAGGGUUCUCUCAAAAUAGCAAGUAUUAUGGUGGGUGAACAAAUUAUUCUCGAACAAUUGAUAGAACCGCGCAAAGUCAUGACGAUAUCUAAGGCAAUGAUCAUACAUAUAGGCAUCACGUCCGAGACAAGUAGACCGAUACAUUCUGCAUCUACUACUAUUACUCCACACAUCGACCGCUAUCCAGCAUGCAUCUAGUGUAUUGAGUUCAUGACAAACAGAGUAACACUUUAAGCAAGAUGACAUGAUGUAGAGGGAUAAUCUCAAAACAAUUAUGAAAACCCCAUCUUUUUACCCUUGAUGGCAACAACAUGAUGCAUGCCUCGCUACCCCUUCUGUCACUGGGUGAGGUCACCGCACGGUAUGAACCCAAAACCAAGCACUUCUCCCAUUGCAAGAAUCAUAGAUCUAGUUGGCCAGACAAAACCCACAACUCGAAGAGAAUUACAAGGAUAUGAAAUCAUGCAUAAGAGAGAUCAGAAGAAACUCAAAUAAGAUUCAUAGAUAAUCUGAUGAUAAAUCCACAAUUCAUCGGAUCUCGACAAACACACCGCAAAAGAAGAUUACAUCGGAUAGAUCUCCAUGAAGAUCAUGGAGAACUUUGUAUUGAAGAUCUAAGAGAGAGAAGAAGCCAUCUAGUUACUAGCUAUGGACCCGUAGGUCUAUGGUGAACUACUCACGCAUCAUCGGAGAGGUCAUGGUGUUGAUGAAGAAGCCCUCCGUAUCCGAAUCCCCCCUCUGGCAGGGCACCAGAACGUCCCCCAGAUGGGAUCUUGCGGAGACAGAAGCUUGUGGCAGCAGAAAAGUACUUUCGAUGAUCUCCUGAUUUUUUGGGGAUUUUUAGGGAAUAUAUAGGCGCAACCCCUAGGUUAGGGGAUGCCCAGGGGGCCCACAAGCCUCGAUGGUGCGGCCUCCCCCUGGCCGCGGGGUGGGGGUUUGUGGGCCCCCUGGGGCUCCCCUGCCUUGGCUCCCAAGCUCCCCGAUCUUCUUCCGUUCCAGAAAAAAUCUUUUCGGGGAUUUUCUUUCGUUUGGACUCCGUUUCAAAAUCUCCUCUGAAAGGGGUCAAAAAGAUGGAAAAAAACAGGAACUGGCACUUGGCACUGAGUUAAUAAGUUAGUCCCAAAAAAUAAAUAAAAGGCAUGCAAAACAUCCAAAGUUUGACAGGAUAAUAGCAUGAAACCAUAAAAAAUUAUAGAUACGUUGGAGACGUAUCAAGCAUCCCCAAGCUUAACUCCUGCUCGUCCUCGAGUAGGGAAGUGAUAAAGAAUGAAUUUUUGAUGUGGAAUGCUACCUAGCAUAGUUGUCCUUUGCAACUUCUUUCACGUGACAUGAAUGUUCAGAUCCGUAAGAUUCAAAGCAAUAGUUUACUAUUGACAUGAAAACAGUAAUACUUCAAGAAAACUAGCAAAGUAAUCAUGAACUUUCAAAAUAACAAGGCCAAAGAAAGUUAUCCCUACAAAAUCAUAUAGUCUGGCUAUGCUCCAUCAUCCUCACAGAACUAAUGUAAAUCAUGCACAACCCUAGAAUUGGCCAAGUAAUUGUUUUCUCACUCUUACUUUCUCAAACUUUUUAUAACUAUCACGCAAUACAUGAGCGCGAGCCAUGUAUAUAUCACUAUAGGUGGAAUAGAGUGUGGUGGUGGUGGUGAGACAAAAAGGAGGAGAUGGUCACACUGACUCGACGUAUCAAUAGGCUAUGGAGAUGCCCAUUAAUAGAUAUCAAUGUGAAUGAGUAGGGAUUGCCAUACAAGAGAUGCACCAGAGCUAUAAGUAUGUGAAAGCUCAAAAGGAAAACUAGUGGGUGUGCAUCCAACUUGCUUGCUCACGAAGACCUAGGGCAAUUUUGAGGAAGCCAAUCAUUGGAAUAUACAAGCCAAGUUAUAUAAUGAAGAUUCUGUUGGAGAAGACAUCUACGCAUGAACCUAGCUCAUGAUGCCACUGUUGAAGAACGUCGCAUGGGAAACAAAAAUUUUCCUACGCGCACGAAGACCUAUCAUGGUGAUGUCCAUCUACGAGAGGGGAUGAGUGAUCUACGUACCCUUGUAGAUCGUACAGCAGAAGCGUUAGAGAACGCGGUUGAUGUAGUGGAACGUCCUCACGUCCCUCGAUCCGCCCCGCGAACAAUCCCGCGAUCAGUCCCACGAUCUAGUACCGAACGGACGGCACCUCCGCGUUCAGCACACGUACAGCUCGACGAUGAUCUCGGCCUUCUUGAUCCAGCAAGAGAUACGGAGAGGUAGAAGAGUUCUCCGGCAGCGUGACGGCGCUCCGGAGGUUGGUGAUGACCUUGUCUCAGCAGGGCUCCGCCCGAGCUCCGCAGAAACGCGAUCUAGAGGAAAAACCGUGGAGGUAUGUGGUCGGGCUGCCGUGGAAAAGUCGUCUCAAAUCAGCCCUAAAACCUCCGUAUAUAUAGGUGGGAGGGAGGGGACCUUGCCUUGGGGCUCAAGGAGCCCCAAGGGGGUCGGCCGAGUCCAAGGGGGGAGGACUCCCCCCCCCCAAACCGAGUUGGACUUGGUUUGGUGGGAGGGAGUCCCCCUUCUUUCCCACAUCCUCCUUUUUUUUCCUUUCUCUUUGAUUUUUAUCUCUAUGGCGCAUAGGGCACUUGUGGGCUGUCCCACCAGCCCACUAAGGGCUGGUGUGCCUCCCUCAAGGCCUAUGGGCUUCCCCGGGGUGGGUUGCCCCCCCGGGUGAACUCCCGGAACCCAUUCGUCAUUCCCGGUACAUUCCCGGUAACUCCGAAAACCUUCCGGUAAUCAAAUGAGGUCAUCCUAUAUAUCAAUCUUCGUUUCCGGACCAUUCCGGAAACCCUCGUGACGUCCGUGAUCUCAUCCGGGACUCCGAACAACAUUCGGUAACCAACCAUAUAACUCAAAUACGCAUAAAACAACGUCGAACCUUAAGUGUGCAGACCCUGCGGGUUCGAGAACUAUGUAGACAUGACCCGAGAGACUCCUCGGUCAAUAUCCAAUAGCGGGACCUGGAUGCCCAUAUUGGAUCCUACAUAUUCUACGAAGAUCUUAUCGUUUGAACCUCAGUGCCAAGGAUUCAUAUAAUCCCGUAUGUCAUUCCCUUUGUCCUUCGGUAUGUUACUUGCCCGAGAUUCGAUCGUCAGUAUCCGCAUACCUAUUUCAAUCUCGUUUACCGGCAAGUCUCUUUACUCGUUCCGUAAUACAAGAUCCCGCAACUUACACUAAGUUACAUUGCUUGCAAGGCUUGUGUGUGAUGUUGUAUUACCGAGUGGGCCCCGAGAUACCUCUCCGUCACACGGAGUGACAAAUCCCAGUAUUGAUCCAUACUAACUCAACUAACACCUUCGGAGAUACCUGUAGAGCAUCUUUAUAGUCACCCAGUUACGUUGCGACGUUUGAUACACACAAAGCAUUCCUCCGGUGUCAGUGAGUUAUAUGAUCUCAUGGUCAUAGGAAUAAAUACUUGACACGCAGAAAACAGUAGCAACAAAAUGACACGAUCAACAUGCUACGUCUAUUAGUUUGGGUCUAGUCCAUCACGUGAUUCUCCUAAUGACGUGAUCCAGUUAUCAAGCAACAACACCUUGUUCAUAAUCAGAAGACACUGACUAUCAUUGAUCAACUGGCUAGCCAACUAGAGGCAUGCUAGGGACAGUGUUUUGUAUAUGUAUCCACACAUGUAAAUGAGUCUUCAUUCAAUACAAUUAUAGCAUGGAUAAUAAACGAUUAUCUUGAUACAGGAAUUAUAAUAAUAACUAUAUUUAUUAUUGCCUCUAGGGCAUAAUUCCAACAGUCUCCCACUUGCACUAGAGUCAAUAAUCCAGCCCUCACAUCACCAUGUGAAUUACAUUGUAAUAAAUCUAACACCCAUACAGUUCUGGUGUUGAUCAUGCUUUAGCCGUGGAAGAGGUUUAGUCAUCGGGUCUGCUACAUUCAGAUCCGUGUGCACUUUGCAUAUAUUCACGUCCUCUCCCUCGACAUAGUCGCGGAUGAGGUUGAAGCGUCGUUUGAUGUGUCUGGUCUUCUUGUGAAACCAUGGUUCCUUUGCUAAGGCAAUGGCACCAGUGUUAUCACAAAACAAGGUUAUUGGAUUCAGUGCGCUUGGCACCACUCCAAGAUCCGUCAUGAACUGCUUCAUCCAGACACCCUCCUUAGCCGCCUCCGAGGCAGCCAUGUACUCCGCUUCACAUGUAGAAUCUGCUACGACGCUUUGCUUGGAACUGCACCAGCUUACUGCACCCUCAUUAAGAAUAAAUACGUAUCCGGUUUGCGACUUAGAGUCGUCCGGAUCUGUGUCAAAGCUUGCAUCGACGUAACCUUUUACUGCGAGCUCUUCGUCACCUUCAUACACGAGAAACAUCUCCUUAGUCCUUUUCAGGUACUUCAGGAUAUUCUUGACCGCUGUCCAGUGAUCCACUCCUGGAUUACUCUGGAACCUACCUACCAUACUUAUGGCCAGGCUAACAUCCGGUCUAGUGCACAGCAUCGCAUACAUGAUAGAACCUAUGGCUGAAGCAUAGGGGACGGAGCGCAUAUUCUCUCUAUCUUCAUCAGUUGCUGGGCACUGAGUCUUACUCAAUCUCGUACCUUGUAGAACUGGCAAGAACCCUUUCUUGGACUGUUCCAUUUUGAACCUCUUCAAAACUUUAUCAAGGUAUGUGCUUUGUGAAAGUCCUAUCAGGCGUUUUGAUCUAUCCCUAUAGAUCUUAAUGCCUAGAAUGUAAGCAGCUUCUCCUAGGUCCUUCAUAGAGAAACUUUUAUUCAAGUAAUCCUUUAUGCUCUCUAAAAACUCUACAUUGUUUCCAAUCAGUAAUAUGUCAUCCACAUAUAAUAUUAGAAACGCCACAGAGCUCCCACUCACUUUCUUGUAAAUACAAGAUUCUCCAACCACUUGUAUAAACCCAAAUGCUUUGAUCACCUCAUCAAAGCGUUUGUUCCAACUCUGAGAUGCUUGCACCAGUCCAUAAAUGGAUCGCUGGAGCUUGCACACCUUGUUAGCAUUCUUAGGAUCGACAAAACCUUCGGGUUGUAUCAUAUACAAUUCUUCUUUAAGGAAAUCGUUUAAGGAACGCCGUUUAAGGAACGCCGUUUUGACAUCCAUCUCCCAGAUUUCAUAAUCGAAAAAUGCAGCUAUUGCUAACAUGAUUCUGACGGACUUAAGCAUCGCUACAGGUGAGAAAGUCUCAUCGUAGUCAACUCCUUGAACCUUGUGAAAAACCCUUUGCCACAAGUCGAGCUUUAUAAACGGUCACAUUACCGUCAGCGUCCGUCUUCCUCUUAAAGAUCCAUUUGUUCUGAAUGGCCUUGCGGCCCUCAGGCAGUACCUCCAAAGUCCACACUUUGUUCUCAUACAUGGAUCCUAUCUCGGAUUUCAUGGCCUCCAGCCAUUUGUUGGAAUCUGGGCCCACCAUUGCUUCUUCAUAAUUCACAGGUUCAUUGUUGUUUAACAACAUGAUUGAUAAGACGGGAUUACCGUACCACUCUGGAGCAGCACGUGGUCUCGUCGACCUGCGUCGUUCGACAGAAACUUGAACUGGAGUUUCAUGAUCAUCAUCAUUAACUUCCUCCUCAACCGGCGUCGCAAUGACAGAGGUUUCCCCUUGCCCUGCGCCACCAUCCAGAGGGAUGAGAGGUUCGACAACCUCGUCAAGUUCUAUCUUCCUCCCACUCAAUUCUCUCGAGAGAAACUCCUUCUCGAGAAAAGCUCCGUUUUUAGCAACAAACACUUUGCCCUCGGAUUUGAGAUAGAAGGUGUACCCAACUGUCUCUUUUGGGUAACCUAUGAAGACGCAUUUUUCCGCUUUGGGUUCCAGCUUUUCAGGCUGAAGCUUUUUGACAUAAGCAUCACAUCCCCAAACUUUAAGAAACGACAACUUUGGCCUUUUGCCAUACCACAGUUCGUAUGGUGUCGUCUCAGCGGAUUUUGAUGGUGCCCUAUUUAAAGUGAAUGCAGCUGUUUCUAAUGCAUAGCCCCAAAAUGAUAACGGCAAAUCAGUAAGAGACAUCAUAGAUCGCACGAUCUCUAAUAGAGUACGAUUACGACGUUCGGACACACCAUUACGCUGUGGUGUUCCAGGCGGUGUUAACUGUGAAACAAUUCCACAUUGUCUCAAGUGAGCACCAAACUCGAAACUCAGAUAUUCACCCCCACGAUCAGACCGUAGGAACUUGAUCUUCUUGUUACGAUGAUUUUCCACUUCACUCUGAAAUUGCUUGAACUUUUCAAAUGUUUCAGACUUGUGCUUCAUCAAGUAGACAUAACCAUAUCUACUUAAAUCGUCAGUGAAGGUGAGAAAAUAACGAUAUCCGCCGCGUGCCUCCACGCUCAUCGGACCACACACAUCGGUAUGUAUGAUUUCCAACAAGUCACUUGCACGCUCCAUUGUUCCUGAGAACGGAGUCUUAGUCAUCUUGCCCAUGAGGCAUGGUUCGCACGUGUCAAGUGAAUCAAAGUCAAGUGACUCCAAAAGUCCAUCAGCAUGGAGUUUCUUCAUGCGCUUUACACCAAUAUGACCUAAGCGGCAGUGCCACAAAAAUAUGGCGCUAUCAUUGUUAACUCUAACUCUUUUGGUCUCAAUGUUAUGUAUAUGCGUAUCGUUAUCAAGAUUCAAUAUGAACAAUCCUCUCACAUUCGGUGCAUGACCAUAAAAGAUGUUACUCAUAGAAAUAGAACAACCAUUAUUCUCUGACUUAAAAGAGUAACCGUCUCGCAAUAAAUAAGAUCCAGAUAUAAUGUUCAUGCUCAACGCAGGCACUAAAUAACAAUGAUUUAAGUUCAUCACUAAUCCUGACGGUAACUGAAGUGACACUGUGCCGACGGCGAUUGCAUCAACCUUGGAACCAUUUCCUACGCGCAUCGUCACUUCAUCUUUCGCCAGCCUUCGCCUAUUCCGCAGUUCCUGUUUCGACUUGCAAAUAUGAGCAACAGAAUCGGUAUCGAAUACCCAGGCACUACUACGAGAGCCGGUUAAGUACACAUCAAUAACAUGUAUAUCAAAUAUACCUGAUUUUUCUUUGCCCGCCUUCUUAUCUGCCAGAUACUUGGGGCAAUUGCGCUUCCAAUGACCCAUACCCUUGCAAUAGAAACACUCCGUUUCAGGCUUAGGUCCAGCUUUGGGUUUCUUCGUCGGAUUGGCAACAGGCUUGCCACUCUUCUUCGAAUUGCCCUUCUUGCCUUUGCCGUUUCUCUUGAAACUAGUGGUCUUAUUCACCAUCAACACUUGAUGCUCUUUACGGAGUUCAGACUCUGCGACUUUCAGCAUCGCAAACAACUCGUCGGGAGACUUGUUCAUCCCUUGCAUGUUGUAGUUCAACACAAAGCCUUUAUAGCUUGGCGGCAGUGAUUGAAGGAUUCUGUUAGUGAUAGCUUCUUGCGGGAGUUCAAUCCCCAGCUCAGCUAGACGGUUUGAGUACCCAGACAUUUUGAGCACAUGUUCACUGACAGAUGAGUUUUCCUCCAUCUUGCAAGCAUAGAAUUUAUCGGAGGUCUCAUACCUCUCGAUCCGGGCGUUCUUCUGAAAGAUAAACUCCAACUCCUGGAACAUCUCAAAUGCUCCAUGACGCUCAAAGCGACGUUGAAGUCUCGGUUCUAAGCCAUACAAGACUGCACAUUGAACUAUUGAGUAGUCCUCCUUACGUGCUAACCAAGCGUUCUUAACAUCCUGAUCAACCGUAGCGGGUGGUUCAUCUCCUAGCGCAGCAUUAAGGACAUAAUCCUUCUUCCCAGCUUGUAAGAUUAGCUUAAGAUUACGAGCCCAGUCUACAAAGUUGCUUCCAUCAUCUUUCAACUUAGCUUUCUCUAGGAACAUAUUAAAAUUCAGGAUGACUGUCGCGUGAGCCAUGAUCUACAACACAAAUAUAUUCAAAGUGGACUUAGACUAUGUUCAAGAUAAUUAGAGUUUAACUUAAUCAAAUUAUUCGCUAAACUCCCACUCAAAAAGUACAUCUCUCUAGUCAUUUGAGUGGUUCAUGAUCCACUUACACUAGCUCAAGUCCGAUCAUCACGUGAGUUGAGUAUAGUUUCAGUGGUAAGCAUCCCUAUGCUAAUCAUAUCAUCUAUAUGAUUCAUGAUCGACCUUUCAGUCUCAUGUGUUCUGAGGCCAUGUCUGCACAUGCUAGGCUCGUCAAGCUUAACCCGAGUGUUCCGCGUGCGCAACUGUUUUGCACCCGUUGUAUGUGAACGUUGAGUCUAUCACACCCGAUCAUCACGUGGUGUCUCGAAACGACGAACUGUAGCAACGGUGCACAGUCGGGGAGAACACAAUUUCGUCUUGAAAUUUUAGUGAGAGAUCACCUCAUAAUGCUACCGUCGUUCUAAGCAAAAUAAGGUGCAAAAAAGGAUUAACAUCACAUGCAAUUCAUAAGUGACAUGAUAUGGCCAUCAUCACGUGCUUCUUGAUCUUCAUCACGAAAGCACCGGCACGAUCUUCUUGUCACCGGCGCCACACCAUGAUCAUCCAUCAACGUGUUGCCAUCGGGGUUGUCGUGCUACUCAUGCUAUUACUACUAAAGCUACUUCCUAGCAAAAUAGUAAACGCAUCUGCAAGCACACACGUUAGUAUAAAGACAACCCUAUGGCUCCUGCCGGUUGCCGUACCAUCGACGUGCAAGUCGAUAUUUCUAUUACAACAUGAUCAUCUCAUACAUCCAAUAUAUCACAUCACAUCAUUGGCCAUAUCACAUCACAAGCAUACCCUGCAAAAACAAGUUAGACGUCCUCUAAUUUUGUUGUUGCAUGUUUUACGUGGUGACCAUGGGUAUCUAGUAGGAUCGCAUCUUACUUACGCAAACACCACAACGGAGAUAUAUGAGUUGCUAUUUAACCUCAUCCAAGGACCUCCUCGGUCAAAUCCGAUUCAACUAAAGUUGGAGAAACCGAGACUUGCCAGUCAUCUUUGAGCAACGGAGUUACUCGUAACGAUGAAACCAGUCUCUCGUAAGCGUACGAGUAAUGUCGGUCCAAGCCGCUUCAAUCCAACAAUACCGCGGAAUCAAGAAAAGACUAAGGAGGGCAGAAAAACGCACAUCACCGCCCACAAAAACUUUUGUGUUCUACUCGAGAAGACAUCUACGCAUGAACCUAGCUCAUGAUGCCACUGUUGAAGAACGUCGCAUGGGAAACAAAAAUUUUCCUACGCGCACGAAGACCUAUCAUGGUGAUGUCCAUCUACGAGAGGGGAUGAGUGAUCUACGUACCCUUGUAGAUCGUACAGCAGAAGCGUUAGAGAACGCGGUUGAUGUAGUGGAACGCCCUCACGUCCCUCGAUCCGCCCCGCGAACAAUCCCGCGAUCAGUCCCACGAUCUAGUACCGAACGGACGGCACCUCCGCGUUCAGCACACGUACAGCUCGACGAUGAUCUCGGCCUUCUUGAUCCAGCAAAAGAGACGGAGAGGUAGAAGAGUUCUCCAGCAGCGUGACGGCGCUCCGGAGGUUGGUGAUGACCUUGUCUCAGCAGGGCUCCGCCCGAGCUCCGCAGAAACGCGAUCUAGAGGAAAAACCAUGGAGGUAUGUGGUCGGGCUGCCGUGGAAAAGUCGUCUCAAAUCAGCCCUAAAACCUCCGUAUAUAUAGGUGGGAGGGAGGGGACCUUGCCUUGGGGCUCAAGGAGCCCCAAGGGGGUCGGCCGAGUCCAAGGGGGGAGGACUCCCUCCCCAAACCGAGUUGGACUUGGUUUGGUGGGAGGGAGGCCCCCUUCCUUCCCACCUCCUCCUUUUUUUUCCGUUCUCUUUGAUUUUUAUCUCUAUGGCGCAUAGGGCACUUGUGGGCUGUCCCACCAGCCCACUAAGGGCUGGUGUGCCUCCCUCAAGGCCUAUGGGCUUCCCCGGGGUGGGUUGCCCCCCCGGUGAACUCCCGGAACCCAUUCGUCAUUCCCGGUACAUUCCCGGUAACUCCGAAAACCUUCCGGUAAUCAAAUGAGGUCAUCCUAUAUAUCAAUCUUCGUUUCCGGACCAUUCCGGAAACCCUCGCGACGUCCGUGAUCUCAUCCGGGACUCCGAACAACAUUCGGUAACCAACCAUAUAACUCAAAUACGCAUAAAACAACGUCGAACCUUAAGUGUGCAAACCCUGCGGGUUCGAGAACUAUGUAGACAUGACCCGAGAGACUCCUCGGUCAAUAUCCAAUUGCGGGACCUGGAUGCCCAUAUUGGAUCCUACAUAUUCUACGAAGAUCUUAUCGUUUGAACCUCAGUGCCAAGGAUUCAUAUAAUCCCGUAUGUCAUUCCCUUUGUCCUUCGGUAUGUUACUUGCCCGAGAUUCGAUCGUCAGUAUCCGCAUACCUAUUUCAAUCUCGUUUACCGGCAAGUCUCUUUACUCGUUCCGUAAUACAAGAUCCCGCAACUUACACUAAGUUACAUUGCUUGCAAGGCUUGUGUGUGAUGUUGUAUUACCGAGUGGGCCCCGAGAUACCUCUCCGUCACACGGAGUGACAAAUCCCAGUCUUGAUCCAUACUAACUCAACUAACACCUUCGGAGAUACCUGUAGAGCAUCUUUAUAGUCACCCAGUUACGUUGCGAUGUUUGAUACACACAAAGCAUUCCUCCGGUAUCAGGGAGUUAUAUGAUCUCAUGGUCAUAGGAAUAAAUACUUGACACGCAGAAAACAGUAGCAACAAAAUGACACGAUCAACAUGCUAUGUCUAUUAGUUUGGGUCUAGUCCAUCACGUGAUUAUCCUAAUGACGUGAUCCAGUUAUCAAGCAACAACACCUUGUUCAUAAUCAGAAGACACUGACUAUCAUUGAUCAACUGGCUAGCCAACUAGAGGCAUGCUAGGGACGGUGUUUUGUCUAUGUAUCCACACAUGUAAAUGAGUCUUCAUUCAAUACAAUUAUAGCAUGGAUAAUAAACGGUUAUCUUGAUACAUGAAUUAUAAUAAUAACUAUAUUUAUUAUUGCCUCUAGGGCAUAAUUCCAACAGAUUCCCACUAGCAUAUGGUAGUGACAAAGCAAGAAGCUCUCAAUCAUGAAGAACAUGGUGCUAACAUGAAGCACAAGUGUGGGAAAAGAUAGUAGCAUUGUCCCUUCUCUCUUUUCUUUUUUUCAUUUGGGCUCUUAGGCCUCUUUUAUUUUCUUUUCUCUCAUUUUUUUGGGCUCUUUGGCCUCUCUUUUUUCCUCACAUGGGACAAUGCUCUAUUAAUGAUGAUCAUCACACUUGUAUUUACUCACAGCUCAAAGAUCACAAUGAUGAUGACUCCAUAGGAAAUGCCUCCGACAGUGUACCGGGAUGUGCAACGAUCUAGCAUGGCGUAUGACGUUGAAACAUCUCGCUAGCUAUCUUACGAUCAUGCAAUGGCAAUAUGAGAGUGACGGCACAAGUCAUGAGACGGAACGGUGGGAGUUGCAUGGCAAUAUAUCUCGGAAUGGCUAUUAAAAUGCCAUAGUAGGUAGAUAUGGUGGUUGUUUUGAGGAAGGGACUUGGUGGGUUUGUGCACCGGCGAGAAUUGCACGGCACUAGAGAGGCUAGCAAUGGUGGAAGGUGAAAGUGCAUCUAUACCAUGGGCUCACAUUAGUCAUGAAGAACUCACAUACUUGUUGCGAAAGUUUCUAUUAGUAAUUGAAACAAAGUGCUAAACGCAUACUCCGAGGGGAAGGGUUGGUAGGUGUAAACCAUCGCGCAAUCCCGACCUCAACACAAAGGAUGACAUUCAAUAGAUCAAUUAUGCUCCGACUUCCUAACAUAGCGGUUCACCAUACGUGCAUGCUACGGGAAUCACUAACUCCUACACUAGUAUCUCUAGAUUCACAACACCCUACUAACAUAACUCUCAAUACUACCGAAUCCACGUCUCAAAACUAAUUGAGAGGAAUCGAAACUUCUCUUUCUACUCAAUGCACGUGAAGAUGGAGGUUUUUGCAUCCUCUUUGGGUACCUAGCACAUUUGGGACUACUUUCAUAGCAUAAGUCAACUACCAAAUCACGCACCGCCGUGCUCUAAAGAUAAAAGUGAAGCACAAGAGCAAAAGUAUAUAGCUCAAAAGAUAUAAGUGAAGCACAAGAGCAAAAGUAUCUAGCUCAAAAGAUAUAAGUGAAGCACUAUGAGCAUUCUAGUAAAAUCACGAUGAGUGCAUGUCUCUCUCUCUCAAAAUGGUGUGCAGCAAGGAUGAUUGUGACACAACAAAAAGAAAAGACUCCUAUGAUACAAGAUGCUCCAAGCAAAACACAUAUCAUGUGGUGAAUAAAAAUAUAGCUCCAAGUAAUGUUAUCGAUGGAUUGAAUACGAAAGAGGGGAUGCCUUCCCCGGGCAUCCCCAAGCUUAGGCUUUUUGGUGUCCUUGAAUUUGGCUUGGGAUGCCUUGGGCAUCCCCAAGCUUGAGCUCUUUCCACUCCUUAUCUCUUUGUCCAUGAGAACAUCACCCAAAACUUGAAAACUUCACAACACAAAACUUAAACACAAACUCGUGAUAUCAUUAGCACAAGAAAACAAACUACCACCUCUUUUGGUACUGUAGCAAACUUGAAUUCUAUCUAUAUUGGUGUUGGGCUACUGUAUUCUCACUUUUCCAUGGCUAGUACCCCCCGAUACUAACCAUAGUUUCAUCAAAACAAGCAACCAACUCAACAAAAACAGAAUCUGUCAAAAACAGACCAGCCUGUAGCAAUCUGUAUACUUCGUAUACUUCUGGUACCUCAAAAAAUCUGAAAAAUUACGAAGGCAUGGGCAAAAGGCAUAUCAACCAGUAGCAAACAGAAUCAACUCAAAGGCUCUUUCUUAAUAAAAAUGAAAAAUCAUCUCGUUAGCGAAAAGUUUCUGUCUUUUUCCAGCAGGAUCAAACAACCAUUACCAAGACUAGUCAUAAAGGUUUUGCUUGGCUCAAACACAAAAAGAAACACAAAAACACAAUCACAACAGAACUAUGAAAAUGUGGACGCAACAAAACAGAAAGAAAAAGGUAAAUUCAUUGGGUUGCCUCCCAACAAGUGCUAUUGUUUAACGCCCUUAGCUAGGCAUUGAUAAUUCAAUGAUGCUCACACAAAAGACAAGAAUUGAAGCACAACGAGAGCAUCAUAAAGCAUGUGAAAAUCACAUCUAAUUCUAACAUACUUCCUAUGCAUAGGCAUUUUAUAGGAAAACAGAUUGUCAAGACAACCAAUAGUUACCAUAUGCAAGGAAGAAGAAAGAGACAAUAUCAAUCUCAACAUAACGAGAGGUGAUUUAGUGAUAUGAAAGUUUCUACCACCAUAUUUUCCUCUCUCGUAAUAAUUACAUGUGGGAUCAUAUUCGAAUUCAACGAUGUAACUAUCACAUAGGAUAUUCUUUCCAUGAUCUACAUGCAUGCAAAGUUGACGUUCUUCAAAAAUAGUGGGAUUAUCAUCAACUAAAGUCAUGACUUCUCCAAACCCACUUUCAAUAAUAUUGCAAAUAUCAUAUUCAUCAUGAGGCUUAAACAAAUUUUCAAGAUCAUAAGAAAAAUCAUCGCCCCACUCAUGAUCAUUGCAACAAGUAGUGGACAUAGCAAAACUAGCAUCCCCAAGCUUAGGGUUUUGCAUAUUUUUAGCAUGAUUGUCACUAAUAGAAUUUAUUGUGAAACCAUUGCAAUCAUGCUUUUCAUCCAAGGAGCCCUCGUGAAUCACUUCAUAAAUUUAUUCCUCACAAUUUUCAGAUUCACGCAUCUCAAGCAAAACUCCAUAAAGAUAGUCAAGUGCACUCAACUCACUAGCAAUUGGAUCAACAUAAUUGGAUCUCUUAAAGAGAUUAGCAAGUGGAUGAGGAUCCAUAUCACUAGAUUUUCAGCAAGCAAAGAUGCAAGCAUAUUGAAGGCACAUGGCACACAAGCGAAGCAAGCGAGAGAAAAUAGCGAACGAAAAAGGCAAACGAAAAAAGGCAAAUUGGUGAAGUGGGGGAGAGGAACACGAGAGGCAACUCACAAACAAAGUAAAUGCAAGAGAUGAGUUUGCGAGACUUACUUGGAUGAGUUCUUGACUUGAUCUUCCUCCCCGGCAACGGCGCCAGAAAUUCUUCUGCUAUCCCACAGACAACAGCGCCAGAAAUUGACAUGUUGACAGAGGCUGGGCUUGCGUUGCUUUUUCCCUUGAAGAGGAAAGGGUGAUGCAGCACAGGAGUAGUAAGUAUUUCCCUCAGUUUGAGAACCAAGGUAUCAAUCCAGAAGGAGGGUCUCGUCAAGUCCAGAGUACCUGCGCAAACACAGACAAGCUUGCACCCAACGCUUCAAAGGGGUUGUCAAUCCCUUCAAGAUUGUUUGAAAAGUGAGAUCUGAAGGCGGAAAGUGCAACGAAGUAAAAAGUGUAAGGCUGAAAAUAUGGUGUGGAGUAGACCCUGGAGGCCAUAGUGUUCACUAGAGGCUUCUCUUAAAAUAGCAAGUAUUACGGUGGGUGAACAAAUUACUGUCGAGCAAUUGAUAGAACCGCGCAAAGUCAUGACGAUAUCUAAGGCAAUGAUCAUACAUAUAGGCAUCACGUCCGAGACAAGUAGACCGAUACUUUCUGCAUCUACUACUAUUACUCCACACAUCGACCGCUAUCCAGCAUGUAUCUAGUGUAUUGAGUUCAUUACAAACAGAGUAACGCUUUAAGCAAGAUGACAUGAUGUAGAGGGGUGAUCUCACACCAAUGAUGAAAGCCCCAUCUUUUUACCCUUGCUGGCAACAACACGAUGCGUGCCUCGCUACCCCUUCUGUCAGUGGGUGAGGUCACCACACGGUAUGAACCCAAAACCAAGAACUUCUCCCAUUGCAAGAAUCAUAGAUCUAGUUGGCCAGACAAAACCCACAACUCGAAGAGAACUACAAGAAUAUGAAAUCAUGCAUAAGAGAGAUCAGAAGAAACUCAAAUAAGAUUCGUAGAUAAUUUGAUCAUAAAUCCACAAUUCAUCGGAUCUCGACAAACACACCGCAAAAGAAGAUUACAUCAUAUAGAUCUCCAUGAAGAUCAUGGAGAACUUUGUAUUGAAGAUCCAAGAGAGAGAAGAAGCCAUCUAGUUACUAGCUAUGACCCGUAGGUCUAUGGUGAACUACUCACGCAUCAUCGGAGAGUUCAUGGUGUUGAUGAAGAAGCCCUCCGGGUCCGAAUCCCCCCUCCGGCAGGGCACCAGAAUGUGCCCCAGAUGGGAUCUUGCGGAGACAGAAGCUUGCGCCGGUGGAAAAGUACUUUCGAUGAUCUCCUGAUUUUUUGGGAUUUUUAGGGAAUAUAUUGGCGCAACCCCUAGGUCACGGGACGCUCAGGGGGGCCACAAGCCUGGAUGGCGCGGCCUCCCCCUGGCCGCGUGGUGGGGGCUUGUGGGGCCCCUGGGGCUCCCCUGCCUUGGCUCCCAAGCUCCCCGAUAUUCUUCCGUUUCAGAAAAAAUCUUUUCGGGGAUUUUCUUCCAUUUGGACUCCGUUUCAAAAUCUCCUCUGAAAGGGGUCAAAAACAUGGAAAAAACAGGAACUGGCACUUGGCACUGAGUUAAUAAGUUAGUCCCAAAAAAUAAAUAAAAGGCACGCAAAACAUCCAAAGUUUGACAGGAUAAUAGCAUGAAACCAUAAAAAAUUAUAGAUACGUUGGAGACGUAUGAGGCCCUGAGAUACCUCUCCAUCACACGGAGUAACAAAUCCUAGUCUUGAUCCAUGCCAACUCAACAGACACCCUCGGAGAUACCUCUAGAGCACCUUUAUAGUCACUGAGUUACCUUGCGACGUUUGAUACACACAAGGCACUCCUCCGAUGUCAGUGAGUUACAUGAUCUCAUGGUCAUAGGAACAGAUACUUGACAUGCAGAAAAAGAUAGCAAUAAACUGACACUAUCCUAAUGAUGUGAUCCCGUUAUCAAAUUAAAAUUCAUGUCUAUGGCCGGGAAACCUUGGCCAUCUUUGAUUAACGAGCUAGUCAUUUAGCGGCUCACUAGGUACAAUGUGUUGUCUAUGUAUCCACACAUUUAUUUGAGUUUCCAAUCAAUACAAUUCUAGCAUGGAUAAUAAACGAUUAUGAUGAACAAGGAAAUAUAAUAUUAACCACUUUAUUAUUGUCUCUAGGGCGUAUUUCCAACAGUCUCCCACUAGCACUAGAGUCAAUAAUCUAGCUCACAUCACUAUGUGAUUUACAUUGUAAUGAAUCUAACACCCAUACAGUUCUGGAGUUGAUCAUUUUUCGCUCGUGGAAGAGGCUUAGUUAACGGGUAUGCAAUAUUGAGAUCCAUGUUCACUUUGCAAGUACUAAUGUCCUCCUCCUCGAUGUAAUCGUGGAUGGAAUUGAAGCGUCGCUUAUGUGUCUGGCCCUCUUGUGAAACCUUGGUUCCUUGGCUAGAGCAAUGGCACGAGUGUUGUCACAGAACAGAAUCAUUGGAUCGAGUGCACUCGGCACAACUCCAAGAUCUGUCAUGAACUCCUUCAUCCAAACACCUUCUUUAGCCGCCUUCGAAGCAGCUAUGUACUCCGCUUUGCAUGUAGAAUCUUCUACCACGCUUUUCUUAGAACUGCACUAGUUUACCGCUCCUCCGUUGAGAAUAAAUACGUAUCAUGUUUGAGACUUAGAGUCAUCCGGAUCAGUGUCAAAGAUUGCAUCGAUGUAACCCUUUACAACAAGCUCUUGAUCACCUCCAUACACGAGGAAUAUUUCCUUAGUACUUUUAAGGUACUUCAGGAUAUUCUUGACCCUUGUCCAGUGUUCCAUUCCUCGAUCACUUUGAAACCUUCUCGCCAUACUUAUGGCAAGGAUGAAAUCUCAUCUUGUGCACAGCAUUGCAUACAUGACAGAGCCUAUGGCUGAAGUAUAGGGGACGACACUCAUCUUUUCUCUAUCUUCUGGAGUCACUGGGCAUUGAGUCUUACUCAACUUCACACCUUGCAAUACAGGCAAUGUCCCUUUCUUGGAUUGAUCUAUUUUGAACUUCUUCAAAACUUUGUCAAGGUAUGUGCUCUUUGAAAGUCCUAUUAAGCGUCUCGAUCUAUCUCUGUAGAUUUUGAUGCCUAAUAUGAAAGCAGCUUCUCCUAGGUCCUUCUUUGAAAAACUCCUAUUCAAAUAUUCUUUUACGCUUCCCAACAAUUAUAUAUUGUUUCCAAUCAGCAAUAUGUCAUCCACUGAUUCACAUAUACUAUUAGAAAUGCUAUAGAUCUCCCACUCACUUUCUUGUAAAUACAACCUUCUCCAUAAACUUGUAUAAACCCAAACGCCUUGAUCACCUCAUCAAAGCGUUGAUUCCAACUCUGAGAUGCCUGCACCAGUCCAUAAAAGGAUUGCUGGAGCUUGCAUACCUUGUCAGCAUUCCCUGGAUCAACAAAAUCUUCAGGUUGCAUCAUAUACAACUCUUCCUUGAGAAACCGUUAAGGAACGCUGUUUUGACAUCCAUCUGCUAUUGCGGACAUGAUUCUGACGGACUUAACCAUCGCUAUGGGUGAGAAAUCCUCAUCGUAGUCAACUCCUUGAACUUGUAAAAAACCCUUUGCCACAAGUCGAGCUUUAUGGACGGUGACAUUACUGUCCGCGUCCGUAUUCUUCUUAAAGAUCCCUUUAUUCUGAAUGGCCUUCACCCUUCAAGUAAUACUUCCAAAGUCCAUACUUUGUUUUCAUACAUGGAUCCUACCUUCGAUUUCAUGGCCUCUAACCAUUUGUUGCAACCCGGGCCCACCAUUGCUUCUUUAAAGCUCGUAGGUACAUCGUUGUCCAACAACAUGACUCUUAAGACAGGGUUGCCAUACCACUCAGGAGCAGUACGUGCCCUUGUUGACCUAUGAGGUUCGAAAGCAACUUGAUUGAAGCUUCAUGACAUCUUUCUACGCCGCGCUACUCUCUGGUUGAAGUAAAGGUUCAACAACCUCAUCAAGUUCUAUCUUCCUCCCACUCAAUUCUUUCGAGAGAAACUCUUUCUCAAGAAAUGUUUCGUUCUUAGCGACAAACACUUUGUCUUCGGAUCUGAGAUAGAAGGUAUACCCAACUGUCUCUUUUGGGUAUCCUAUGAGGACGCAUUUCACUGCUUUGGGUUCCAGCUUUUCAGGUUGAAGAUUUUUGACAUAAGCAUCACAUCCCCAAACUUUCAGAAACGACAACUUUGGUUUCUUGCCAAACCACAUUUCAUAUGGCGUCAUCUCAACGGAUUUAGAUGGUGCCCUAUUUAAAGUGAAUGCAACUAUCUCUAAUGCAUAACCCUGGAAUGAUAACGAUAAAUCGGCAAGAGACAUCAUAGAACGCACCAUAUCAAAUAAAGUACGAUUACGACAUCCGAACACACCAUUACGCUGUAGUGUCCACGCGGUGUCAACUGUGAGACAAUUCUACAUUGUCUUAAGUGAGUGCCAAACUCAUAACUCAGAUGUUCUCCUCCUCGAUCAGAUUGUAGGAAUUUAAUAUUUUUGUUACGAUGAUUCUCAACUUCACUCAGAAAUUGCUUGAACUUUUCAAAUGUUUCGUACUUGUGUUUCAUUAAGUAAAUAUACCCAUAUCUACUUAAGUCAUCAGUGAAGGUGAGAAAAUAACGAUAUCCACCGCACGCCUCAAUGCUCAUCGGACCGCACACAUCAGUAUGUAUGAUUUCCAACAAGUCACAUGCCCGCUCCAUUAUUCCGGAAAAUGGGGUCUUAAUCAUCUUGCCCAUGAGGCAUGGUUCACAUGUGUCAAGUGAUUCAAAAUCAAGUGACUCCAAAAUUCCAUCAGCAUGGAGCUUCUUCAUGCGUUUUAGACCAAUAUGACCUAAGCGAUGGUGCCACAAGAAAGUGGUAUUAUCAUUAUUAAUUUUACAUCUUUUGGCAUCAAUGUUAUGAACAUAUGUGCUUUUACUAUCGAGAUUCAAUAAGAAUAAACCCCUCACAUUGGGUGCAUGACCAUAAAAUAAUAUAUAAAUAGAACAACCAUUAUUCUCUGAUUUAAAUGAGUAACCACCUCGCAUUAAACAAGAUCCAUAUGUAAUGUUCAUGCUCAACGCAUGCACUAAAUAAUAAUUAUUCAGGUUCAUCACUAACCCCGAUGGUAAUCAAAGAGCGAGCAUGCCGACGGGCAUCACAUCAACAUUGAAACCAUUUUCCACUCGCAUUGUCACUUCGUCCUUUGCCAACCUCUGUUAGGGCAUAUUUCUCCCUAAGUAGUUUUGGUGAUUGAUGCAAUGUUUGUGCGGACUAAUCGUGUGCAGUGAGCAUUUCAGAUAAUUCGUGACUAGGCACAAGAUGAUUCGGUUCCCCUAGGAGUCUUUCAAAGAUGGUUGCUUUCUACGUUUCUCUUUAGUGUAUUUGAGUCGUAGGAAAGACGUACUAUUAAGAGGGGUCCGCUUCGGAAAGGUUUAGGUGGAAUCAACACGUACACAUUUCUAUUGCACCACCUUCCCCUUUCUUCAAAUGGAGCUCCAACCAUGAUUUUCCUUGUAUGUGCAAAAGGGCCAGCGGCAGUACUGUAGUAGUAGUUUUCUACUACCACUCUCUGGGCGGUAGUAGUUUUUCACUACCGCUCUAUCGAACUUUUUGUGCAUCCUUUUGCCUCAGCGGUGGUAGGCACAGUAGUAUUUUCUUACUACCGUGGUUGGUGAACUGUUGUGCUGUAGUACCGCUCCUAGCAGCGGUAGUACCGCUCUGCUAGUGCAGUAACUGGGGUGUAACGGUUGGAUUGUUCCCCCCACUAUAUAAAGGUGUCUUCUUCCCUGAGAAGGAUACCUCUUACCUCCCCAAGCUCCAAUGUUGCUCCAAAGCUCAUUCUUGCCCGAUCUAUCUCCCUAGCCAAUCAAACUUGUUGAUUUCCUAGGGAUUGGUUGAGGAGGCCCCGAUCUACACUUCCACCAAGACAUAUUUGAUUCCCCCACUAAUCCCUCGUGGAUCUUGUUACUCUUGGGUGUUUGAGCACCCUAGACGCUUGUGGUCACCUCGGAGCCACAUUCCAUUGUGGUGAAGCUUUGUGGUCUUGUUGGGAGCCUCCAAGCUUCGCGUGGAGAUAGCCCCAACCUUGUUUGUAAAGGUCCGGUCGCCGCCUUUAAGGGCACCAAUAGUGGAAUCACGACAUCUCGCAUUGUGUGAGGGCAUGAGGAGAAUACGGUGGCCCUAGUGGCUUCUUGGGGAGCAUUGUGCCUCCACACCGCUCCAACGGAGACGUACUUCCUGUCAAAGGGAAGUAACUUCGGUAACACAUCCUCGUCUCCACCGGUUCCAUUUGAGGUUAUCUCUCACCUUUACCUUGUACUUAUUAUUGUUGUGGUGUAUUCCUUGCUUGCACUUGUUGUCGUUGUUGUUAGCAUCAUAUAGGUUGCUCACCUAGUUGUUCAUCUAGAGAACCUUUUGUUGCUAACCCUAAUUUGUUAAGAAGAGCUAAAAAUUGGUAGUUGCCUAUUUUCACCCCCCCUCUAAUCAACCAUAUCGAUCCUUUCAAUUGGUAUCAGAGCCACAUCUCUUUAUUAAGGGUUUCACCACCUGAAGAGUAUGGUUGACGACAGUGGGGUUGUGCCCGAAGGGCCCGAGGCCAUGUAGUUUAGUUUGAUCACACGGGACGACUUGAAUGAGGCCAUGGCCUCACUCAAGACGUCCAUGACGACCGAAGUCAAGUCCGUGCUUAAAGAAUUACUUGAGGGGAUGAAGAAUUCUCUCGACCCGUUGCUUGUGGAUAAACCCACCACGUCGGAGUCAGAGGCCAAUUCCGAUAAGGAAACGACUAAAGGUACUCGAAAUUAUUCCCUUCUUGACAAGAAUGGGAUGGUAACCUUUGCCUCGGUUCCUCCUCCCCCGGUCUAUAGAGGACCGGUCCCUACACGCAUAUUAAUAACAUUGGUCCUCCUCCUAAACUUGUUAAAGGUGAUUUUUCUAACUGGGUCUUUUCCAUCAAGUCUCAUUUGAAUCAUAUCUCAACAAAUCUUUGGAGAAUCAUCAAACAAGGAUUUUACCCACAUGAUCCAAACAACCUCACUCCAAGAGAAGAGGCGGACAAUCAAUACAAUCAUUCCCCGUUGUUCAUCCUUCAAUCAGCGGUUCAUCCUAAAGAUCUACCACACUUGCACCCCUUAUCCCAUGCAAAGGAUUGUUGGGAGCACAUCAUGGUGUUGUACAAGGGGAGCUCAAGCAUUCAAUGGUCUAACUUUGAAGUGGUUCUUGAUGAGACCGAUGAGUUUGUGAUGCUAGAAUAUGAGGACCCCCGUGAUCUCUAUCAAAGGGUGACUGCUCUUGUCGUUGCUCUCCAAGACCAUGGGAGCAAGGAUACGGAUGACACUUGGAUCAAGCGCAAGUUUCUCAAGUCCAUCAUGCCAUUCAACAAAGCCAUGUCUUCCAUCAUUCGUCAAAGGCCAGAUUUCCACACCUUGGCCUCAGGAGAAGUGUUGGAUGAGUUGAUUGCUAUGGAUAUUAUGAACAAGACCGUCGACAAUGCUCUUGCUCGUGUCCGGUCGAAGGUAGCCUCACCCAACCUUUCCUUGAGAGCCAAGGACAUUGCUGAUGAAGAAGAAUAGGAAGAAGAUGGCUGCCCCGAAGACAGAAAGUAUGCUUAUCACGAGCACAUGGCUCUUGCAUCAAGGCCGUUUUGGGGCAACAAGAGAAACUCAAGGCCCAACUUCUCCAAGGACAACUCAAGUGGGUCCAAGAACAAGCAACGAGUACGGACAUGCUACAACUGCUCAAGACUUUGAGUUUGCUCAAGAUCAAGUGCGACCACAAGAUCAAGGGAAAACAAGUGAGCAAGCUCAAGACGGUGCUCAAGAUCAAGUGCAAUCACAAGGUCAAGGGCAAACUAGUGAGCAAGCCCAAGACGGUGCUCAAGAUGUUCAAGAACACGCUCCUAAAUUAUCCAAUGAGGAAGUCUUGAAGCGUCGCGCCGCCAAGAUAGCUAACAGGCUCCGGGUUCGACAACAUAUCUUCAAGAAUGUGCUUGGAAGCUUCAAUAAGGGGGUAACUACUCGUCAACAAUUCUCAAACUUUUGUUUGCAUCACACAUUUGUUUCGUGUGUUGAACCCCAAAAGGUACAUUAUGCGCUCGAUGAUGAGGAUUGGCUUGAAGCCAUGCAUCAUGAACUUAACAACUUCGAGCGCAAUAAAGUUUGGGAAUUAGUGCCAAGGCUAACGGAGGAACAUAGUGUCAUUGGAACCAAAUGGAUCUUUAAGAACAAGCAGGAUGCAAAUGGUGUUGUCAUUCGAAACAAGGCAAGAUUGGUGUCUCAAGGAUAUCCCCAAGUCGAGGGUAUCGACUACGGUGAAACCUUUGCCCCUGUUGCUCGUCUUGAAUCUAUUCGCAUGUUACAUGCAUUUGCUUCUCAUCAUGAUUUCAAAUUGCAACAAAUGGAUGUGAAGAGUGCAUUUCUUAAUGGUCCCUUAAAUGAGUUGGUAUAUGUCAAAAAAACCCCGGGUUUCGAGGAUCCCAAGUUCCCCAUGCAUGUAUACAAACUUAAGAAGGCACUCUAUGGCCUUAAACAAGCCCCACGUGCGUGGUAUGAGUACCUUACCGAGCUGUUGCAAGAUCGUGCGUUUGAAAUUGGGAAAAUGAUCCCACCCUUUUUACCAAAAAGGUCAAAGGGGAUUUGUUCAUAUGCCAACUAUAUGUUGACGAUAUUAUUUUUGGUUAUCCUAGCAAAUCUUUCAAUGAAGAGUUUGUUGCACUAAUGACCGAGAAGUUUGAGAUGUCUAUGAUGGGAGAGUUGAAGUUCUUUCUCGGGUUUGAGAUCAAACAAGGAAGAGAAGGAACAUUCAUCAACCAGGCCAAAUACACUCAAGACAUGCUCAAAAGGUUCGAGCUCGAGGACGUCAAGCCGGUCAAAUUUCCCAUGCCAACCAAAUGCAAGCUUGAAAAUGAUCCCAAUGGUAAAGCAGUGCAUCAAAAGGUAUAUCGCUCCAUGAUUGGAUCCUUGCUUUAUAUUUGUGCAUCUAGAUCAGAUAUCAUGUUGAGUGUGGGAAUUUGUGCACGGUUUCAACCCGCACAAAAGGAAAGCCACUAUGCGGCAAUCAAACGAAUCUUUCGAUAUUUGGCUCAUACCCCAAACUUUGGCUUAUGGUACCCCAAAGGAGCAAGCUUUAGUUUAGUAGGUUACUCUGACUCAGAUUGUGCCAGAGACUGUGUCGGAAUAAAGUCAACUUCUGGAGGAUGCCAAUUCCUUGGUCGCUCUUUGGUAAGUUGGUCUUCGAAGAAACAAAACUGUGUGUCACUUUCUUCCAUGGAGGCUGAUUAUGUAGCUGUCGCAAGUUAUUGUGCUCAAUUAUUAUGGAUGGGGCAAACUUUAAAGGAUUACGGUGUUACUUGUGACAAAGUGCCUCUUCUAUGUGACAAUGAAAGUGACAUCAAGAUAUCUCUCAAUCCGGUGCAACAUAACAAGACCAAUCAUAUUGAUAUUCGUCAUCAUUUCAUUCGAGAUCAUAUCAAGCAAGGAGAUAUUGGGGUCCUCUUCAUCAACACUCAAGAGCAACUUGCGGAUAUUUUCACCAAAGCUCUAGAUGAAGCAAGGUUUCGCAAGUUAAGGCAUGAGCUAAAUAUCAUUGAUUCAAGUAAUGUGGAUUGAAUUUAGGCACACCACACUUCAUCAUCAUUAUAUUUUGCUCUAGGUGUAGGCAUGUACAUAGGGGGAGUGUUGUUAUCUUAAUGAACUCCCCUCCCAUUAUGCAUAAAUUGAUCAAGUCUUUCACAUUAGCCAUUGUUGAUGGCACUUGUGCUUCAAGGACGAGCUUUGGUCAUGAACCCAAGGAUAAUUCUUCGUGGUGUCGUACCAUUUAUCUCAAACAUUGGUGGCUCCGACCACCGCCCUCUCUUCAUCAGAAGAUUCGGUUUUGUGUUCAGGUUGCGUGCGUGUUUCUUUUUUAUCUUCCCCUGGGGUUUUCCUAUGCUUUCUCUCUUCCUCUGGCAAGGUUCAAAGUGUUUUCGUAAACAGGAGGCAAGGUUCAAAGUGUUUUUGUAAAAAGGGGCACGGUACUACCGCUCCACGCACGGUAGUAAAUUUUUACUGUCGCUGGAUGAGCGGUACUACCGCUCAGCUAGCGGUAGUAAAAUUCUACUACCGCUGGCCAAGCGGUACUACCUUGAUGACCACGGUACUACCGCGCCUCCAGGGCCACGGGGGGUUAUUUUAGGGCAGGGGUAGUUCUUUCUCCCCCAAUACCCAUUCAUCUCAUGGCUCUCUCUAUUUCUCUCUCUCUUCUCAAGAAACGUUGUCGGAGGGACUCGCCGAAUCUCCUUCUCCGGCCAGUCUCCUCUGAUUCCCUCCUCUCCCUCGUGCCAUGGACCUCAGUAUUGCCCCUCGUUCCCUUCUCUUUGCUUCAUUCUUGUUGAAUCUAGGGUUAGGGGCAUAUGCGUGUUCAUCAUUUCAUGGCACAAUCUUUUCAUGAAAGGAGGGUUGGAGAGUACUUGUGUGGUAGAAAUUUUACUGUGUAGGUUGCAACAUGCAUGUGGGUUUGGGUCUCCGAUAGUACCGGAUAUGAAGUUCCACUUGUCAGAUCUGGAACUUCUUCGCCCAUGCGGUACUACCACUGCCAGAGCGAUAGUCAUUUUUUACAACCGCUUGGAAAACGGUACUACCGUUGUCAGGGUAGUACUACCGUUGUCAAAGCGGUAGUAAAAUUUUACUACCGCUUGAUCAGUGGUACUACCGUUGUUCCCUGAGUACACAUGUUAUGACCUUCCAGUUCUCCUUUAUCUGGGUUUUUCUAAUUUUCUUUGGUAUUUGCCUUGAGAUCUUUUGUCGUUUUCUUGUGUUCGUGUUGAGUUCCAUAGGUGGUGGCUCCAGGCGCUCUAACCCACCUCGGGAUGCCAGCUCCAAGCGACCUCGCUCUUUGGAUCCACCCAAGGGAUCAUAGGCUCCGAAGCGCAAUUUCAAGCGGCCCGCUCACAAGAACAAGGCAAACACUGUCGAUUGGGAUGCUAUGCCACUUGCUGAGUUUCAGCUUCAUCGAAAUGUCAACCCCUAUGACAACGCUAGGGUUCAGCUCCCCGGAUGUGAAAUGUUCUGGUCUAAGCAGCGGGCUCUUAUUUCUGAAGAUGUGAUCAAGACCAAGAAGAAUAUCUAUGUCCUAGUUCAGUGGAUUGACAUGGACCAUGUGAAGAAGGACCCAACAUACUUUGGUGAUGCUCUGGACAUGGUGGAACAAUUUGAGAUUGUGGAGCUCAACAUGUUUCAUUUUUUACUUUAAUCCUGAGAUAGUGGCUUAGUUCUUUGUUACUGUCCGCUUUCACUCUAACGAGGAGCGCACUAUGUCUUGGAUGACCAAUGGGGAGAGGUUGUCUGCUACUUGGAAGGAGUUUAUGGAUUUGCUAAACGUCCGUGAUGAGGGGCUUGAGCACUCAGUUGGUUUGCGCCCACACGCUAAGCCAUCUGCUACAGCUAAGGAGAAGUUGAUGCCAUUCUUUAUUGAGAAGAUAUCCCCAUCUGGUGAGGUCUGCCACGUGCUGAGCCCAUUCCUUGAUGUCAUGCACAAUAUAUUUCGCAACACUCUUUUUCCCCGCGUUGGCAACAAGGACCAGGUGCAUUCAUACCUGAUGGGUAUGCUCUUGAUGUGUCAGAAAGGGCGAACUCGUGCGUGUGGACCGCUUGAUGUGUCUCACAUCAUGUGGAGUGAGCUUCAUUCAGCAGUUUUCAAUCGUAAGGUUCCCAUCUACGAUCCUUAUCUGUUUUACCUGAUCAAGAAGAAGUGGUGGAGGCCUUCCCAGCUAUUGAGCUCCAUGCUCCCGGGUGGAUUCGCCAUGAGCCUAUUAAGCUGCGCCAGAAGAACAAGUGGGCCAACACCACCACUACACCCGCUGCUAACACUGUGUAUUCUGAUGGGGAUGAGGCUGCGGCUGAGGAUGAGGGUGUUCCAGAGUCUCAUGUGACUUCCUCUGUCGAGCCAUCUUGGGCCAAGAAGCUCACGCACUGGAUGAAGACCUUGUUAUGCAUGCACGCGAAGGGACAGUACAUGACUCAUGUUGCUCAGAAGGAGAGCUGUCAGCGCGACAAGCUGAUUAUGAGGAAGCUUGACGUGCACAUCUCCAGUGGGUCUGAGUAAGACAUCACUCCUGAGGCUGCUUGGAUGAAAAAGAAGAAUCUUCAGUGGGCUGAGUUUGACAAGGAGUCUGAUGAGGAGACAGAAGACGAGACUCAUGAGGAGUAUGUUGAGCAGUCCGAUAGCUGAGUCCUCUACAGUUCGAGCUACCACCUGUGUUGUAGGUGUCCUCUCUGCCUUUUUGGUGUCCCGAUGCCAAAGGGGGACAGAGUGUAGGAUUUGCGAGUUUCCUCGUUUUCUACGUUGCUUUAUUUGUUGAACUUUCAUUGCUACGUUGGUUGUGUUUGCUUUGUGUGUGAGACCAAGAGACAUCGUACUUUAUCAUAUGGUGUGAGACAUAUGCUAUCACUCCUCUAUCUUUAUUGUCUCAUUAUUAUCCAGGUUAUUAGUAGCUUGUGAGUCUAGUUAUUAAGUGCCCUUAUCUUCAUGCUCACAUCUUAUGCCUUGCUUCCAUGCUUAGUGCUUAUUCAGUUUGUUGCAAGGAUUGCCUCGUCUAUAAAAUCUAGGGGGAGUUUUUUUCUUUGGUUGUGUGCUGGGCAACUCAUACCUCCAAAAUGCAUCACUAUUUUGUAUGAUAAUUUGUCUCUAUUCAUUGAUAUAUUUCACAAUAUGAUGUUGUUCUUAUAGUGUUUUGGCUUAUUUUACACAGUUUACAACUUUCCAGUGCCGAAACAGCAGACGCGGGAUUCAGCGGAGAAAAGAGCAUGAAGAGUUGCCAUAUCAAAACAUCUCCAACUGAGCUGAAAAUCUACGGGGAAGAAUUUUCCGAACAAAUCACGAAGCCAGGCUGAAGAAGGGUCGAAGGGGGGCCACCACGCACCCAGGCGCCCUCGUGGUGCGGGUCCCCCCUAGGCCAUGCCAGGUGGCCGCCUGGGCGGUGGGUCCCACCUUUGGCGCAUCUUUGGCCAAUAUGAUCUUCGUGACCUAAAAAUCUGGAGGACAAAAGUUUUUCCAGAGUUCCGUCGCCGCUCCACGGCGGAAACCUACAAAGAAGAAAAGACCUUUCCGACGGGCAGAUUUUGCCAGGGAGAACUCAUCCCGAAGGGGAUAUCGUCCUCAUCGUCAUCACCAUCAUCACGGGCAUCAUCUAGAUCAUCAUCACCAUCAUCUUCAUCACCAGCACCAUCUCUAUCUUCACCCCAUCUCACUUUACCAUUGCAAUCGGAGUUGUACCUUGCACUAUUCAUCCCCUUUACUCUAUCGGUGUUGAUUACUCUUUUGUGGUGAAUGCUAUUGAGUUUUGUUGGAGAAUUAUUGUUAUGACCAGAUUGUUCAUCAUAUUUUCAUCCCCUCUGAUCAUGAUCUCUUUUAUGUCUUGUGAGUAGUUCCUUUAAUUCUUGAGGACAUGGGAGAAGUCUAGUUGGUAGUAGUCAUAUGAUGUUGAAGUAAUAUGUGUUGAUUGAUAUUUAAGUUGUGGUGUUAUUCUUCUAGUGGUGUUAUGUGAACGUCGACUACAUAACACUUCGCCUUUUUAAGAACCUAGGGGAAUGCAUCGUGUAUAAAGAAUGCUUAUGGUCGGUUGCCGGAGUGAUAGAAACCUGAACCCCAGUUCGCAUACUUUUGCACGAGGGAGUGUUGGAUCCUAAAGUUUAUUGCUAUGGUUAGGCUGUUGGAAAUAUGCCCUAGAGGCAAUGAUAAAUAGUUAUUAUUAUAUUUCAUGUUUAAAGAUAACCGUUUAUUAUCCAUGCUAUAAUUGUAUUAAAUGAAAACAUAGAUGCAUGUGUGGAUAAAUAGACACAACAAUGUCCCUAGCAAGCCUCUAGUUGGCUAGCCACUUGAUCAAGGAUAGUCAAGGUUUUCUGACUAUGUGCAAAGUGUUGUUGCUUGAUGACUGGAUCACAUCAUUAGGAGAAUCAUGUGAUGAACUAGACCCAAACUAUGAACGUAGCAUAUUGAUCGUGUCAUUUUAUUGCUAAUGUUUUCUGCGUGUCAAGUAUUUGUUCCUAUGACCAUGAGAUCAUAUAACCCACUGACACCGGAGGAAUGCCUUGUGUGUAUCAAACGUCACAACGUAACUGGGUGACUAUAAAGGUGCUCUACAGGUAUCUCCGAAGGUGUCCGUUGAGUUAGUAUGGAUCAAGACUGGGAUUUGUCACUCCGUGUGACAGAGAGGUAUCUCGGGGCCCUCUCGGUAAUACAACAUCACACACAAGCCUUGCAAGCAAUGUGACUAAGUGUAAGUCACGGGAUCUUGUAUUACGGAACGAGAAAAGAGACUUGCCGGUAACAAGAUUGAAAUAGGUAUGCGGAUACCGACGAUCGAAUCUCGGGCAAGUAACAUACCGAAGGACAAAGGGAAUGACAUACGGGAUUGCCUGAAUCCUUGACACUGAGGUUCAACCGAUAAGUUAUUCGGAGAAUAUGUAGGAUCCAAUAUGGGCAUCCAGGUACCUCUACUGGAUAUUGACCGAGGAGUACCUCGGGGCAUGUCUGCAUAGUUCUCGAACCCGCAGGGUCUGCACACUUAAGGUUCGGCGAUGUUUUAGUAUAGUUGAGUUAUAUGUAUGGUUACCGAAUGUUGUUCGGAGUCCCGGAUGAGAUCACGGACAUCAGAGGGUUUCUGGAAUGGUCCGGAGACGAAGAUUGAUAUAUAGGAUGACCUCAUUUGAUUACUGGAAAGUUUUCGGGCAUUACCGGGAAUGUACCGGGAGUGACGAAUGGGUUCCGGAUGUUCACCGGGAGGGGGCCAACCCACCCGGGGAAGCCCAUAGGCCUUAGGGGUGCCGCACCAGCCCUUAGUGGGCUUGUGGGACAGCCCAAGAGGCCCUAUGAGCAGGAGAGAAGAAAUCAAAGGAAAAAAAAAGGAAAGGUGAGAAAGAAGGGAAGGACUUCACCUUCCAAUCCUAGUUGGACUAGGAUUGGAGGUGGACUCCUCCACCUCCUUGGACGGUGGGCUCUUGGAGUCUUGGACCCCAAGGCAAGUAUCCCCACCCCUCCUCCUAUAUAUAGUGAAGGUCUAGGGAUGAUUUGAGACAACUUUGCCACGGCAGCCCGACCACAAAACAUCACAGUUUUUCCUCUAAAUCGUAUUUCUGCGGAGCUCAGGCGGAGCCCUGCAGGAGUAGAUCCUUCACCACCACCGGAGCAUCGUCACGCUGCCGGAGAACUCAUCUACUUCUCUUUCUUGCUUUCUGGAUCAAGAAGGCCGAGAUCAUCGUCGAGCUGAACGUGUGUUGAACGCUGAGGUGCCAUCCGUUCAACACUAGAUCGGAGCGGAUCGUGGGACGGAUCGUGGGACGGUUCGUGGAACAGUUCGCGGGGGCGGAUCGAGGGACGUGAGGACGUUCCACUACAUCAACCGCAUUUCUUAACGCUUCCUGUUGUGCGAUCUACAAGGGUACGUAGAUCCAAAUCUCCUCUCGUAGAUGGACGUCACCAUGAUAGGUCUUCAUGCGCGUAGGAAAAAUUUUGUUUCCCAUGCGUCGUUCUCCAACAUAGGCUUUGCCUUAAUUUCUCUCUUGUAUUUGUGGAUGCUUGCAAGGGGCUUAACCAUAAGAGUGUACUUGUCUUAGCCUAGAUGGUGUACUAGAAGAGAUCCACCCACAUAACACUUAUCAAUACAAAACAUAGUACUAGACGGAAUAUGGCGAAAGCACGUGACUAUCUCUCCCGUGUGUCCUCAGGAACGCCUUAGUAUUUAUAAGUUUAGUCCCCCGGCUUAUCCUUUGUGUUCAAAAGGAUUGGGACACUUGCUGCACCUCAGCACCAUUUACUUUCCCUGCAUUUAUUUCCUUGUUGCUUAUACCAAAAAACCCAUAAAAAGUUAACUUUCAGUGCUUGCAGUGAUUCCUUGCUCAAGAUCGCUUGUCAGUACCUUCUGCUCCUCGUUGGGUUUGACACUCUUACUUAUCGAAAAGGCUACAAUAGAUCCCCUACACUUGUGGGUCAUCAAGACCAUUUUCUGGUGCCAUUGUCGGGGAGUUUAGCACUAUUGGUAAGUGAAAUUGGUAAGGAAACCUUUACGCUGUACGUGUUGUUUUUAUUUUGUUGUUUCCGCUUUUUAUCCUUAUGGACAACUCUGCUCUUGGUUUGUCACUUGUGGGGAACCGCCCCACCGCUAUUGUGGUGGAGAAGCCUCCCUCACCUACGGAAAUUGUCCCCUUUAAAAUACCAAGUGGUAUUAUUGACUGUGUCUUGGCUAUUCGAUAUGCACGAGAUAGACAUCCAGGCGAACACUUGCUAUAUCUUUCACAACUAUGCUCCUUAUUUAAGCUUGCAGGUAUAUCGAUGGAUUUUUUAUGAGAAAUCUAUUCUCUCUAUCAUUAAAAGAUAAGGCUUUGGAUUGGUAUAGGCUUCUGGAUAACUCUCAUUUGCUAAAUUGGCAAGAUCUUUUGCCUCUCUUUUAUGUAAAGUUUUAUCCUCUUCAUGAAAUACAUCGAGACAGGAACUAUAUUUAUAACUUUUGGUCGCGUGACGAAGAAAUCAUCGCUCAAGCUUGGGGGAGAUUGAAGUCCCUAAUGCUCAAAUGUCCCAAUCAUGAGCUCCCCAAGGAAAUUAUUCUUACAAUUUUUUAUGCAAGGCUUUCUCGUCAAGAUAAAGAGAUGCUAGAUGCCUCCUCUAGUGGGGCAUUCUCCAACAAAAGCACUGAAGCUAGGUGGGAUCUUAUUGAAAGGAUUCAGAAGAACACUGAAGAUUGGGAGAUUGAUAAAGGUAUUGAACCCGUUAUAAAUUAUGAGCGUGAUUACAUUGAGAGCUAUGUGAAAACUGAUUACUUCAAUACCUUUUGUGCUAAGAUUUGUCUUGAUUCCCAACUUCUAAUUGAUUUUUGCAAAGACUUUGCCUCUCAUAUUGAUUCCUCUAAGAAGAAGGAGGAACAACACCAUAAACCUUUGAAGGAAUUACCUGUUGAUAUCAAUAUUGCUGAUCCUAUCUUGCCUGCAGUUUUAUAUGAAAAGCCCCCUUUUCCCAAAAGGAUGAGGGAGCAUUCUUUUGUCACAGGCAUAUUGAAUAAAAGUGAACGAACGAUUGAUGAGCAUGAGGACCUGAUUAAGGUCAAUCCUCAAGUUGCAUUAGUCAAGGAUCUUGUUACUAGUAAUAUUGAGGACUCCAAUAUAAAUUUUUGUGUUGUUUCUACUAACCUUGUUACAACCAAGAAUAAAGGCCCAAUUCCAGGUACUCCAGUUGUAUCUGUUAAAAUAGGAGAUCAUAAUUAUUACGGGCUAUGUGAUUUGGGAUCCAGUGCUAGUGCUAUUCCUUUUUCACUUUAUCAAGAGAUCAUGAAUGAGAUUCUACCAUGUGAAAUUGAAGACGUUGAUGUUACUAUUCAUCUUGCAAACAAAGAAACUGCCUCUCCUAUUGGAAUUGUGCGAGAUGUUGAAGUCCUAUGUGGAAAGGUAAAAUAUCCUACCGACUUUCUAGUACUCGGUUCAGUGCAAGAUAGUUUUUUCCAUAUUAUCUUUGGUAGGCCUUUUCUCAAAACUUGUGGAGCUAUUAUAGAUUGAAGGAAAGAAAAAGUAUCUGUUGAAUUUAAUGGUGAGCCAUAUGAAUUUAACUUUUCUAAAUUCUCGAAGCAAACUCGUGGUACUGAUUUGCCUAGUAAUGAUAAAAUUAUUGAAGAGAUUGCUUCUAUUGCUAUUCCUCCUAACGAUCCUUUGCAGGAAUUUAUGAAGGACCACAAGAAUGAUAUGCAUAUGCACGAAGGGAAUGAGCUAGAUGACAUAUUCUUGAGACAACCUGCUAUCCUGAAGCACAACCUUCCGGUUGAGCCUUUGGAAAUUCUAUCGAAACCAAAAGAAGACCCGGUGUUUGAUCUUAAACCUCUUCCUAAUACGCUAAAGUAUGCUUAUUUAGAUGAAAAGAAAGUAUAUCCUGUUAUUAUCAAUGCUAACCUUUUAGGAUAUGAAGAAGAGCGAUUAUUGGAAGUCCUUCAUAAACACCGAGGCGCUAUUAGCUAUACCCUUGAUGAUCUUAAGGGGAUUAGUCCAUCUAUUUGUCAGCAUACUAUCAAUCUUGAGCAUGAUGCUAAACCGGUUGUUGAUCAUCAACGACGGUUGAACCCGAAGAUGAAGGAUGGUGUGAGGACCGAAACCAUCAAGCUUCUAGCCGCAAGUAUUAUCUACCCUAUAGUUGAUAGUAAGUGGGUAAGUCCGGUACAUUGUGUUCCCAAGAAAGGAGGUAAGAUUGUGGUUCCUAAUGAUAAGAAUGAACUAAUACCUCAAAGAAUUAUUAUUGGAUAUAGAAUGUGUAUUGAUUACAGGAAGCUCAACAAAGCAACCAGGAAGGACCACUACCCGCUGCCGUUCAUUGACCAAAUGCUUGAAAGGUUAUCCGAAAACACUCACUUUUGCUAUCUUGUUGGGUAUUAUGGCUUCUCUCAAAUUCAUGUUAACACUACCGAUCAAGAGAAGACCACUUUUACUUGUCCCUUUGGUACUUAUGCUUAUAGACACGCCUUUUGGCUUAUGCAAUGCUCCUGCUACUUUUCAAAGGUGUAUGUCUGCUAUCUUUCAUGGUUUUUGUGAGGAAAUUGUGGAGGUUUUCAUGAACGAUUUAUCCGUCUAUGGACCUCUUUUGACCAUUGUCUCCACAACCUUAAUAAAGUUUUGCAGAGAUGUGAGGAGACGAACUUGGUACUUGCUACCUCUUGAGCUUGCUUUGGUUUUUUCCCUUGAAGAGGAAAGGGUGAUGCGGCACAGUAGUAGUAAGUAUUUCCCUCAGUUUGAGAACCAAGGUAUUAAUCCAGUAGGAGUAUCAAGAUGAGGCACCAAUGUACCUGCGCAAAAACAGCAAACUUGCACCCAACGCUAUAAAGGGGUUGUCAAUCCCUUCACGAUUGAUUGCAAGGUGAGAUAUGAAGGCGGAAAGUGCAACAAAGUAAAAGUGUAGGGCUGAAAAUAUGAUGUGAAGUAGACCCGGGGGCCAUAGUGUUCACUAGAGGCUUCUCUCAAAAUAGCAAAUAUUACGGUGGGUGAACGAAUUACUGUCGAGCAAUUGAUAGAACCGCGUAAAGUCAUGACGAUAUCUAAGGCAAUGAUCAUACAUAUAGGCAUCAUGUCCGAGACAAGUAGACCGAUACUUUCUGCAUCUACUACUAUUACUCCACACAUCGACCGCUAUCCAGCAUGCAUCUAGUGUAUUGAGUUCAUGACGAACAGAGUAACGCCUUAAGCAAGAUGACAUGAUGUAGAGGGAUAAAUUCAUGCAAUAGAUAUAAACCCCAUUUUUUACCCUUGAUGGCAACUGUUACAGCAUAUAUCUCCAUAUGUGGUUUUGGUAAUUGAUGACAAUUCCUAUGGACUAAUGGUUGGCUUAAGUUAUAUUUAUAGGAUUUGUCCAUAGGCACUUCUUGAAGUCCAUCUGUUGGGUUCAAGGAGUUUAUAUGAUGACCAAGAUGGUAUUCAAGGUAUUAUCCAAAGAAUGGUCAUAGAGACACAAGGUUGAUCAAGAUCAUAGAGAAAGAGUAAAUCAAGAUGAUCAACACAAAAAGCGUACAAGAUGUACCGAGAGGGAUCAAGUGAUCCCAUGGUAUGGUAAGCAUUGUCCAUUACGUGUUUGUGUACUAACCCAUGGUCUUUGUGAGAGUUUUAUGUGGGGGUUAGGUGUGCUUCCAUGGGCUUGCGUCAAAAGGAAGAUCUCAUACAACUCAUGAAGGAUGACGUCAAGUGGUGAUCGUCAUCAAGAUUGCAGUGUGAUAGUUCAAGUGGAUCAUCACGAAUAUAUCAUGCUUGAUGCUUGCUGUCCAUUAUGGUGGCAAUGGACUUGUGAAGAUAUGCUGAAGAGCGGCUGACCCAUAGUGUGUAUGGGGGAGCAAUCAACUAGUCUUCAUCAAGCCAACGCAAUCACGAAAGGUGGUCCAUCUUGAGGAAGCCAAGAUCAUCGUCAUCUAGCUCAAUAGGACGAGGUGCAAGGUAUAGGUUUUCCCUUGAUAGGUUUUCUGUUUUAGGAUAGAUUGUCGUACUGUCAAGGGGGCUCUCAAGUGAGUAGCUUGAUCGUAUUGUUCGUUGAGAGCUCAAACCAUUUGCAUCCUUGCAUCAUACUUCUUGGUUCUUGUUUGGUGUUUCUCUUUGUGAGUUUUAGAGCUUAUGUUCAUCUUCAUGGCAAGCUCGAGUUCAUCGAAAACGGAGUCCAUAUGCAUCUUCUAUGAUGUUUUCGAUGUUGGAAGUUUUUACCGGUCUUAUUCGAAUAAGGGUUCUCACAAUUUUCUUAUGGGACUUUUCUCACUUGCUUCUUAUUGAUAUUUCUAUCAAGAUUGUGUUAGCCCAUGUCGUUAGCUUUAAAAAAACUUGGUUUCGUUGAAUUCGGAUCCGUAUGCGAAAGUUACAGCAGUUUCAGUAUCGAGCGGUAGUACCGCUCCUCGUGCCAGCGGUAGUACCGCUCCCGUAGCUGUAGUACCGCCCCCGGAGAGGUAGUACCGCCCCCGGAGCGGUAGUAAUUUUUUACUACCGCUCCCUAGCGGUAGUACCGCUCCGUCGGACCGUUUUUUUCAUACUUUUUGGCCUCGGCAUGGUUGGUGAACCUACCGAGCGGUAGUACCGCUCCAUGAGCGGUAGUACCGCUUUGUGCGGGCUGUGAGGCUUAAUGGUUGGAUUUUUCCCCACCUAUAAAAGGGGGGUCUUCUUCCCCAUUGAACCUUAUCUCUUUCCACCAAUCACUUUCUCCUUGAAGUGACGGGAACCCCUUGGGUCUAGUUCUUGGAGUUCUUCGUGUUCUUCUUCGUUCUUCCUCUCAUUUUCCUCCCUAGCAUUAGUUGCUUUGGUGGGAUUUGGGAGAGAAGGACUUGGGCACUCCGUGUGCCCUUGCCAUUGCAUUAGUUGCAUCGUUUGAGUUCUCCACGGUGAUACGUGGAAGUGAAGUUUGAGAAGCUUAUUACCUUUGGUACUUAGUACCCUAGAUAUUGUUCUUCGUGGAUGCUUUGGCAUCGUAGAAGCUUGGUGGUGUCUCGGAGCUCAAUCAUUGUGGUGUAAAGCUCCGGGCAAGCGUCGGGGUCUCCAAUUAGGUUGUGGAGAUUGCCCCGAGCGGGUAUCGGAGACCGCCCCCAAGGUUUGCCAUUUGUACGGGUUCGGUGACCGCCCUCAAGGGUCCCUUAGUGGAAUCACGGCAUCUUGCAUUGUGCGAGCACGUGAGGAGAUUACGGUGGCCUUAGUGGCAUCUGGGGAGCAUUGUGCCUCCACACCGCUCCAACGGAGAUUAGCAUCCGCAAGGGUGUGAACUUCGGGAUACAUCAUCGUCUCCACGUGCCUCGGUUAUCUCUUACCCGAACCCUUUACUUAUGCACUUUACUUUAUGAUAGCCAUAUUGUUUAUUGUCAUAUAUCUUGCUAUCACUUAGUUGUUUAUCUUGCUUAGCAUAAGUUGUUGGUGCACAUAGGUGAGCCUAGUUGUUGUAGGUUUUGUGCUUGACAAAUUAAACGUUAGUUUUAUUCCGCAUUUGUUCAAGCCUAAACCGUAAUUAUUUCAAAGCGCCUAUUCACCCCCCCCCCUCUAGGAGAUAUCCACGUCCUUUCAAUUGGUACCAGAGCUAGGUCUCUCUUUAUUAGGUUUAACCACCUUGAGAGUAAGGAUGUCGACUAGGGGUUUAGGAUUCACUGACACUCUUAGUUUCGAUGGCCCAAAUUUUGAUGUUUGGGUAAUUCGCAUGCUUAACCACUUUCGGGUCUUGGACCCAAAUUUAGAGAGAAUUGUAGAUAUGGGUUUUUCUCCUCCAAAGCAUUCUCAAAAUAUAUCUUUAGAGGAUGAGAAAAACUCUUAUCUCAACGCUCAAGCUUCUAAUGUGCUUUUUGAUGCUUUGAGCAAUGUAGUUAUAUUUCAACUCAUGCCAUUCCGGGAUGCUCAUGAGUUGUGGACAAAGCUUCAAGAUAAAUAUGGUAUGUCCCAGAUUUGUGGGAAUGAUUGUUCUCCCUCCACCUCCAGUCGUGUGGUCUUCUCAACUUCAUCUACUUCACCUACAUGUGGAUUGCCACAAGGUAAUGAUAUGGUGAGUAGUGGUGAUCAUUGCAACGAUGAUAGUGGGUUUAUUGUUGAUGAUCCUUCAUCACUAUAUUAUUGCAAUGCUUCAUCUUUGGGAAUUAACACUUCGAGCACUCUAAAUGUUUUACAUGCUUGUGUUGAUAGUCCUUGCAUAUCAUGUAAAAACUUCUUGACUAAAUAUCAUGAUGAUAUGCUUCCUAUAUCUUGUUGCCAUGAUAAAAAAUGUAUAUAUUUCCUCGAGUUGUUGUGCUAACAAUGUAGAGGAAAUUCAUCACUCCAUGGAACAAGAUGUGGCCUUGAAUGAUGCUUCAAGGGAUCCUACAUCAUCAUCUAUUGUGACUAAGGCUUCAAAGGUAUCUCCUACUUUGAAUCCCAAUAUAUCUUAUGAUGAUGAUGUUGAUGAUAAUGGGGAUGAGAAUAAUGAUGAAGAGAGUGAUAAUAUUGCAUCCUUAAAAAUUAAGGGUGAAAUGAUUUUUAAAUCUCUUUAUAAGAAUAAACUUGCUUGUUCCAACUUCUUGGAAAUCAUGUCUAUUGCCACUGAAUGCAAGAAAUACAUUGAGGAGUUGGAAGCUCAUCUCGAGGAGCAUGAGGCCACCAUUGAGACAAUGGAAGGUCAUGAGCGUGAAUACGCUAACGAGAUCGCGGAGCUAUCUCAAGCUCUUGAAAAUGAACAAACCACCAAGGAAUCUCUUGAGGAAACCUUUGCUAUAGAAUUAUCUAGAUUAAAGGAAUCCCAUGAUAUAGCUCUCUAGGUGGCUAAUGAUUUUAGAACUAAAAACGAUAAGCUUCAAGUUGCACAUGCUAAACUCGUUGAGGACUAUGAGCACCUCGAAAAUGGCUCAAAGGCUAUUAAGAGUUCGCUCAUCGAACUCACCGAGUCUCAUGCUCAUCUUGAAGCUUCAUAUGCUAAAGAGCUUGCCAAGUUACCUUCUCCUCUUAUUGUUAAUAAUGAUGCUUGUGCUACUAAUUCUACUUCUUGUGAAGCAUCCAUUUUAAAGGAGAAUGUUGAGCUAAGGGCUCAACUCGAGUUGCUAUCUAGCAAUUAUGGGAAAUUGGAAGAAAGUCAUGUAAUGCUCACAAGCUCUCAUGAUGAUCCUNNNNNNNNNNNNNNNNNNNNNNNNNNNNNNNNNNNNNNNNNNNNNNNNNNNNNNNNNNNNNNNNNNNNNNNNNNNNNNNNNNNNNNNNNNNNNNNNNNNNGCCAGUUGCCACGGCAGAUCGAAUGCGGUUGCGCUGUCCACCACCGGUGCCAACUCUGCAAAGUUCGUUCGCUAGCUUUAUUGACCGAAAGCAGCACGGAGCCACCGCUUUGCCUUUAAUUUUCUGUGCUUAAUUCGAUUCAGCCAUUACCUUCUAACCACCAGCAAAUGCAUGCAUGCAUGCAUGCCCGGUAAUCAAAAGAAACCAUUAUUGCUGAGCGCUAGAUCUCCUCCGGCGUGCCUAUAUAUAUAUCGCCAUGGAGGCGGAGAUCGAUCAUCCAGUCCAUGUACCACGCGACAUCACAUGCAUAUAUAACAACGUAGACGCCAGAAGAGUUCAGCACCCAAAACUGAUUGUGUCGCUGAUUAAACUAGGCAGCCCAGCUAGGUCACCUCAAUGAACUCGCUGCGGUCGAGGCUCGUGGCUGUCGUUCUGGUCAUGGUUGUAGCUGCUGCUGGCGGCCUAUCCUUGGCGAGCACGGAAGAAAGGCUAAAUCUACUCCGUGGCAUGCCGCCCUCCUCGCCGACCUCAGUGGGCACCCUCGGCCUCGAGCUGCCGUGGAGGCGCCGUGUGGUGCGCCGGGGAGAGAAGAGCAUGGCCUGGCGGUGGCGCCGCAAUCCGCCCUCGGGCCCGAGCAGCCGCGGUCACGCAGCUGUCACCGUCUCGCCGGACGAGGAGGAGAAGAACCAGGGUCCCGUCGAAAACAUUGAUCCAUCAGUGCCAUGACCAACGCACGUACGUACUCUCUUUGUUUUAAAAUAAGUGACUUAAAAAUAACUUAAUUUUACAUUACGAGUCAUCUAUUUUGAGACGGGGUGAGUAUAUGAUUAUGAAAUAUGAAUAUGGUAAUAACGCACGUGUGUGUGUGUAUAUACACACACAUAUAUAUAUAUAUAUAUGAUGCAUUAAGUUAAGAACUCAUGCAUGCAUUGCAUGAGCUGGAGUAUGUAUACAGUGUAUACCGACGGUAUCCUUCUAUAUCUAUAUCUAUCUAUUAGCUCUAUAUAUAUAAAUACUAGAUGAUGCCCCAUACGUUGAUGCGAAAACAUUGCUAAAAUAUGGAUAGAUAGUUGUUAUAAAAAAUCUAAAAGCUAAUGAAAAAUGAACUGUAAAACUUAAAAACAAUAAAAUACAAAGCGUACAAGAAAAUAGUGAAAAUUAUAGUUAAAAUGUAUUAACAAAAUAUGGAGGAUGACCUCUAAUGCAAAAAAAAAACUAUUUAAUGACUAAUAAUAUGCAUGAAUUGAUGAUGUGGCACCAUUGCAUGCAUAGAGUAAUGCAAAAGAUGGUAUUUAUGUCUUGCAUGCAUACUUGCUUAUGUGUGAUGGUUGCAUGAUUAAAAAAAUAGAUAAUGUGUUGUAAGGAUAAAGAAUAUAUAUACUCUAUAUAUGUGUGCACAUGCUUGCUACGGUACUUCAUCUUUCAUGCAUGGACAGUGCGUGUGGGCCGACCCAAACUCGCCAACCGCAAGUGGACACCUUCUGACUCUAAUAUACUCUAAGAUGGUAUUUGAUCAUGCAUGGAUUUAUGGUACGUACAGUAGGUUAUCAAUCCUGCAGCACGUUUGCUUUCUCAAAUCAGUCUCCUGAUCAGUAGCAGGUUUUGGAGUAGGAGUGGCCUGAUCAUGUCAUUGCCGGUAUAUUAAGCAUCUUCCUGACUUGUAAAUUCGGACCCUUAAACAUCCGCAGACGCGUUCGAUCAACGACCGAACGUGUUACAUAUUUAUUCGUCCGCGCAACCACACUUUUCAUCUUCUUUAUCACAUGUCCAGUUACUUGCACAUGAUUAAUGAGGAGGAAGAUAGAGAAGAAAAAAAAGAUGUUCUGUGAUGGGGUCGCGUUCUAUGUGGCAGACUUAUCAGACGCGUUCGGACACGNNNNNNNNNNNNNNNNNNNNNNNNNNNNNNNNNNNNNNNNNNNNNNNNNNNNNNNNNNNNNNNNNNNNNNNNNNNNNNNNNNNNNNNNNNNNNNNNNNNNAAAAGCGAGCGAUCUACUUGGGACAUCGUUUUGACGUUGUAAACUUCACACCCGGUUUCACUUUACAAUUGUAUUCAGCUCGUAACCCACCUGUUUGCAAAACACUGCUCAAGUCAUCGUUUUCUUCCGUAUUCCCAGUCUCGCUCGAUCAAUUGACUGGCCAAAGCGCCACAACGGCUCGCCGGAGCACGCCGAGGACAUUGCCGUCCGCCGAAGGCGCCACCGCCAACCUCUGCCGCCGUUGCCUCCUGCCGUGAUGGCUCCACCACCGCGGUCCGUCAUCGACGUCCAGCGUCCGCCUCUGCUACCAUUGAUGCCUGCACCCCGUCGAGCUCCGGGCCGCCGCCGCCAUGUCCGUGACGUCGCCGGAGCGUCACCAAACCUCCUUUGCGCGCCACCGCGGAAGCGCCACCGUGCGCCGCCACUACGUCUUGUCACCGUCGCCGCCGGAUUCCGCGUCCGGCGCGGCGUCGUUCUACCACAGGGGAGGGCGAGGGAUAACGGGGUUGUCGGGGCAUCUAGCUGGCUCGCUGGUCCCUGGUGCGAGAGGUAUGCAGGGCUAGAGAUUCCUGGCGUCGCCGGAAGUGCAGGAUUCCUGGUGCGAGUUGCGGCAAGGACGGCCAUGGAGGAUGGUGGUCGUCGGCUGCUUGUCUUUUUGGAGUUCCUGACCGACAAACCAACGAACCAAGCGCACCGUACACAUAUGGAAUAUAUCUGGUUGUAUUAUACUAAUCUCCAGUAAUAUACAGGGGUAAUCCUAUACAGAUGUAAAACUUCUACAGGGAUUCCAAGCGCGACCUAAUUUUUUUGUGGAAUUUUAUUUACAAGUACAAUGAAAGGUCAAAUUUAUUUUAAAAAUAUUUUUAUAUUUAUUUAACUUUUUAUUGAAUUAAUAUAUUUUUUUACAUAUAGAAUGUAUAUACACUGAGGUUUUAAAAGUCCUCUUCAAAAAUAACUACUCCCUUCGUUUCUAAAUAUAAGUCUUUUAAAAAAUUUCAGUAGAGGACUACAUACGAAGCAAAAUGAGUGAAUCUAUACUCUAAAGUAUGUCUAUAUACAUCCGUAUGUAGUCCUCCUAGUGUAACCUCCUAAAAGACUUAUAUUUAGGAACGAAGGGAGCAUGCCUGGCCAAACGGGCCGGCCCGGCAUGGCACGGCCCGCCCUGGGCCCGAUUAAUAUACGGGCCGUGCCGUGUCGGCCCGCGUGCUGGCCUCCCAGGCCCAAGCACGACACGUGGCCUAAUCGGGCCGGUCCGCGGCACGGUAGGCCCACGGCACGCACUGGCCGAUUUAAUUGGAAAAAAAUCCCGCCCAGAUCCCGCCGGUCCCGCCCCUCUCCCGUCGAGAUCUCGCUCCCCCGCCCAAAUCCCCCUUUUCCCGCCCCUCGCCCGCACAAAUUCCCGCCCACCCGCCAGUUGGCCGCUCCCCCCGCCCAAUCGCCCUUUUCCCGCCCGCCCGCUCAGAUCCCGCGCGUCGCUCGCUCCCCCGGUCCCCCCGCUGGCCCGCUCCCCCCUCCCCCCCCCAUCACGUCCCUAAUCGUGCCGGCACGCNNNNNNNNNNNNNNNNNNNNNNNNNNNNNNNNNNNNNNNNNNNNNNNNNNNNNNNNNNNNNNNNNNNNNNNNNNNNNNNNNNNNNNNNNNNNNNNNNNNNAGCCUAUUCUUAAGUUGCUUCUAUUACAUGUUGCUCAACCAUUUGUUUUGUGCAAUUGAUAUGCUUAUUGUCUCAUCUAUCUUCUUGCACUCGUUGUGUGUUUUAUAAAUUCUGGGGGAGCAACGAUCCUAUUUUGUGCACCUGUGUCAAAUACAAAAAUCUCAUAUUAGUGCACAAAUCAUGGGGAGCUUCUCUAGUUUUUGAUCAAGUACUAUGUUGCCUUUAUCAUAAUAUCUUUUAUUCAUGUGUUUCGAAGGACCAUAUGAUUGUUUGUUCCAUCUGAAAUCUUUUGAUUGCUUGCCUCUAUCUUUGUAUGUCUUUGUGGCAUACGAUCCUUUUAUUUGCACUCUUUGGGUCCUCAAUAUAGUUUGUUUUCCUCCAACUACUUAUCAUUGUAUUUGUGUAUUUUUCUGCACUUAUUUGCUGAGAAGUACACACUUUUUGGAGGACCACCUACUAUAUUGGCUUUCUAAACUUUUCGUCCAUUUUGGCAAUCGAUGCCAAUGGGGGAGAAGUUUAGAGAGUUUACUUUGGAUAUUGGUUUUGCUUUUAUUGCGUAAGCAUUUACAUCUUGCACACAUGCAUUAUUACCUUGUAUGUGUGUGCUUGGUUAUGCUUAUUCCCUUGUAUAAACUCUCUUGAAGUGGUUGUCUUCAAUUACAAAAAUGGGGGAGAUUGUUAGAGCAUAUAUCUCCAUAUGUGGUUUUGGUAAUUGAUGACAAUUCCUAUGGACUAAUGGUUGCCUUAAGUUAUAUUUAUAGGAUUUGUCCAUAGGCAGUUCUUGAAGUCCAUAUGUUGGGUUCAAGGAGUUUAUAUGAUGACCAAGAUGUUAUUCAAGGUAUUAUCCAAAGAAUGGUCAUAGAGACACUAGGUUGAUCAAGAUCUCAUACAAAGAGUAAAUCAAGAUGAUCAACACACAAAGCAUAUAAGAUAUACCGAGAGGGAUCAAGUGAUCCCAUGGUAUGGUCAGCAUUGUCCAUUACGUGUUUGUGUACUAACCCAUGGUCUCUGUGAGACUCCUAUGUGGGGGUUAGGUGUGCUUCCAUUGGGCUUACGUCAAAAGGAAGAUCUCAUACAACCCAUGAAGGAUGACGUCAAGUGGUGAUCGUCAUCAAGAUUGUGGUGUGCAAUUUCAAGUGGAGCAGCACGAAUAUAUCAUUGAAACUAUUGUCAAUGAUCAUGUGUUGAUAAGGACAAGCUCAUGUUCUAACAAGGACAAGAUCAAGAUAAGCAUUCCUGAGCACUACAUGCUUGAUUCUUGUGGAUGUUCACAUGGUGGACAAAUGAAGAUGAAUACAUAAGCUAGGCUUUCCGCAUUGUGUAUGGGAGAGCUACUUGAAGACUUCAUCAUGUCUUGCUUUCAACUUGAGCCAAGAAGGAACAACAACAUCAAGCUCAAGUGGAAGGGCUAACUCAAAGGUAUCAGUUCCUUUGACGUUAGUUGUGCGGAGUGAUGAUCAGUGAAUAAAAGUAUACACUUAAGUAUGGAUCAUCGGUACCCCUUUUAUGAUUCUUGAGUCUUUAGGGAUCCCGCGUUAUUAAGAGGGGAUCACAGGUUUUGCGAUGAACUUGCUCAAACUACAUCUCCACUGUUCUGCUCAGACCACAUCUCCACUGCUCUGCUGUUAUCUGAAAACAGAACCGGUGCCUCGGACAUCCGGCUUCCUCCGGACGUCCGAGGGCCGGACGACCGACUGCUUCGGAAAUCCGGAAUCCUAUACCAGAGAAAUCAGAGCCAUAUAACUCGGACUUCCGGCUCCCUCCGGACGUCCGAGGCCUGGAUAUCCGACCAGCUUCGGAAUUCCGAAACUAUGCACCAGAGAAACUUGAGCCAUAUAACUCGGACUUCCGGCUCCCUCCGGACGUCCGAGGGCCGGUCAAGGGUCGGACGACCGACCAGCUUCGGAAAUCCGGAGCCCUGCACCAGAAGAACAUGAGCUCUAUAACUCGGAUUUCCGGCUCCCUCCGGACGUCCGAGGGCCGGACGUCCGUCCACUUUCGGAAAUCCGAAACCUCCCACCAGAAGAAGUUGAGUCGAAUAACUCGGAUUUCCGGCCUUCUCCGGACGUCCGGUCGCUGUUCAAUUCACGGUAUUUUCAGUGAUAUCUACAGGCCUCGGACGACCGACCCCUGUCGGACGUCCGACCCCUCGCGGACGCCCGGACUUCCGGAAACUGUCGGACGUCCGGACCCUAUGUGACUUAAAGUGUCCCCAACGGCUAUUUUUCUCUCCCCACUAUAAAUACCCCCCUCCCACUUCGUGAGAGGGUUUCCCAACACAGCCUUAUCCUCAUAAGAACACACUUCUACCUCACACACAUUUGCUCACACCAAAUCUUAGAUCCCAAGAGCAUUUGUGAGCCCCUUUGAGAGUUGUUCCAAUCAAAAGAUAGAUCGUCUCGCUCUCCUCCUCUCAACCCAAGCUAUUUGAGAUUUGAGAAAGUUUUGAGCAUUCCCCGUGAUCUUGUUACUCUUGGAGGUUGGAGACUCCUAGGCGGUAGGAGUUCUUCGGAGAGGAAUCAAUCCGUGUGAUUACCCCCCGGAAAAGUUUGUGAGGGUUUGGAAGCCACCUCGAAGGCUUACCACUAGUGGUUGAGAAACGCCUUCGCGGUGUUAUCUCAAAGGGAGAAUAGGGUGAGCCUUCGUGGCGUUGGUGUGCCUUCGUGGUAACAUCCACCUCUUUAACGGUGACUAGCUUCCCUCCAAGGAAGUGAACAUCGGGAUACAUCUUCAUCUCAGUGACCUUGGUUAUCCUUAACCCUAACUCCUUACUUGUGGUUUACUUGUGUUACUUGAGCAUACAUACAUUGCAUAUUGUUUGUGCUCAUUAUAUUGUGUUGGCCAUUUCUUGUACAAGAUUAAUCAUUCAAGCAUACCCUCUAUAUCCACACAUUCACACUUGCAGCUUUUGAUAUAUCGUGUGCUAUAGUGUGAUCUAGUAUCUUGUGUCGUUCACCUACUUGUCGUGUGAUAUAGCUCAAGUAAGUUUGUGUAACUUACUUGUGCUUGUUAGUAACUGUAUUGUGUCCAUCUUGGUAGAUCGUGUUGUUGAUACACGUUGCAGUGCCUAGUGCAUUUAGGAUUUGUGCUUGACAGGUACCCUCUUAGUUUAUUUCCGCAUUAGGUUCAAGCCAAAUCUGAAGAAGUUUUUAAAUAGCCUAUUACACCCCCCCCUCUAGGCGUCAUCGAGGUCUUUUCAAUUGGUAUCAGAGCUAGGUCUCUCUUUAAUUAGCUUUCACGACCUAGAGAGUAUCGAUGUCGACUAUUGGAUUAGUGCACAAUGGCAUCUUUGACUUUGAUGGCACAAAUUAUACCCUAUGGAGAAUUCGUAUGCUUCAUCACUUUCGGGCCAUGGGCCUAAAUACUUUACGAAUUGUUCUUGUAGGGAUUGCCGACAAAAAGGAUGAUGCAUCUUCAUCUACUAAUCAGAUGUAUCUUGAUUGUGAGGCUUUUCUUGCCAUUCAUCGAACCAUAAGUCCUGAAGUGUUUAAGUCUAUCUCGACUUGCAAGUCAGCUCAUGAAGUUUGGACUAAACUUGAAGAUAUAUAUGGUGGGUCCAAUAUUGAUGAAGACGGUAUUAUGAUGAAGGAGUUGGUGCAUGAGCUCUUCACUCUUUUCGAUCUUAAAGAGUCCACCACUACUUCCAUAUCCGAUUGCUUGCACACCUCAACAUCUUCAAUCUCACAAGGUAAUGACAUGGUGAGUGAAGAAAUAUAUGCCGAUGAAAAUGUCAUAGCCUCUAUGGACACGAGCAUAUCUAGCACCACACAUAGUGUAAAUUAUUGUGCUGAUAGGUCAUGCAUUUCACCUAAAGAUCCCUCGAAAAAUGUCUGUGGUGAUAUGUCUGCUUCCUCGUGUCCUCUUGAUCAAAAUAUCUUGUUUCUCCCUAGUUGCUCUAUGACUAAUCAAUUAGGGGAAAUCAAGAAAUAUGAAGUACUUUUGACUAAUGAAGAAUCUGAUUCACCAAAAGAAUCAUCAUCAACUCCUCCAGUUCACAUGUGCCUCAUGGCAAGAGGUAAUAAUGAGGUAUCACCUUCCCUGUGCAAUAACGAUGAUAUUUGCGAUGAAGAUGAUGAUGAUGAUUUGACCGAAAAUAUCUAUGUGAUCAGUAAAAUUCUUCAUAAAGCUAAAAAUAACGCUCUUCAAAGAUUCCAAGAUGUUCUUGCUUACUUUGAAAAUUGUAAUGAUUCACUUAAUCAUGAACAAGCUAAAAGUGAACAACUUGAACAUGAACUUGAGAAGAGUCAUCAAGCAUGUAGAGACUUGAGAUCUUCAAAAGGAGAGAUUGAAGUUGCUCAUGAUAAACUUAAAAAGGAUUUUGAGGUCCUUCUCCUUGAAUGCAAUAAUGUAAAGGGAGAGCUCAUCAAAACCUCUAAGAUCUAUGAGGAGCUUCAAACUACUCAUGAGAAGUCUCUAUUUUCUACUUACUCCUCUCAUAUUGUUGAUGAUACUUGUACAUCUAACUCUACCUCAUUUGAAGUAUCAACAUUGCAGGAGAAUAUUGAGCUACGUGCUCAACUUGAUUUACUAACUAGCAAUUAUGGGAAGUUGGAAGAAAACCAUGUAAUGCUCACAAGCUCUCAUGCUGAUCUUCUAACAUCCUAUAAUGUGAAAAAGUUAGCUCAUGAGGCUAUCAUCACCAUGGUAACAUCAAAUGAGCCUCAUGUGGACAAUGGCACUACUUCUAGUCAAAGUACUAUAUUUCCAUGUGCUAGUCCUCGUAAUUCGUCUACUCAUAAUAUUGCUACCUCGUGUGAUGAAUUACUUUCCUUGCCUUGUUGCUCUAACAUUGAAGCUUACACUUCCUCUAGUACUUGCAUUGAUACUAACCGUGCAGAGGAAAUCGAAGAGCUCAAGGCCCAAGUCACUUCUUUGAAGAAAGACCUGGAACAAUGUCAUGAAGGGAUGUCCACACUCAACAACGUCCUGUGUGAGCAAACAUCUCCAAAUGACAAAAAUGAUGUUGGGUUAAACUCAAACAAGAACAAGAGGGGCCUAGAACAAGUCAAGAAUUCGGCCAAAAUCAUUUGCUUCAAGUGCAAAGUUAAAGGGCACCAUGUUAGAUCUUGCCCUCUGAAGACGAAGUCUCAAAGUCACAAGCAACAAGGGAAGCGGCCACAAACUCAAUCACAUAUUCAACUACAAGUUGAAGGAAUGCCUCUUCCCAAUAAGACCCAAACCAACACUCCCCGAGGUGAGAAAUCGACUGGGAAGAAAGCAAAGGGUAGAUGUUGCUACUUAUGUCGUGAGAAGGGUCACGUCGCUUCGUCUUGCACAAGAGGUAACUUAUCCAACCCAAUCACUAUUGAUGAUAUCUAUUCCCUUGGGAAGGAUAAGGUUGGCAAUGUGUUUGCCAAGUUUGUUGGUACUCAAAAUGGUGUCAAGAAAAGAACCAUUUGGGUUGCCAAGCCUAUUGUGAUUAACCUCUUAGGACCCAACGUAGUUGGGGACCAACAAGUUCAAACUUGAUCAAUAGGUGACUAUGGAGGACAUUAGAGACUUGGAUACAUAAUGAAGAAUUAAGGGGUCUUCAUCAUUCAUAUUAUCUCAAGCCAAGUCAUUUGGAUUAUCGAGUUUCUAUCUUAUAUCCAAUGUGCCUCCUUACGGUAACUUAUACUUCAAUUGUUUACAUUGUUAGGUGCUUGCCCCCUUUGCAUGUUGUGGUUUUGUACCUUGCAUGCGUUUGUAUAUGUUGUGCUUCCAACUUGCUUAUCUUGAGUAAUUGAGUAUGUGUAUGUUCGUUUGCAUAUCAUGUACAUGUGAGUCUUGUAUUGAGCCUUUUUGCAUAUUGUUUAUAUUUUUUUGUUGGCUCUUGUGAGAGAUUAAUGGAUUAUCCCAUUGUGGGGGAGUGAUGUGCUUUGCACACCUCACAAUCCUAUAAAUGUGUAUACAUGGGGAAUACCACUUAGUUUUGAUACUUCAAGAUUAUCUAGUUUCUAUGUGGUAUGGCUUACUCAUGAGAAAUUCAAAUUCUAUAUGGUCCAUUAAGUAUCUCUUGUUGGUUUUAAUUUGCCACUUGUUAAUGUUGUUGGUUUAUCACAUUAUGGGGGAGUAAUAUGCUAUGUGCAUAUUACAAACCUAGAAAAUGUGUACAUUUGACGUGUUGCCACUUAGUGUUGAUAUUGUAAAUUAUCUUGUUCCUAGGUGGCAUGUUAACUCUACAAGUGUCAUUUGCUUGCGUUUUAUGGGUAAAGAUGAUCUUGGAUAUAUUUGUGAUCUACCAAUGAGUAUCACUUCGAAAAUACUUCUUGUCCUUGACAAUUGGUAUUCCCAUCAUGUGAUAGGAAUUGCUAAUCAUCUUUACAUUGGAUUUUGUGUUUUGUUUGUCUUCCUUGCCUCUUAUGGAUCUAUUUUAACAUGUCUAGUGUUUUUAUAUAGAGAGAGAAAGUGAUGAUCCCAUCGUGUGCGUUUUGUAUUUAAAUGCAAAUUCUAUAUAAUGCACGUCCCUUGGGGGAGCUAUCCUAUUUUCUUUAGAACACUCCCUUUAUUCACCCAUCAUAAAAUCUUUCGAUCCCCAUCAAGUGUGUGUUGAUGGGAGGCAAGUCUUGCUCUUUAUGAUGCUUUGUGCCAUCAUGAAAAUUUGUCGAGGGCUUGGUUUGUUGGAACCUAGCUCUCUUUUGGAAAUUAGAUACCUCGUGUUUGUUUUCCUUCAAUUGGUUUCUUGUUUCCUUUUAUUUGGCAUGUGUCAAUGGAUAUCUCAUUCCUUGAGGUAUCUUUUAAUUGAUAUCCUUCAAGUGAUAUUUCCUUUUUUUGUUUAAGAUCUUAUUAUCACUUGAUACCUUAUCUUUUGGUGACUUAUCAACUUUGUGUUGAGUUGAUUCUUGAGAGUCUUGAGCAUACAUAUCUACUAUAUACAACUUCUUUUGCUUGCUUUCCUUCUCUGACCCAAUAUAUAGGGGAAACUCCACCUUGUCAUAAAUUGGCUAAAGUGUGCAUGAAAUUCAAAUUCAUAUCUAUNNNNNNNNNNNNNNNNNNNNNNNNNNNNNNNNNNNNNNNNNNNNNNNNNNNNNNNNNNNNNNNNNNNNNNNNNNNNNNNNNNNNNNNNNNNNNNNNNNNNCUUUGCCAUGACUCACACACAUUACUUUGGUUGAGCCUAUUCUUAAGUUGCUUCUUUUACAUGUUGCUCAACCAUUUGUUUUGUGCAAUCGAUAUGCUUAUUGUCUCAUCAUCUUCUUGCACUCGUUGUGUGUUUUAUUAAUUUUGGGGGAGCAACGAUCCUAUUUUGUGCACCUGUAUCAAAUACAAAAAUCUCGUAUUAGUGCACAAAUCAUGGGGAGCUUCUCUAGUUUUUGAUAAAUCACUCUGUUGCCUUUAUCAUAAUAUCUUCUAUUCAUGUGGUUCGAAGGACCAUAUGAUUGUUUGUUCCAUCUGGAAUCUUUUGAUUGCUUGCCUCUAUUUUUGUAUGUCCUUGUGGCAUAUGAUCCUUUUAUUUGCAAUCUUUGGGUCCUCAAUAUAGUUUGUUUCCCUCCAACUACUUAUCAUUGUAUUUGUGUAUUUCUCUGCACUCAUUUGCUGAGAAGUACACACUUUUUGGAGGACCACCUACUAUAUUGGCUUUCUAAACUUUUCGUCCAUUUUGGCAAUCGAUGCCAAUGGGGGAGAAGUUUAGAGAGUUUACUUUGGAUAUGUUUAGAGGGUUUUGCUAUUAUUGCGUAAGCAUUUACAUCUUGCACGCAUGCAUUAUUACCUUGUAUGUGUGCGCUUGGUUAUGCUUAUUACCUUAUAUAAACUCUCUUGAAGUGGUUGUCUUCAAUUACCAAAAUGGGGGAGAUUGUUAGAGCAUAUAUCUCCAUAUGUGGUUUUUGUAAUUGAUGACAAUUCCUAUGGACUAAUGGUUGCCUUAAGUUAUAUUUAUAGGAUUUGUCCAUAGGCACUUCUUGAAGUCCAUCUGUUGAGUUCAAGGAGUUUAUAUGAUGACCAAGAUGGUAUUCAAGGUAUUAUCCAAAGAAUGGUCAUAGAGACACUAGGUUGAUCAACAUCUCAGACAAAGAGUAAAUCAAGAUGAUCAACACACAAAGCGUAUAAGAUGUACCGAGAGGGAUCAAGUGAUCCCAUGGUAUGGUAAGCAUUGUCCAUUACGUGUUUGUGUACUAACCCAUGGUCUUUGUGAGAGUUCUAUGUGGGGGUUAGGUGUGCUUCCAUGGGCUUGCGUCAAAAGGAAGAUCUCAUACGACCCAUGAAGGAUGACGUCAAGUGGCGAUCGUCAUCAAGAUUGUGGUGUGCAAGUUCAAGUGGAUGAGCAAGAAUAUAUCAUUGAAACUAUUGUUAAUGAUCAUGUGUUGAUAAGGACAAGCUCAUGUGCUAACAAGGACAAGAUCAAGAUAAGCAUUCCUGAGCACUACAUGCUUGAUUCUUGUGGAUGUUCACAUGGUGGACAAAUGAAGAUGAAUACAUAAGCUAGGCUUUCCACAUUGUGUAUGGGAGAGCUACUUGAAGACUUCAUCAUACCUUGCUUUCAACUUGAGCCAAGAAGGAACAACAACAUCAAGCUCAAGUGAAAGGGCUAACUCAAAGGUAUCAGUUCCUUUGACGUUAGUUGUGCGGAGUGAUGAUCAGCGAAUAAAAGUAUACACUCAAGUAUGGAUCAUCGGUACCCCUUUUACAAUUCUUGAGUCUUUAGGGAUCCUGCACUAUUAAGAGGGGAUCACAGGUUUUGCGAUGAACUUGCUCAAACUACAUCUCCACUGUUCUGCUUAGACCACAUAUUCUCUACUCUGUUCCUAUCUCAAAACAGGUCUAUUGCCUCGGACUUCCGGCUUCCUCCGGACGUCCGAGGGCCGGACGACCGGGAGGCUUCGGAAAUCCGGAGCCCUCCACCAGAAGUAUUUGAGUCAUAUAACUCGGAAUUCCGGCUCCCUCCGGACAUCCGAGGGCCGGACGUCCGACCAGCUUCGAAAAUCCGGAGCCCUGCACCAGAAGAACAUGAGCUCUAUAAAUCGGAUUUCCGACUCCCUCCGGACAUCUGAGGGCCGGACGUCCGUCCCCUUUCGGAAAUCUGGAGCCUCCCACCAGAAGAAGUUGAGUCGAAUAACUCGGAUUUCCGGCCUUCUCCGGACGUCCGAUCAUUGUUCAAUUCAUAGUGUUUCCAGUCAUAACUACAACCCUCGGACGACCGACCCCUGUCAGACGUCCGACCCCUUGCGAACGCCCGGACUUCCGAGAAGUGCCGGACGUCCGGACCCUGUGUGACUUAAAGUGUCCCCAACGGCUGUUUUUCUCUCCCCACUAUAAAUACCCCUCUCCCACUUCGUGAGAGGGUGCCCAACACAGCCUUAUCCUCAUAAGAACACAUUUCUACCUCACACACAUUUGCUCACACAAAAUCUUAGAUCCCAAGAGCAUUUGUGAGCCCCUUUGAGAGUUGUUCCAAUCAAAAGAUAGAUCGUCUCCCUCUCCUCCUCUCAACCCAAGCUAUUUGAGAUUUGAGCAAGUUUUGAGCAUUCCCCGUGAUCUUGUUACUCUUGGAGGUUGGAGACUCCUAGGCGGUAGGAGUUCUUCGGAGAGGAAUCAAUCCGUGUGAUUACCCCCCGGAAAAGUUUGUGAGGGUUUGGAAGCCAACUCAAAGGCUUACCACUAGUGGUUGAGAAACGCCUUCGUGGUGUUAUCUCAAAGGGAGAAUAGGGUGAGCCUUCGUGGCGUUGGUAUGCCUUCGUGGUAACACCCACCUCUCUAACGGUGACUAGCUUCCCUCCAAGGAAGUGAACAUCGGGAUACAUCUUCGUCUGAGUGACCUUGGUUAUCCUUAACCCUAACUCCUUACUUGUGGUUUACUUGUGUUACUUGAGCAUACAUACAUUGCAUAUUGUUUGUGCUCAUUAUAUUGUGUUGGCUAUUUCUUGUACAAGAUUAAUCAUUCAAGCAUACCUUCUAUAUCCACACGUUCAUACUUGCAGUUUUUGAUAUAUCGUGUGAUAUAGUGUGAUCUAGUAUCUUGUGUUGUUCACCUACUUGUCGUGUGAUAUAGCUCAAGUAAGUUUGUGUAACUUACUUGUGCUUGUUAGUAACUGUAUUGUGUCCAUCUUGGUAGAUCGUGUUGUUGAUACACGCUGCAGUGCCUAGUGCAUUUAGGAUUUGUGCUUGACAAGUACCCUCUUAGUUUAUUUCCGCAUUAGUGUCAAGCCAAAUCCGUAGAAGUUUUUAAAUAGCCUAUUCACCCCCCCUCUAGGCGUCAUCGAGGUCUUUUCAAUUGGCAUCUGUUUUGUAUUUAUCUCUUCUUCCUUGUGUCCUUUGUACUUUUGGUUCGUUUGAACCUAUCUUGCGAGGCUGCAAAGCCUCACAGGCAAAAUUAUAUACAAUUCAGGUGGAGGGCUUGCCCUCCCCUGAUGACCUUAAAAAAGAAUGUAUGGUAGAAUCUAACUAGUUUCUUAGAUUUGAAUUUCUCUAAGCCAAGAACUCGAAGCUGAUGCGCCUUUCAAACAACAUGUAGUGAUUUUAGUAGAAUACUAGCUGGACUAUGGCACGGCACACGCCGUGCCCGUGCAAGCAUCCGUCAUUAAUUAAUUUGUAGUUUCAUUUGUUGGUUUGUGUGUUUAUGAUGGUAGUCUACUAUGUUUUGGUAAGUAACAUUUGUAUAUAUUUGCAAGCUGAUAUGUUUAUGGAAAGACAAUGAACAAUAGAGUAGACAAUCUGAAUUAUUUGAGUUCAACCACAUGUCUAGGUAGCAUACAUGCAUGAAUGAACAAACAAAUACAACAUCAUGGACAGAUAGUCGCAGAUAAAGAGUAGAACUAAGUGAAGUAGAACAUGUCUAAGUAACAUACGUGCUUGUUAGCAUUCUGGAUGAUAGGCUUUUGAUCUCCACGUCUUGUCUUCACUUUCUUCAUCACAAGAGAGAAGACUGUUUCGUCCGGGGUGGUUGCCAGACAUGUACAUUUCCUUAAAUUCUUCCUUUACUCGGCGCCCUAUUUCCUCAAGCCCUAGGAGCUGGCAUUUUUCGUCGCAGCGAGUGAUGCUGAAUUGGCAUAACAUACAGAAACAAUGGAACAAACACUAUGGCUAUAAGUGUUUCAUCGUCAUGAGUAUACGAUAAAUAUUUUAGGACUUCAACAAAUGCUCAACUACUGCUCCACUAUACAUGUCACCGAAGGGAUUUUACUCAGGGGAGCAAAGCUCACAUGAAUAUAAAAAUCUGCCAUAAAAUAAAACAAAAGCAUAUCUUCCCCUACCUUACAGGAUACCAAUAACCUAGAAACGCUAUGAAUCACUCAUUAAGUAUAUGAUGUACAGGGGAAAAGGAUCUCUUAGUACGAAAUAGAUCAAGCAGUCGGAAAGCUUAGCCUCUUACCACCUUAUGUGCGUAGCUAUAAACGUCUGUUGUACAUCCAUAGAGGGAACAAUAGAACUUGAAAUUGCAUUCAUCUUCAGAGUUCUGACCACUAAGCAGGAAGAAAGAGCACGUCAUACAUGACCCAACCUCUACUCGGCUUGGUGUCUUCACUCCGUCUCUUCGGCAAAUCUAUGUGACAAAUCGUUUGAGUGUCUUUACAAACUUGAGCUAUUAUCUGAGUUGAUCUUACCGAUGGCCUGAGAGGAAAUUUGAAUUUGUAUAAAAUUGACAACAACAUGAACUUUAAAUCUGAAAUAUUAUCAGCUGCAUGUCUGAAACACAACCAAGCAGAAAUACAUUUUCCCACGAAUAACUCAUAUAUUUAUGAAUAAUAGACAUAUUGUAUAUGCAUGUUAGAUAACUGAGAGAGGAAACAUAGUGUUCAAUAAAUUUCAGCAGAAUACAUGUGCAAUGGAUAUUUAGAAUGAAAGCUGAUAUGAUACAAAAUAUAAACACUAAAUAUCUAAUUGAUCAGGUCGAUUAGUUUUAAGUUCUCACCUCAUUGUCCACUGCAAAAUGUGUCAUAUAAAAGUAAAUUCCAAUGCUGCAAAAAAAUGAGAUCAACCUUUUAUUGACAGUAAGAAACAAAAAGUAAUCAAAUUGAUCAGAAUUGUUCCAAAUAAAUAAAUUUCAUUGAAACCACACAAGGAAACACAUAUGCACAAAACUGUAUUUAUCUGGAAUACUGAAAUUAGUAUAAUGGAAUUUUUCAGAUGAAUUUCACAAUCAUUUAUCUGGAAUUCAUCUGAAAAAUAAUACAACACUAUAAUGGAGAGCAUAUCAAAACAUGAUUUGGGAGUAUAUCAAAAGAUACAUAUAUACCUUCUGCAUAACCAAAUUUUGUUUUUAGGAAAAAAACAUGAACGGCAAAUUAGAAAAUUCACUGUACCUAAGAAAAGUAAUGACCCGGAAUUUGAUUUCCUACAGUGGCAUUAACACAAACAACUAAUCGGAAAGCAAAAGACAUGGAAGUACAAUUUUUUGUACAGACACACUUCACAAAGGUGAAUUCAAAACACACACAGAGAGAAGGAGGGAGGGAGGGAGGGAGAGAGAGAGAGAUGGCGCUGAGUGCCAGCACGGAGCGAGCCAAUCCAGCUCGCUCAAGUGGGAGCCGCCCGAGGCAGUCCAGGCGCAGGACUGUGUCGAGCAGGUGGAGGGUAGCUAGAGUGACAGUGGUCGAAACGGCAGACGCGUUGCCCGUCCUACGUACUCUUUCCUCACGUCGUCUUCCCUCAAUGUGGGUGAAGCUUGUCCACCAAUGAACUGCAACGAGGCAUCCCAUCAACUGCUUGAGGUCUGCUGGGUGGCGAUGAUGUCACUCAUGAGCAGCAAGAGCAGCCUCGGCAAGGUGGAGACAAUACUGCUCUUUGCUGGGCAGCGCUGACAUGGGACUCCAUGCUUGCCAGGGACGCCAGAUCCCUCGACGGGAGACCUUGCCAGCGGGAAGGUGCGCGUGUGGGGCCGGAACGACGCGACUGUCAACAGGAAAGCGAGGGACCUUCCCGCGCUGCCUGACCGUCGUGUAGGCUGUCACUGCCUCCAUAGUCCAUAGUCGAUCCGUACCGGCACAUCUAGUCCCCUCUCCUCCUGCUUCGGAUGCUGUCGCCAUGGCCACACCUCGCCCGUCCAGGGAGGGGGGGAGGAGCGGCAGGGGGAGGUAGUAGAGGAGUGAGCCGGCGGAGGGACGGUACGCGGCAGCGGCAGAGGAGGAGGAAACGUGUGUGAACAAUUUUUUUAGAUGAGCGGUCGUGGAGGAGUAAUGUACGGGUCUUAAUUUUUUUCGGAUGAGGAUACGGAUCGUAAUUUGUACUCCCUCCGUUCCUAAAUAUAAGACCUUUUAGAGAUUCCACUAUAUACUACANNNNNNNNNNNNNNNNNNNNNNNNNNNNNNNNNNNNNNNNNNNNNNNNNNNNNNNNNNNNNNNNNNNNNNNNNNNNNNNNNNNNNNNNNNNNNNNNNNNNCCGCCCUGCCGCCAAGGAGCAGUGCCACCACCUCACCCGUCGCCGGCCACCACCACCGGGUCGUCGGACCGCAGCCGGCCAAACUGCACCACCGCCGCCCUACCCCGGGAAGGGGAAACGCGCGCGAGGGGAAAGGAGGGCCCGCCGCCGCUGGCACCACCCGAGCUAGCGUCGGGGGCGCUCGCCGACGACGGCUGGGGAGGAGACGAUGGAGGAAACGCUCGCGGGGAGGAGCUCGCGUGCCGCCCUGGCCACCUCCCGGGGAGGCGGCUCGAGGGCAGACUGGGAGGAGGGGGGGACGGGGGCGAGGGAGGUGGAGGAGGGGGCUGACUGGCGGGCGGUGACGGGAGGGCGGGCGGCGGCCGCUACAAAUCUCUCUUAAAAUAGGAGUGUUGGCUACAAAUCACGGCAGUAGAAAAUAUCUCAUCUAAAAAAGGUUUCCCAUGAUUUUUUAUGGCAAAUUAUAUUCGUUCAGGAUGACAAGCUUAGUUGGCGAACAUGACGAAUUUACCUCAAUUCAAUUAUUUUUGCAAAAGUUUCACGCCUAAACUAAAAUUUUCAUCCCCGUGUCAAUACAAAAUGCCGUAAAAAAACGUUUGAUUUGCAAUGCCUAGAACUCUUGACAUCAGAAUUUUGUUUUAGCAUUUCCCAAAGAAGUCCCACCCUUCGGCUAAAAAAAAAAAAAAAAAAAAAAAAAAAAAAAAANNNNNNNNNNNNNNNNNNNNNNNNNNNNNNNNNNNNNNNNNNNNNNNNNNNNNNNNNNNNNNNNNNNNNNNNNNNNNNNNNNNNNNNNNNNNNNNNNNNNCAGCGUCCUCCCCCCGCCCCGCCGCCGCCCUCCGCCAUGGCCACCCGGUGCAUCGCUCGAUCCGGCCCCGCGCGUCACCCCGCCGCCCGCCGCAUUGCAGGGAGGGCUCGCCGCCCUGCCAGAUCUGGCGCGAGCGCACGGCGUCCUUCCUUCCUCGGCGGUGGCGUGGUGGGCGCGCCCGUGAGCGAGCGAGCGAGGGGGGGAGCAGUGGGAGUGAAGCGAAGGGCAGAGCGAGUGGGGAUGGGAGAAGGAAAGGUCUCUGCUUUCUUUGGGGUGAGGGUUAAAGGAGAGGGUUUGCGAGUUUGAAUUUGGUCUGGGGGCGUCGGGGUUAAUUAAUUAAUUAGCGGCGUCGGCAGCAUGGACCGUUUGAAAUCCAUUUGCGUUCUUUUGAAAUGGACUGUU